AGGAAUUGCAUGAGGCUGGAGAAACUAUGUUUCAGUUUCCAGGAGCAACUAUUCCAGAGUGGUUCAAUCACCAAAGCAGGGAACCUUCAAUUUCUUUCUGGUUUCGUAAUGAAUUCCCUGACAAUGUUCUUUGUCUUCUUCUAGCACGUGUGGAAUACACAUAUAAAUGUAUUUCCAAGCUCACGGUGUUCAUCAAUGGCAAACGUCAUAAAAUUGCCUCUGGGUGGGAGGAUUGGAUGACCACUGAAGUAAGAAAGGCGAAAUUGAAUACAUAUCUAUUUGACCUAAAAUCAUCUUUUAGGCUUGGUGAUCUAUCUGAAGUGGGUUUAGAAAAGGAAUGGAACCAUGUGGAAAUUACAUACGCAGGUCUGAUAGAGACCUCACUGGUUAAAGCAACCGGAAUCCAUGUAUUCAGACAGGAUGAUAUUCGAUAUGAUGAUCCCUAUGGCAAGAGAAAAUUAGAGCAUGAUCUCAACAGUUUUGAAUCACAACCACUAAUUAAAAACCCUAGGUAUGUGGACAAGCAAGUUUCAUUAUUAUCUUAUAUAUGAAAAUUAUAGUGUUAAAUUGUAAUAAAGUAAAAAAUAGCAAUCUUAUAAAUAUAAAGUCAGCGAAUGAGAGGGUUGCUAGAAGUGGUGUGACUGAACAGAAGAUAUAGUAGGUUGUUUUGCAGGUUAUCGAGGUGGGUUGGCCCUGAAAGAAUUAUAAAUCUUCUGGGGAAUGCUGCAGAUGGAGCUUUACUUACCAAUGCCGAGAGGAGAUAUAGCCAUAUUUCUAUGGACUCCUUUUGUCAGCGAUGCCGCCUUGAGGAGGAGACAUGCCUGCAUGCUCUUCGUGAUUGUCGAAAGGUGGCUGCAUUUUGGAGAAGUGUGUUACCUAAGAAAUUAGCACCAAAGUUUUUUAAAGGUGAUGUGACAGUGUGGCUGGAAACAAAUUUAUCUUUUUCAGAGGCAGCUUUUUUUUGGCCAACUUUUUUUGGGAUUGCAGUGGAACUGUUGUGGGAAUACCGCAACCACCUUAAGUUCUUUCAACGUGCCUUUCGGCAUGGGGUUUAUUCAAUAGAUCCUAGUAAAAGCAUGGAUAUUGUCUUUAAGCGUUAUAAAGAUUAUAUGAGAGCCCAUGCUUCUCACAAUUUGAUGACGAGGAAUCUCUUGAAGUGGAAUCAGAGCCCAUGGUUGUUGAGGCUAAAUGUGAGUGGUGCCUAUGAUCCCUCUUCAGGUACUGCUGCAUGCGGAGGUAUAUUCAGAGACAAAGAUGAUGAUAGAUUCGUGCUUGGGUUUUCGGUUAAGCUUGAGGAAUGUUGGUCAAUUGAUGAGGCUGAAAUAUGGGGUAUUUAUCAUGGUAUGAAGAUUGCAAGGAAGUAUGAUAUUUGGGGUUUAUAUCGUGAUAUUCUAAGGCAGAAUAACAUUCGAAUAAGUCUUGGGAUUGCAAGGCAGCAUGAUUUUGGUAAAAUUAGAGUGGAAUCGGGCUCUAAGAAAGCUAUUGAGUUUGUGUUAGAUGGAUGCCCUACAGCUACAUCUACAAGGCAGCAUUGUUUCCCACUCUCUCAAGAGUUGAAAGCUCUAACCUCUGCUACAAAUCAUUCAUACUUCUUUUACACAGGGCACAAUGGUGCUGCUGAUUCCUUUGCCAAAUUCGGUUUAUCCAUGAGACAGCAGGCCGCGUCAAUUUUUUCUGCAUGUCCCUCCUUUUGCCAAAAUUUUAUUUUAAAAGAGAGAUACAUGUUACAUGUUACGUAAAGAGUGAAUAGGCAAUUUAGUCCCUGAGAUUGUAACCACUUUGCAUAUUAGUCCCUGACUUAAAUUUUAAUUCAUAAUAGUCCAUAACUUUACCUCCGUUAUGCAAAUAAGUCCUUGCUGUUAAAAUCUAAUUUCCUCCGUUAGUCAAAUGUCUAUUUGGCAAAUGUAAGCAUCCAAUGUGGCAGGUUUGAGUCCAAGUCAGCAAUAUUAUGUGGCAAGGCAAGGACUGAAUUGAAAAAUUAGGUUUAAAAGAAAUCAAAAAUGAAGUAAACCCAUUUUCCCUUUCACUGUUGCUCUUCCCUCCCCUGCAUUCUCGUGAUUGAGGGUUCGCGCUUUUUGUCAGGUUGGUGGUUUCAUUCAAUUCGUUUGCAUUGUUUUGGUGGUUUGAUUUGGGGUUUUACAUGUUCGAGGGGUUUCAUCUGCGGCAUUGUCUUCGCGCUUCGUAGGGAGGUUUAUGAUCGUUUAUUAUUUUCGUUUAUGAUGCUCUGUUUUUAUAGAUGACAAUGUUUUUGGUUUUUGAUUGUGUCUUCGCGGUUUUUGACAAUGUCAAUGUCUUCGCGCUUUUUGAGGUAGGUUUUUUUAUUUCCUAAUAUCUGACCAUGUUUGCGGUUUCUGAUUGUGUAGAAUGAAUGACAAUAUAACUUUAGUAUUGCACCAUGGAGGAAGAUUCACUCCACGUGCCAGUGAUGGAAAGGUUGAAUAUAUAGGCGGAGAAUUUGACGUUUGGGAGGAUAUAUCUGCAGAUUGCCUGAAUGCAUUUAUCUUAUAUGAUUUGGUGAAAGCUUGUAAGAAGUAUAGUAAUAUAGGAGAAUGUUUUUGGUUGAUUGAUAAGGACUUAGAUUUUAAUCAUGGGUUAAGGAGUUGUACAACUGAUGGAGAUAUAUUACACUUAGUUAGGGAUGCUUUUGAAAAUGAGAAUGAGAUAAAUGUUUAUUUUCAUCAUGAAGUAGAUCCAAUUUUAGAAGAAGUCCCACAAAUGUUGUACUUGGAAUGUGAUCCAAUUCGAAAAGCUGUUGAGAAUGAGGAUGAUUUAGAUGAUGUACCUGUUGCUGGCCAUGAGGAAGGUAAGUUUUAAUUCAUCUGUACUUGGUCCGACAUGGUUACCAUAAUUAAUUAAUAUGAUUAAUUUUUACUUUAUGACCAUUGAUGCAGAUGUUGGUGCUGGAGAGCAGACAGAUGCUGGUGAGCAGAUGGAUGCUGGUAAGCAGAGGGAUGGUGGUGAGCAGAGGGAUACUGAUGCUGGUGAGCAAAGAGAUGGUAGUGAGCAGAGGGAUACUGAUGCUGGUGAGCAAAGAGAUGGUAGUGAGCAGAGGGAUGCUGAAGCUGGUGAGGAGAGAGAUGCUGAUGGUGAAGAGAGAGAUGUUGCUGAUAGUGAGGAGGAAAAGGAAGUUGACAGUGAUGAGACAGAUGCUGAGUGGUUUAUAAAUUUCUCUUGUAUGUUGAAUGAAGUUGAAGCUGAAGUUGAGACAGACGGUUAUCAUUCAGAGGAGCUUAAUAUCCCCAUUAGUAGUGAUGAUGAAGAUGAGGAUGUUGAAGUUUAUCCUCAAUAUAGUCAAAGUAGUGGAGUUGGUGAACAGAAGUUGGAAUUAGGGAUGGAGUUUGGUACUCUAGAUGAAUUUAAAUCUGCCUUGAGGGAGUAUAGCAUAUUGAUGGGCAGGGAGUUCAAGUGGAAGAAGAAUGAUAAACAGAGGGCUAGAGCAAAAUGCAAGAAGGCAUUUUGUGAUUGGGAAAUCUAUUGUGCAAAGAAUGAAGUUAGAAACUCUUUUCAGAUAAAGACAUUUAAGCAUAACCAUAAUUGCUGCAGAGAAGUGAACAACAAACAAGCAAAUAGACAGUGGGUGGUCAGUAAACUUGAGGGCAAACUCAGAAUGCAGCCAACCCUUAAAUGUGUUGAAGCUUUGGAAUAUUUCAAGCAAGAGUUUGGAGUGCACAUUGAAGUUACAAAGAUGUGGAGAGCCAUGAAAGAAGCAAAGCAAUUAGUGGAAGGGAAUGAGAGGAAAUAAUAUGCCAAAGUAUUUGAUUAUGCACAUGAAUUGUUGAGGAGCAAUCCUGGAUCAACAGUUAAGAUCAACACAGUGCCAAGUCCAGAAGGUCCACCACAAUUUCAGAGGCUAUAUAUUUGUCUUGCUGGCUGUAAGAAGGGGUUUGUUGCUGGAUGUAGACCAUUCAUAGGUCUAGAUGGAUGUUUCCUAAAGAGUGCAUUUGGAGGAAACUUGCUCUCUGCUGUUGGGCUUGAUGGCAAUAACCACAUCUAUGUUAUUGCUUAUGCUGUUGUGGACAUUGAGAACAAAGACAAUUGGAAAUGGUUUUUAACUUUGUUGCAUGAAGAUCUUGGGGAUUACAUACAGAAUGGGUGGAAUUUCAUGUCAGACAUGCAAAAGGUAUGACAUGGUGUGAUUUGCAAUUGUUAUCAUAAGUUAGGUAUUUAAUUGAAGUUAAUGACAUAAGUUAGGGACUAGUCCAGAAGUAUUUACUACUUUGCUGUAAUUUUUCAGGGACUUAUUCCAGCUUUACAGGAAGUCAUGCCUGGUGCACCUCAUAGAUUUUGUGUCUUGCAUCUUUGGAAAAAUUUUACAAAGCAAUGGAAAAGCAAGGAACUUAAAGGAAUUGUGUGGCAAUGUGCAAAAUCCACUACUGUUGCUGAGUUUGAAGGCCAUAUGGCCCAUUUGAAGACAAUCAACUGCCAGGCUUGGGAGUAUUUGAAUAAAUGGCCCAAACAAGCAUGGACAAAAGCCCACUUCAGUACAAUACCCAAGGUGGACAAUAUAUGCAACAACACUUGUGAGGUAUUCAAUUCCAGAAUUCUGCAGUAUAGAUGCAAGCCUAUUAUCACAAUGCUUGAAGAAAUUAGAAGUUAUAUCAUGAGAACCAUGGCUGCCCGCAAGGUUAAACUUUCUGGAAAACCUGGACCAUUAUGUCUAGUGCAGUAUAAAAGACUAGAAAAAGAAUUCCAUUUUGCUAAUCAAUGGACUCCCAUUUGGUGUGGUGAUAACAUGGGCCUGAGAUAUGAGGUCCACAUGUGGGGGAAUAAGGUUGAGGUCAAUUUAGGUGAAUGGACAUGCACUUGUGGAGUAUGGCAACUAACAGGUUGUGUUUUUUAUAGUUUUUUUUUCAUUCCUAACCUACAUGUGUGCUGAUUUUACAACUUUGAUGUAGGGAUGCCAUGCCGACAUGCCAUUGCAACAAUAACUCACAAAGGAGGGAAGCCUGAGGACAUGUGUCAUGAGUGGCUGUCAAUAGAAGCUUAUAAUAAGACAUACCAGCAUUUUAUUGAACCAGUCCAAGGACCACAAUAUUGGGCCCAGACACAGUAUACACACCCUGUUCCACCACAUAAAAAGGUCCAAAGAGGAAGGCCAAAGAAAAAUAGAAGGAGAUCUGUAGAUGAGGACAAUGUCACAGGACAUAAGCUAAAGAGGAAAUUGGCUGAGUUUACAUGUGGAAGGUGUGGCCAAACCAAUCAUAACAUUAGAAGCUGUAAAAAUAUUGGAGUUCCUGUUAGGCCAAAGAAAUAUGUUGCACCAUCAACUUCAAAUGAGGAUGACCACCUAUUAUCUCAAGAUGAACAAGCUUUGAAUGAGGCUGAAGAAGCUGCUGCUCAUGUUCAACAAGAUCCGAUGGAGAUUAAUUUAUCUCGCCUCAUUUGUCACAAGAUAGUGACAUGGAGUUUAUGGUAAAUAUUUGUCACAACAAAGUAGUUUUAUCUCAACCUAAUUUGUUGCAGCACUCCAUUUUUAUAUAUUACAAUUAUUCAUGUUUGGCAUUUACAUGUAGGUCCCUGCAACUAUUGUUCCACCAAUAGCAAGGAAUAAGCUAGCCAUAACAAGAGCCAAAAAAAGGAAGGUUGCUGAUAAAGAUGAUGCAGAAAACUGAAGAAGCAUUUUUUGUUGCAUUUUGAAGGUUGCUGAAGGUUGCUGAAGACCCAUUUUUUGUUGCGCAUUUUGAAGGUUGUUGAGUUUGAAGGUUGCUGAUGAAGAAAACUGAAGAAGCAUUUUUUGUUGCAUUUUGAUAUUAGGAUGUGUAGUUGUAUAUUUUGAAAGCUUCACUGGCAUGUGAAAUGAUGUAAACAUUAUGGCCUACUGAACAAUUGCUUCUAACUACCAUGCUUUGGGAUGUCAAAUAUUAUGUGAAAUUGAUCUAAAGUCAUGUUUCUUCUCUUUCUUUUAUAAAUUAUACACUGUGUUGGAUUUGGAGUUGGAGUAGUACAAUCCAUCCCAACAUACAUUAUGAGUUGCUUCUUAUUACCUAAUUCUCUUUCUUUUAUUAAAUUAUAUUUAAUAAACUGCAAAUUUCAGCAACAAAUUUCACCAACAAAUUAUAUUUAAUUGAAAUGGAUAAUUGACAGUACCAACAAAAGCUGCUAUUACACUACAAAAGCUACUUCCUAUUACAAAUUCUUCAGCAAAACAACAAUUGACAGUAGCAACAAAAGCUGCUAUUACACUACAAAAGCUACUUCCUACUACAAAUUCUUCAGCAAAACAACAAUUACAAUAUCAAAAGCUGCUAUUACACAUUUUACCUAAAGUACAUUCCCCUUAAAACUAACAUUACAAUUAAAAAUGAAAAACCUAACAACACAAUGUUUGUUAAAUUUCUCAUUUUCUUCUGCAAAGCUUCAAUUUGUAGCCUCAAAUCAGCCACUACCAUUGUUUCUCUUGAGACAGAAGACGAAUUAGAAAGUUGGUUUUCUUCUUCAACCCAUUGAAAAAAUUGACAGUUAUCUGGGUCUGUUUGGGGUAAUGCACAAGUAUAGAAUAACCUUCCUGGGUUUCUCCUUGUUCUUGCAGUUCGAAUAGCUGCACGUCUUCCAUGGUGGCAUUGCCGAAUGAAACUACCAGAAAAUGCACAACAACUGCCACUUGCAGACAUGUACAAAUCAAGUGAACAAGCAGCAGGGACUGAGCCUCAGAGUAGAAGAAGAAGAAGCAACUCAGCGUGGGAAGAAGAAGCAACCAGCAGCUUCAUAAACCCUAAUUUUUUUGGGGAAGAAGAAGCAACCUUGCAUGUGAGAGAGAUUUUAUAGAUGCAGACCUCAGUGCCACGUUGGACAAUCUACGUGGUACUGAAUUGCCACCUAUACACCUCACUAACGCCGUCACCUGAGAAAUUAACGACAGAGACUAUUUUGCAAAACUUAUGUAAAGUUAGGGACUAUUAUGAAUUAAAAUUUAAGUCAGGGACUAAUAUGCAAAGUGGUUACAAUCUCAGGGACUAAAUUGCCUAUUCACUCGUUAAAUAAAUAAGUACCUCAAUAUAAUAUUUAUUUCUUACUUUUUUGUUUAGUUUUAGAUUUGUCCUUACAAUUUCCACUAUAUAAACAAUUGAAUGAUAUUUAUGUAAUAAAAUAUAUUAAUGAUUAUUGAAGUAGUAUCAAAUGAAGUACCAUGCUGUUUGCCCAUUACAAAUGAGAGUUCAACUGGACGGGAAUUGCGCAUGAAUGGACAUUUAAUCAGAUCAACGCUGGAUUAUUUCUUUAUCAAUAUCUGAUGGAUCCGUUAGAGAGGUAAUAUAGUAAUUAUAUGAUCAAUUAAAAGAGUGAAUUAAAUUACAAUAUUAUACUUUAAAUUCUAUUCAAACUUGAUGUCUAAUAUAGUAAUUAUAUCAUCAACCUAGUUUUACAAUAAAACAUCUAAACAUAAAAAAGGUUACAUUUAAAUUACUUAAGUUAAAAAGUUACAUUACGUUAAACUUUACAAAUUAUAAUGAUAAUGAACCUAUUACCAACUACAUCGGUUAUAAUCCAUCCUUAUUUGAUCAGGCAAAUUUUUAAGUAAAUAUGAACAAUCAAUUUGGUCAAAAAUCAAAUUAUAAAAUAUAGGAUUUGAUAUUUUUAAAUAAAUUUUAAUUUUAUUUUAUUGAUUAUAUAUAUUAUUCCAAAGUGGUAAUGUAUUUUUGGAUAUUUAUAAUUUUAGUUUUUUCACUAAUUUUAAAAUCAUUCGAUUUUUCAAUUACAGAUCAAUUAUUUUAAUUAUAUUUUUUAGUUUUCAUUAUUAUAUUUUUUUCAUAUUACGCAUUCUACUGUUAAUGCUAUAUUAUAUAUUAAAAUAUUCUCAAUUAUGUUUAAAAUAAUAUUAUACCAUUGUUACGUCAAUGAACGUACAUAAUAAUUAAAAUAUCUUAAAGUGUAAUGUUAAAAUAAUAUAAUAAUAAUAUUGGACGACUCAAUAAAUCUGUCAAAAAUGAUGAAAACAAAUAUAAAUAAUGUUAGGAAAAAAAAACAUCUUAUCUAAAAAAAGUAAUAAGAAGAUUUAUUAAAUAUUUUAAGGCUAAGAAGGAAAUAAAUAUAAAAAGAUAAAAAAUUGUCAUUUUCAAAAAUUGUCAUGAGGUAGCGUUUCAAAUUAUUUUUUUCAAACUAUUAAAAAGACAUGUUUGUCAAAUGUUGUUUAUAAAGUCAAAAGCAAAUUUUUCAGUUUGUGAAAAACAAAUUAGAAACUAACUACAACUAUUUGUCCAACAUACACUAAAUUAAUAUUUUAGGAACAAAUUUGAUGCGGAUGAGUGUUUUAAAAUUGUAAGUAACUGGUUAAAUAAGAAGCAGAUCUCACAAAAUUUUAUAAUCUUUAAUAAAUUUAAAUGGAUUCAUCUUCAUUUAUGUGAUUGUUGAUGAAUACUUUGUGUUUACGAUUGCCUCUUGGUACUUUGUUAUUAUUUUAUGAUGUUAAAAUAUUAAUUUGUAACCAAUUGUAAACAUUUUUUUUACUCUCUUAAAUAAUUGGUUUUGAGUGAAUUUUAAUCAUAAAAAACCUAAAAUAAAAAGGAACAGAAGUAAGAAAAAAGUCCAAUCAAAUUCUAUUUUUAAAUUGAGUUUAAAUAACCUUUUAUCCUUUUGUUAUUUUAAAGAAACUUUUGGUCCUUAUAAAAUGUGAUUUUUUAUUUUAGCAACCGGUGGUUUGAGAUUCCAAACUUUCUAGAUCAUCGUCUGAUUUUCUCUUGCUAUAAAAGGAUCAGUAAAUCGAACAUCCUCCAUGGCAUAUUCCUGUUUAAAUAUAUGGAUUCCCAUUUUAACAGGGUGGAUAUAGGUAUCUAUACAACGUGGACAUGUAACAUUCACAUGGUUCCAUCCAUUUUCGAAAGGCAUCUCAUAUGGACUAUUUCUGGAUUUUAUCUCUUGUAGAUCACAAAGAUAUGCAUGGUGCAUUCCUGUCCUGAAAUGGCAACUAUAAGGGGAACAUUGGUUGCCAUUGAUGAACACCAUGGGACGAAAAAAUUUGUCUUGAAUAGGUGCAACAAUAAGACAAAGAACCAUGUCAGGGAACUUAUUACGAAACCAGAAAGAAAUUGAAGGUCCACUGCUUUGCUGAUCGAACCACUCAGGAAUCCUAUCUCUUGGCAAACAAAACACAGUGUUUCCAGCUUCAUGCAGUUCCUGUUAGCCAUAAAGAAUUCAUGAGUUUACCAAAGUUAAGUACACUAUAUAUUAUCAAAUAAAAUACAUUUCAAACAAGAUAAAACCUGAUUUAGGAACUUGCUUAUACUUGAGGAAGUCAAUGAUUUACAGUUUAUUGCAAAGAAAUGCUUUAAGUUUGGUGGAAUCCCUCUAAUUUCCCGAAGAUGCUUGCAGUAACAUACAUCAAGUAUCCUUAAAAAUUGACAUUCUUUGAUGCAUUCUGGAAGGAUUGUGAAAUUAUUCUCGGAUAGACAUAAUUUCUUCAUAUGUGCAAACCAAGUAAAAUCUAUUGAAAAAAAUUCAUCACAGAGGUUGCAACUUGAGACAGUAAGCCUUUCUACCUUUGAAGAUACUGUUGACCCCGUUGUUUUUUCACCCUCUUCCUGUUUUAGCCAUUGCCACCCUUUCAAUCCCACGGCGAAGAUUUCAGUCAGUUCUGGCAUCAGGACAAUGCUACUUGGCACCUUAAAAAUUGCAUGAGGACUUAAAAAGCUCAGAUCUAAUCCUUGAAGCCCAGCAUGAUUUUGAAAUGAAAAUGGCAAUUCUGUUAUGGAAGAGUGUGACAAACAAAGUUCUCUUAUGUUUUCCAUCUUUCCUAAUAUUUUUGGAAAACUCUCAAGACCUUAACAAAAUGAAAGGUUAAGUUUUUCAAGAGAAGUCAACUUGAUAGGUGGAAAACUUCUUAGCCUUUUGCAUCUAAAAGCAUUCAAUAUUUUAAGCUUAUCCAGAAAACCAAUUGAAGUGUGAACCGUAAUUAAAUUAUGGCAGCAUUCAAAUGAAAAUUCCUCCAAGUUUGGGAGACCAGAUACGUCAGGAAUCUGUGUUAAACAUUUGCACCUGUCAAAAUUCAAUAUUCUUAGAUUUACAAACAUCUGCAAAAAAAAAAACAGAAACAAUAAGAACAGAAUGAAUAAUCUUAAAAGUGAAUUUAUUAAAUAACAAGAUGUGGAAAAUGUACUCUUUAAGCUUACCUUCCAUAAGCCAUCCAAGUCAAAUGAGGAAAUACAACUAUAGGGUAACUUGCAUAUGGAAAGUUUUUUCGGAUGAAAAUCAGAUGGUAAACAAUGUGAAGGAUAUCUCCACCAUUCCAGUACUCUCAAAUUAUUUGGAAGAUAUUUGGGACCUUUGGAAAAUUUACCAUUUUUAAUAAUAACUGUUUUGAGGUUUUUCUUCUUCUUGAAAGCCUUUGUAUUUAAUUCUACUAUUUCUUCUUUGUCAAAGCUGGGGAAGUCUAGACAUAUGAUUUCAAUUUGACUAGUUCCCUGUUAAUCCAAAAGCCACGAAUCAACCACAACCACAAUGCAAGUGAACGCAUAUUUACAGAAAUUUACAUAUUAUGAAGAAAAACAACAAAUAUGAUUUGAACAUAUGAUAGUCAGGAAACAUAAACCAAGAUAUGAAAUCAAAUCAUUCAUUAGUGCCACUCACCUUGUUGUAUUCCAAAACUUGAAUUAUAUCUUCCAGUAACCACAGUCUACUGCGCUUCUCUGGCUCUUUCGGUGAUACUUGCCUGACAAUUUCUUUACCCAUGUCCUCAAUCAAGUCAUGCAUUGUAACUCUAGGUAAUCUACCAUACCAACUAAACUUUUUUAUAAGAGAUUUUUCAACCAACACUCCAAUAUGAUAUUUCAUGCAAUCACCAUAAUGAGCGCGAAGUAUAUCUAUAACCUCUGUCAAAGCAUAUCUAUUGAAGCAACAGGCAAUGUCAAGGAAAACAUUCUUUUGUUCUUCCUCCAAAGCAUCAAAGCUUACUUUAAGUAUCUCUAGGAUUUGAAUGCUAGGAAUUCUUUUAUAUUGUUUGAUAGCAGAUUUCCAUUCUUCUAUACUUUUCCCAAACAAGUUGGAACCUAUCACUUCCAAGGCUAAUGGAAGGCCAGAAGCAUAAAUUACUACAUCAUUCAAGUCCUCCUUAUAACUUGGAUCAACCUUUUCUGUUUUAAAAGAUUUCCAUGUAAGCAAUUGAAGAGCAUUGCUCUCAUUCAAUAGUUUCACUUCAUAUGUUCUUUUAACCCCAUGAGAUGCUAGCAGUUGUUUGUCCCGAGUGGUGAUGAUGACUCUACUGCCUGGACCAAACCAACAAGGUCUUCCAACAAUAGCCUGUAAUUGUUCAUGCUUGUCAACAUCAUCUAGAAUCAAGAGAACCUUCUUCCGCUGAAGCCUAUGUUGUAUAAUUGAAGCUCCUUGUUCAACACUUGCUAGGUUGAUUUCCUUCUCUCCAAGUAUUUCCCAAAGAAGGAUGAUCUGGAGGUAUUGUAACUCCUGUUUGUUUGAUUUUUCUCUCAAAUCUUUAAGAAAACAUGAACCAUCAAAAUGACAAGCAAUCAAAUUAUAAACGGCUAUAGCAAGUGUUGUUUUUCCUAUCCCGCCAAUUCCAUGGAUCCCUAUCAUGUAGACACCAUCAUCAGAUUCAACAUCCAAAAGCUUUGUUACUUCUAGUAAUCUUGACUCUAGUCCAACCGGGUAAUCCGCAACAGGCAAAGGAGCAUGAUUAAUCUUGCUGGAGACCAACUCAACAAUCCUCCCAAUAAACUCGUAUUCAUACCCUUCUCGGUUUCAAACAUAAAAGUCUUACAUUAUGUUUGGAUGGGUACUUUUAACAAAAUAAUUUAUUUUAAAUGGGACAUUGAAUAUCUCAUUUUAAAUUUAGUGUUUGGAUAAUAAGUUAAAGAGAAAUUGAAUAUAUGACAUUUUAACAAGAAAUUUUAAUCAACAAAAAAUGAAUAAUUUCAAAUUCUCUUAAAAAUGAAAGAAUUUCAAUUCCUCCACAAGAGAGACAUUCCUCCCACUCUCAGUCUUUCUUCUUUACAAACACUGUUCACUCCUCUUGAGUCACACGCUCUCGCUCUCUUGGGAUUUCGAGAACCUUGCUCUCUCCGGGUGGUGAAAAUUCUCACAUGGGGUCUUUUUACCUAGAGUUUUUCACAAAACUCACAGAAACAGAUAAGAAUCGUGCAAACAAGUAAUUGAAAAAUGAAUGAAUAAGGAGAGGAACGGACUCGUCUUGGAAGUUUCGGCCAUGGAGGUGUGAGAAGAGAAGGAAGUAGUGAGAGAGAGAGAGGAGUAUGAAGUAUUGUUCUUUGAGAAGAGGAGAAGGAAGGACGUGAAGGAGAGUAAGGCAGAGUCAAAGAAGAGGUGAGGUUCCUUUUAAACAAGUGUUGGCUCAGAGUAACACCAUCUAGGAGGACUGCGCCAUUUGUUCCUUUAUUAAUUACUUAUCCCCCGAUUCAUCUGUUUAACAUAUACAUUUAUUUUAUAUGUAAUUAAUCAAAUCAAAGGUGAAAUAUUUUGCAUUAAAAUAUUUUGUAUUAAAUUAUUGUGAUAUUAGAUAAUUGAAUUUUUUUUAACAAAAAAUUAGAUUGAACAAGAAAUUAUAUAUCAUUCAUAUUUAAUUUUACAGUAUUGUUUAAUCCAAGUUUUUGUGUGUGUUAAUACAAAAAUAUUAUGUAAGACUCAAAAUUGUUUAACAUUAAAAUUAUUUUGAUUAUAUAAUUAUUAAAUAUUGUUUAGUAUUAAAUUUAUUUUGAAUAUUUUACUAAUUAAAAAUGAUUAAUAUUUAUUUUUAUUCAAUAUUAAAAUUUUAAUUUUUAAAUAAAUAUUUAAAAAUUUAAAUUUAAAUUUAUCCGAACAAGAAAAUUAAAAUACAAGAAAUUAAAUUGCUACAUCUAAACAAAAUAUUUAUAAAAUAAAAAGUAUUUAAAUCAAAACAGUUAAAAUGUUGUGUAUUUAAAUUUUCUAAAAAAAAUUAAAUCCUCCAUCUAAACUAAAAAAUUUUACAUCCUCCAUCCAAACAUGGGUUAAAGAAGUCAAAAUAGCCCUAUCCAGGUUUGAUACCAAAGUUGUAACAAGCAUUUCUUUUCUCUUUAAAUUUUACAAUCAAAUCAUUAGACAAUCGACACCUAACCCAACAAAAAUUAUGAAGUAAAAGAUUGGUAAGGUGUGGUACCCGUGUUUGAAAUGAAAGCCAGACAAGUUAGCUACUUGAUGCAGAGCCUUCUUCCAAUACUCCAACUUCUCCAUGUUGUGGUUGAACCUUUCCUCAUGCUUAGCCAAUGCUUCUCCAUAACUACCUUCCUGGUGUCUGACAUCAGAAGGAUCCACCUUAUAAAAAACUGGCACAACCAACAGAUUUUUGCUCUUAAAGCACUCAAGAAUGUGAGCAAGUUCAUCUAAGCAAAACCAGGAAGAAGCUUAAUUUAUAGAGAGCACAGUGAUGGCAAUCCUGGAAUCUUGAAUUGCCUUCAGAAGUGCUGGUGUUAUUUCCUCUCCACUCUGAAGCUCCUCAUCAUCAAUGAAAGUGUAGAUUCCCCUGUCAUCAAGAGCUUUGUAAAGAUUUCCGGUAAAACCAUGACGUGUGUCUGCACCUCUGAAGCUGAGGAAAACAUCAUAGUUGAAGGAAGAGGAACAUGAUCCCAAAGCCAUGUGAACUGAGAAGAAAGUCUACUAUGAUUGUGGAUGGAAUGUUGCGUCUCCAAAACUUGGAUGAAGGUUCAUAUGUUUAUUUUUUCUGGCCUGCAUAAAAUAAAACAAUUAAAAAAUUAAGACUAUGAUCAUUAGUGUUAGAAGAUGAAGUGUGAGUUAAUAUGCAUUAAGAGACUUUAUUUUUGUGUAACCACUAAGUAUUUGAAGGGUUAUUGACAUUAAGCACGUUUUUUGUGUUAAUUGAAGAGUCAUUUAAUGGCUAUAGAUUGCUCUCAAGUCUCCUCUCUAUUUUUCUAACACCCUCCAAGUGGAAUGUAUUUGCGUUUUGGAUCCACUGACAAUUUUGUUAAGUAAAUUACAUUGCAACAGUGGAUGAUAUGCUGUGUAUCUUCUUCAGUUUAAUAUAUAUAAAGCAAAGCACUUUCAUUUUUGAGUUUUUGAAAUUAAACGAAUUAGAUUUGUUGUUUUUAUCACUAGCAUAUCCAGAAAACCUUCCACGAAGUUUCAUAAAAUAAUUAAUCUCCUUGAUAUUAGUUGUGCUUCUAACAUGAUUUUUUUUAUCAUGAUUUUAUAAUUUUGAAUAAACUUUAAUCAAUGAUAAAAUGUGUCUAAAAAGUAUGUUAUUUGCACUUUUCAUAUCCAUUUUUAUACUAUAAAAUAAAAUUAUCAAUUUAGAAAACACUCCUUUCUUUCCAUCGGUUAGACAUUUUCAACACUCUUUUUCUUUUCUAUCUGAAAGAUGCAUUUCACAUUCUAUUUUUGUAAUGAGCAAAAAAAAAAAACGUAUCUCUCAACCAUUUCAAAUUAAAUUUCUUUGUUUUUCAAAUGUAUAUUUUGAUUAUCUUAAUUAACUAAUUAUUUAUUUUUUAUUUAAAUUAUUUAUUCAAUUUAUUUAUGUAUUAAAAAAUAUUAUUAUUAUCAAUUUUAAUUAUAUAAAAAUAAAUAUUUAUUACGUGUUAUGCAAGAAUAUAAAAUAUUAGUUUAUUUUAUUAAACUAGUAUCAGCAAGUUUAAUAAUAAUACUUUUUGAAUUAAACCAAUGGGUUUAUUGUAUUCGCAUCAGCAUACAUACAGCUAACAACUCAAGCUUGGCAUAGCACAAAUGUGACGAGAGAUUGUUGCCUUCAAUCAUUAAUUAUGCCAAUUUUUCUGAAGGAAUAGAGUGAAUUGCUCGGUAUCUAGAAAUCGAUGGGCACAGCUACAACGUCAGAUUCUUUAGCAUAUAUAUGAGACUUUUUAUAUAUAGUUGAGCGAAUACAAAAAAUAGCAUAGCAUAUUAUUAUUAGCAUAAUCAAUAUUGUCCUUUAAAAGAUGCAACUCUCACCAAUGUUCAAUGAUAACUUGGCAAAGUAGUUUCUAUAUUCUCCCGGCCAUUGAUUUCUUCAAUAACUUUCUCUUUUUUACAAAAAAAAAAAACCCAUGAAGGCGCAGGAAUUAUCUUGGCAUGUGGAUAACACAUCUCUGACACUUUCCUUCCUUCAUGAGAUUGAAAGCUUUGUUAAUGUCAUCAAAUGGCAAAUUGUGUGUUAUGUAGUCAUCAAUCUGGAUUUCCUGCAUAUUAAUCAUAAUAUUAGUACAUAUUUUUUUGCUAAAAUAGCUGCUUGAAAGAAAAAAAGCAUAUCAAGCAAGAAAAUAGCUCUGAUAAGCAUUUGAAGUUGCAUUCUCAAUUCCUCCCUCCCUCCCCCCUUCAAAAAUAUCUCUUUCACAGACAUUUGGUACACUUUAUAAUGAAAAACAAGAUUAGGUCACAAAUACCAGCUAUAUAUAGACAAGUAGUACAUCACAAAUAAACGAUAAUGAUAACAUGAAAUUGUCCUCCGCUUCAUCAUAAAUAAACGAUACAAGUGCAGCAGAUGGAAGUAAGAAAAAAAGGGCAUACAGCAGGUAAAUCAACAUACACUUUGACAUUCAUAGUCAAAAACAUAUACAAGUAGAAUGAGAGAGAGAGACAGAGAGAAUUUUUUCAGGGUAAUGCUGCUAUAAGAACUUUACCUUUGCAAAAACUCAUUUUUGAACCAUAGAUUUACCUUUGUAUCUCUGGUGUCAGUUCAAAUUUCAAAACAUUAAGCAUAUUUUCUGCACAAAUCAACAUGAAAUCUAAUGGUUCUUCACAUUUGUUGUCUUCUCUCCUUAAGAGUUUGUUCAUGUAACAUUACUAAAUUUCUAUCUUCUCUGUAGAGUUAUUCUAAUCACUGGUCAAUGAACUUAAUUAUCUAUGCAAGAAAAUUACCUUUUUCAAAUAGUCAUAGAGAACCAUUUAUGCAGAAGGUAGACAUUGCCGUGUUUCAGCUUAGAGUGAAAACGUAUAAAGUAGUCAGGUUCAGAUGAGAGGAAUCCGGGUAUACUGUUUCAGUUACCUUGUUGAGGUACUUCUUUACUAAUGAAGGCAGAUCAGAUUUUGGUUUCCAUCCCCAAAAUAGAGAUCCUUUCAAUGUUCUUCCCAUUAGGAGUAGUCCAUAACGAGCUGACAUCUCAAGCUUCACCUUUGGCACACCAAGUGUUACAGUCAAACCCCAUCCCUAUGCAACCAAGGAAAGAUAGAAUGAAUUCAAGUAUAAUGAAUAAAAGCUUUUAAAUGUCAAUUGCCAAAACAAAAAUUUUGGGUUUAUAGAGUAUUACAUCACAGCAUGACUACAAUGCAGUGGUUAUCAUAUCAGUGUCACCUACACAUUCGAACGAGAAAUCUGCCCUUCCAUCAGUAAUGCACUUAAUAACCUGGAAAUUUUCAACACAUAAAUGGUUGUUAUGACUUCCAAACUUUGUGUGCAUACUUAUAGUUUUUGUGUGCAUACUUAUAGUUUUUGUGCCGAAGUAAAAUUAUAUUCAACCAAAAUCAAAUUCACAAUAAAUAAAUUUGUAUGGAUCAAACAUAUGUAAUAUUUGAUCUAGCGGGAUACUUUUGAUAGCCAUCAAUUACAGUUACAUACAAUUUUCUCCACAAAAUAAAGUAUGAAAAGUUAAAUCAGAUGUUUUGUAAUGAGAAGAUCAAGCCGCCUGAGCAAUAGGUUCUUUAUAGGAAUUCGGGAAACAACUUCAGUAACCCCAAAAGCUUUAGUUGUGGCAACAAACAACAAUAAGUAAAUAAAGGGAAAUAUUAAAUAUAAAUUUCAGAGUAACUUGAGGAAUUGAAUAUAGUACCAUUUUCACACUUCUGUGGAUUAUUGUCCACACCAAUUAUUCGAGAUGCACCUCUUAGUUUGGAAGCUUGAGCAACCUAAUUGAUCAAAGGAAAAUUAAUUACAAUUUGGAAAAUAUUGUUGCUUAUCUGUUGAGAAGUUAAGAUCGAUACAAUUGAAUUAUCAAUGUACUUACAGAUAGGCCAACAGUUCCAAGACCAAAAAUCACCACAGUUGAUCCUUUUGACACGUCAGCAACAUUCCAUGCUGCGCCCAGACCUAAUGUUUUAAAAAAAUGAGUCCCAUAAUCAACAAAAAAAUAAUAAUUUAUCAAUGACAUUAACAACACUUAUUGGGAUCUAUGGCUCUGACAGUGUCUAGUAGCAAAAGUUCAUAGUAUAUUAUUUGUGAGGUAUAAGAAAGAGGAGGAAAAUAAGUCCAGCAUUUGUAUUUUGCCUACAAAUUCAUCCAAUGCCACUUGGAACUAACAAUUCCUUCAAUUUCAUCCAAUCUUUACCUAUGCCAGUUACAAUGCCUCUGGCAUCAUCAAAUCCAAUAAUAAGACGUUUUACACUAUCUUGUGUUUCCUUACCAAUCAUUUGUGGAGCUGCUUUGGUUAAUAAUCCGAAAAUCCAGUACUGCGUUUUGGAUCAUUACACAUUGAGUUAUAAUCAAAUUAGUUUCAAGUUUUUCUGGAAGUCCAGAAGCAGUAACAAGUCAUCAAUAGACAAUGCUAAACAUGCAAUUAAAAAUAAUUUUUUCGACACUUAUAUGCCCAAUGUGGCAAGCAAAUAAUGUGUUUAGGGCAUAUAAGUCAUUCAUUAACAAACUACAAGAUAUUAAAGCAAAUAAUGCAAAACAAAAAUAUAUGAGGACAUUUUGCAGGGUAAACCUAUGUGGCAAGCAUCUAUGAGGCAGGUGAUGGAACUCUUAUAUGCCCUAAAAUCAAUUUAAACUGUAAAAAACAGUGACCUUUGACAAUCAAUCAGUCUCAAAUACGCAACAGGUUUUGUCAAAAUGCAAAACAACAAAAAAGAAAGUCAUUAUCUUUCUAAGUUUUAACUAAUUUAAGAGAAAAUCAGACCAAUUCACUUGAUGACCUCCAGCUGAGAGGAUCACCUGUGAUGAUUUUACAAUUAUAUAUAUUGCCUUUGUUUAUUUUCCAAGGCCAUACUGUUCCUUUGACAUUCAAACUGAUGAACACACAGACAGAAGUCAUGCCUCCUCUAACCAUUUAUAGGAAAUAACAAGAAAAAAGAAUCAGACAGCUUAAUGGCUAUUAACCUGUUACUAUUUCAAGUAAUUUAAGUACACGGUUUUAAGUUUACAAUGUUGAUUACUGAAACUCCAUUAAUCUAUUCCCUAAUUUUAGAACUAAUAAUAAACAGCUGAAACAUUUACCUGCAGCAACCCCACAGCUCAGAAGACAUAUUUUCUCAAGAGGUGCAAGGGGACUGAGUUUCACUGCACAUCCAGAAUGGACUACUGUGUAUUCACUGAAACUUGAAACAGCACAAUAAUCAUAAACAGGUUCCCCUUUUACUGAGAAGCGCGUCUUCUGGUCACUAUGCAUUAAACCCAUCCUUUCCAAUCCCAAAACGACAAGUGUUGCUUUUUCCAGAUGUGCACUGCCUGCAUGAUAUGCAUUCUCCAAUGAAUACUGUUAGCACAUGGUCCCCCUCUUUGAAUUCAGUCACUCCUUGUCCCACACUCUCAACAAUGCUGCAAAAAUAUACCAAAUAUUAAAUAUCUACUGAGAAGACUACACCUUUUUGCAAUGAUUUAGCUAAAGUAAUGUCCUUGAUGCAACAAUGUAUCACAUUCCCAUGCAUAGUGUAAUACUUCACUCUCAGCUGAUCGUUGUCACUCUAACUCAACUUGGCAUAUCAGUAUUUGAUCAAAUUCUCAUACUACCCAAUUGGGUAACUCUUAAAAAUACAAAAUUUCUUCUUAUGAAAUUCAACAAAAAUAACCUAAGGAACACUAGUGACUCAAUGUUGUCUUAAUCCAAACGUAGAAAUAAGAGUAGAUUACCCUGAUGCUUCAUGGCCAAAUAUUCGAGGAAAUAUGGCCUGCAAAAAAGCACCUGGCGUUAAACGCUUAACUACAUCCAUUCAUAAAUUUUUAACAGAAAUCAUGACAAAGAAAUAUUCAUUAGUAGACUAAUCGAUCACACCACCAGCCAUCGGUAGCUUUUAAAAAAGAACAGGAGGCAUACUCUUGAGAACGCAACAUUUAAUUCAAGAUUUAUCAGUAAAACAAUAAUCAAUCACAUUAAACAUCAAAUGUUGAUAGGCAUGCAUUGGCUAAUAUGUUAUUGAAUUACAUCUCAUGAGUUGAAUUUUAAUAAAUUCUGUCAAAUCAAAAAUUACUUCAAGUAUGACUUUUAAAUACACGAUUCAAUGAUGAUGUAAAAGAUCCUUACAAUGUCAAUUUAUUCCAAUUCAAUUUGAAGUUUCACACUCCAAAAGAACCAUGCGAAGUUUUAUGAAACAAAUUUUCCAUUAAAGGCAAGAUAACAACCAGACUUACAUGAGAUUCCCAAGCGGAGAGAUCACUGCGACAGAGAGAAGUGGAGACAACCUUAAUCCUAAUCUCCAUUGGUUGAGGAGGACUCACUUCCACUUCCUCUAUCACCAAUGCUUCCCCAGCUCCCCAUGCCACUGCAGCUGUUCCAUGUUCCACAUACCAUUAACAAAAGCCACACGAAUUAAUAUCCCAUGUUGAUCAUAAAACAAUGCACAGACAGAGAUAUCAAAACAAGAAAAUGAAAAAGGAAAAGGGUGGCUGACUUUACCUUUGCAGGUAAUGACUUGAGGUGUUGACAUGUUGGUGAGUGAAGAACUAUUACAAAGUGGGAAAGAAAAAGGGUGGAAGAGAACUUGAAAUAGCAGUUGGUGGUGGUAGGUAGUCUGUCUAAGACACGGAGUUAGUUGGUAUAUUGUAGUAGGAUUUAGAAUGUUGUAGUAAUUAUGUGGCUACUGUCAAUUUUCAAGUUUUAUUCAAACUAAUGAAAUUUAAGAAAAUAUUUAAUAAUUUUAUUUAAAAACAAGAACAAAUUAUAAAAAUGUUCGUUUUUGAAAAAGUUGGUAUUUCAAAAUUGUUUGGAUGUAUGUGAGAGUCUAAUUAUGACCAAGGAAAGGCGGAAACUUUCUUUUACUGUGCCUUCAAGACAUCUAUUAAAAAAUAUACUAGUUGCCUAACAAUUAAUAGUAUAAUUGUUAAUAAUUCUUCAAAAUAAAAUAAAGAUAUUGUCAGGAAAAUUUAGCAAUAAUAAAUAAAUAAAAAGUUUGCGAAAUUUAUUCAACUUCAAUGAAGUUUUACCAUAUUAUGGCAUAUGAGCAUAUCCCUUGGUGUUAACAUUUUUCUAUUAUCAAAUACAAAAAAAGAGGCAGUAAGUGCAUUAUUUAAAUAUUGGUUUUAACACAGCUUAGCUAAGUCUUGGUGUACAGAGUUCCAAUUCGCAGCUAAAUCUUCAGCAUUCCGUCCCAUUAAAAUGUCACAAUAUGGCAUUGUUUGGAACUCAUCAAACCAAACCAAACUCACAAGGACAGAAAAUAACAAAAUACUUGAGGGCUAACAAAGAAAAUAUGGUUAAAUUCUUGAUUCACAAUAUGGACAUCAUGUUCCUAGCGUUGAAGACAACUAAACAUCAUAUUCUCAACAAUCAUUUCUUCACUAGAACAUAAAUAACAACACGAUUGCUGCAAUAAUCAGGGUGCCAGAGCGUUUGUUCCACGCGGCCAAUAGUGAAAUUAUCCAUUGCAGCUUCUAAGAAGUACUCAAGAAUGGCAUCUGAAAUCAGAAAACACUACUGAGCAGUAUGCUAUAAAUUGUGCUCCCAAAAGAAAAGAAAAAGGAAUGGUAUUCUUUACCAUUUCGGAGUUCUCCAGCCAAAAAUAUUGUUGUAUUAGGUCCAGAGAGCUGCAUAAGUGUUUCUAGCAGAUCCACAACUGCCCCCUCACUGUACACUACAUCAGAUCCUAUCACUGAAAACAAGAAGUCAAGUAUUGAAUCGAUAAGGAAUGCUAGCAAAAUAUCACAUGAGAUGCAGGUAAUUCAAAUAUUUGACAAGGCAUGCAAGUCAAAGGAAGAAAAAGAUAAAAUUAACUACAAAGCUAUGAUUAGAAUGAUGACAAUAAUCACAAUUCACAGCAAAACGUCAAAAGUUUCUGAUGCCAGUAAUUGAAUGUUGUUUGCUCCUUGUCACUUGAAGGAGUUGAGGGAGAAUUAUCAUACCAAAAUCGGGUUUGGGGUCAAUGAGUUCUGGGUCAGGAUCUUCUCCCCAUGUGAGCUCAGUUGCUGUUACAGAACCCCGUAGAGAAACAUGUUUCAUGUUGGUCUCAAUAUUCUUUCUCAGUAGCCUCAGCCUAUCUGGCAGAUCAGUGACAAUGACCUCACUACCCAAAAGGGUUGCAAUGCAACUAAGGAAGAAAAAAAUAAGAAAGGUGUAUCAUAGAAUGAGUAAGAACAAACUUAAAAAUAAUUCCUCGUCAUUUUUUAGAAAACUUAGAGAUAGUUUGGAUAAAAUUUUGAACAACCAAAAAGAAAAUAAGAAGAAUUAAGGAGGUAAAAUGAAUCAAACUUCUCCCAUAAGAUAAAAUCAACUUAUACACAACUAAUGGAGUAGAAAGAUGAGAGUUCAUAGCAAAAUUUAGGUGGAAAAGUAGAUUUUAACCUGUGGGAGGAGAAAUUUGAUUGUUAUUAACUUCUUAAUUCAUUAUAUUUUCUUCUCCAAAAAGGACCUAUUGAGAAGCUUAUUCAAACGGUCUCUUGUUCGUAAAAAAAGACAAUGCAAAAGCUCAAAGCUCUAUUUUCCUAGUUCAGUAAAUCCUUGUGGAAAAAGACAAGCUAAUCAAGAAACUAUGGACAAACUGUAGCCAUUUAGCAUGAACAGGUCAAAUAGGAUGAGAUUGCAAUUGAACUUACCCAACCAAUCCACAACCAGAACCCAAUUCAACAAUCUUCUUUCCCUGAAGGACAAGCAUCCCUGAGUCAACAGCAUGCUCUAGAAACUUUCCCAGUACAACUCCACUGUCCCACAUCACUGCUCCAGUUACUCCAGGCGUUCCCUUGAAACAAAAGUCCAAAAUCUCAAAACUGUUUAAAACUAAAAACCAAUCAUUAGAAAAGGCACAAGCCAAAGCAGAAGCCAUCUGAGCACUAAUGUGAAUUAUCCAUGUCAACAGAACCAUUACACAUAAGUAAUAAAAAAAAACAAGCACGAAUCACAUGCCUCUAUCCCUCAACCACCAAAACAUGCCCAAACAAAUUAGUCACUAAUUUAAGUUAGUUUAUUCUGUUAGUUAAGUUCCGCUCCUAAAAAACAAGUGUACAGCAUCCAAGACACUCCAGACACUAUAUAUAUAUUAAUGAUUACUCAAAAAUAAGUUAAAUGGUUCAUUUUCUCAAAUUCAGAUCUUCGAUAACACAUGUCAUCAACAGGGGCUAUAGCAAGCUAAUAACUUUAAGCAAAAACAAUCAGCAUCAUGGUAUUUUAUGAAAUGGGUAAUCACGUUCGGGCAAAAAACAAAACCGGGUGAUCAAGUUAGAACCCAAAACAAGAUCAAAAUCAAAGCUUUAAUCAAUAACCUUUAACCAGAGCAUUGAGAGAGAGAUACCAAUGAGGAAGGGGAUUGAAGAAUGGAGAGAGAGUGGCCACAAGAGUCGAGGGAGAGUUGCAAGGAAGCUUGAGAGACGAAGGCAUUGGGUUUGGAAAGUGUGGGCUGCUGAAUACCCCAAAGCAGCAUGGUCUCCUCCGCAGCGGAUUCCUCCCCACCAACCACCAACCGAACCUCACCACCGUAAGAACCCAACUUCACCAUUGGCGCCACUGCUUCCUCUUCCUCUUCGUUGUUGUUGGCCAUGGUGUCCUCGCUCUCUCUGUUUCGGAUUGAAUUGGGUUUUAAUUUGUGGCCUUUUUAGGUAUGGGCGUUGAAAGGAGGAGGGCUUUUGCUUCCUGCACCCCAUAAAAAAGUGAAAAAUCAUGUACCCCAUCGAAAGUAGGCCAACCGAGCUCCAAGGCACCUCAUGCAUCCCCUCUGUCAGAGAUAAAGGCAAGUUUUGGGAAACGUCAGCUUUGCUUUGCAGAGCUUUCUAUGUUGCUUGCCAUUUGUUUAUUUAGUAUGUUUUAUCUGUUCUUGGUUAAUGUAUGUUUCAUCUUAGAUAAAUGGUAACUUCUGUGUAACCACCUACGAUACACAUCCAGAGAUUUCAGGAUAACCAUUACAGCAGUUAAUUGUACAUAAAUUAGCGCUUGACCUAAGGAGACGGAGAUUACACUUUCACAUUUGAGUCAGAACCUUAGACGUGAUCUAAUUAUAGGGACACACCCAAAUGGACAAGAUUAGCCUAAUCUCAUUAGACACCCAAUCACUUGUCGACCCUAGCUAUUUUUUCUAAGAAUAAUAUAUAUAUAUAUAUAUAUAUAUAUAUAUAUAUAUAUAUAUAUAUAUAUAUAUAUAUAUGAGUCCCAAAUUUAAAGAGAUCAAUUUCUCCGUACCAUAUUUUGUUUCAUUACUAGUGGUAUUUAUGCAAUUUUGUUGAAACUAUAUGCUUUAAUUUGGGAUAUAUAGAUAAACCUAUGUCUAUUAUAGUAUGUGAUAAGAGUUAGAGACUAUAUGUUGUUAUAUCCUUAUAAUUAUAUUGUAAAUAUAUCGAGUAUUAUUCUCUAUAUUGGUGCUUGUUAUCAUAGUAUUCCUAUCGAUUACAAUUUUGCGUCAUUGAGAUACUUAUAAAUUUUAUGUUUGGAACAAUAAUCUAAGUUUGUGCUCAUUAUUAACAUUUUGUGGUCGUACUAAUUUAGAGUAUCGUUUUAUUUAAUCUAGGUGUCUAUGUCACCCAAGUAGGAAGCUAAUGGAUUUCACGUUUGCAUAGUUAGUUAUUUUGUGAAACUCAAAUUAAUUGAGUGUCAAUUAUUGUAAGGACAUUUAUUGCUUCAGCCCAUAUUUGAUCAUUUUUGUUAUUGGACUAUCAUGAACACUUAGAUGCUUGUGAAUUAUGUUCCGGCCUUUAUAACCUUUUUAGACUUAAAAUGAUAUGAUGUUGAAAGAAAACAUUUGAAGAUUCAAUGACCAAAGAAUUAACUAUUGAGCUUUGAGAAUUUUGUUAAUCAUUUUGUGUUUGGUUAAGUCUUUUGGUGUUUUGGGUUAGUGGGAGUCGAAAAACUUUUUCAUGAUAUAUAUAUAUAUAUAUUGUCUUGGUAACAUAUCUUGUAGCAUUUUAGAUGCUUGGAUCAUUGUUAUAUAGCGUAUUUUGACUAUUAGACUAUAUUAUUCCAUACAUUAUUUUCGUGUGAGAGAUAUGUAUAUAUGAUGCACUAAAUAUGUAUCCUUAUCAAAUAUUAUUUUCUAGCGUUAAAUAUUUUAGAUUUCUUAUAUUAUUGACAUAUGAUUAAGAUUGUCCUUCUAGCUUUGAUGAUUAUUUUCAUUGGUUAAUACUAUCUAGGAGAGAGAAUGUUAAAAUAUUUAUUAUGGAUUAAUAUUAAUCAAUAAUUAUUAUAUUAUCUUUUAUCAUCAAUCAACAAUUUGAGAUAAGAUAAAUAUCAUAUGUAAUUAUAGAUAUUUUAGAUGAGAUUAUAGAUAAAAGUGACCUUGUGAUGGGUUGAGUUAAUUAUUGAGUAAAUAACUCAUUGAGAGGUCCCUUAUCAUCAGGGAGAGGAUUAUAAAUUUAUUAUUUCAUUAAACAAAUUGACAUUUUGAUUGUCUUUCUCUUAGUUAGAUUCUCUUAAACAAUUUCCUACAACGUGACAAAAAUCCUCUCAAGAAUAAUUAAAGAUUUCAUCGUCAUGCAACUCAUGGUAUAAUUUAGGUAUGUUUUUGACACCCUUUUAGAUUUUAUUGUUAUACUUAUAUAUUAUAAUUUGUAUUUAUGAGAUCAUUUGUGUUAUCUACCAUUAGAGAAUAAUAUAAACAUAUGUUAUUUAUAAUUGAUUAUAUACUUUUUUGAUUAGUUGAUUGAUUGAUUAUUUACUUAUCUAUAAUUGAUUGUAUAUUUUGAUUAAACUCAUUAAAGUAAAGGUGAAAAUACUUUGGCGAGUUCAAGGUGAAAUUAGUUUUGUGGAGGUUAAAUUAAAACUUUUUUUGGAUAAUUGAGAAAAAACAUUUUAAAAGUAGUUAUAAUUCUUUAAUUUUUAAAAAUAAUUUUACAAAUAUAUUAGAUAUCCAUUUAUAUAAAAAAAUAUUAAUAGAUGGAUUGGAUUGAUUUUAUAAAAUAAAUUAUGAAUGAAUUGAAUAGUUUUAAUAAAUAUAAAUAAAUUAGUAGAUAAUUUCCAUUCUAAUCCAAAUCAAAAUAUAUUAAAUUUAUCAAUUUCUCCCCAAGUUGGAUUGACCUAAUUAGAGCGAACAAAUUUAACAUGAUGCAACCCAAAUAUUUUUUAUUGGGUAGGGUGUAAAUUUUUCUCAACCCUGAUCCAUCUCUAACAGUGUUUACUUUUAUAGUAAGUAAGUAUUAAAUAACUUAUAGUUUUUUUUUUUGCUGACUUUUAAUUUAGAAUUAUUUAAUACCUACUAAUGCUUAUUAAAAAACUUAAAUAUUAAAUACUUUUAUAGUAAAUAAAUAUUAAAUAAUUUGGAGUAGUACUUUUUUUUUUCGGUGAGCUAUUUAAUGCUUAUUAAAAAAAACAUAAAUAUUUCAAAAUUCUUAUUAAAGGACCCAAGUGUAAUACAAAAGGAAUAAAGGACUAUUGCUAAUUUAAAAAAAAUAAAAAUUGUAAAGACUGGAAACGAAGCGUCUAGAUUUAGAAGAACAGAAGAUGCAGCUUCGUCGAUCUUGCUUCUUCUUUCAUCAUUUUGCAUCGCGUUAGGGUUUGCAGAUUUUCAAUUUCCCUUCUUUUCGCUACCUUUCUCGCAUAGAAUCUCGCAAUUCCUCCGUUGUUCCGUUUCCGCAACUCAUCAAUUCGAAAGUUAUUGCUUCACAAGGUAAAAAAAAAUUCGUUCCCUGAGCUACAAUUUGAUGGUGUUCCUUGUCUUACAUCCUCGAUUCCUCUUCAUCAGUUUCAUCGAAAUUCGAAUAAAACAAUUUCCAUGCAUUAUUUAAAUGUUUUCGAAUAUUAUCUGUGUGGAAAACUAAUUGGAGUGUGAAUUAAUUUUUCUGUGCCUGUAACCUACAUUGUGCGUUGUAGCAUGUACCUGUAUUAAACAAUUGUGAUCCCUGUUCUUCAUAACUUAUGAUCCUGUGUUGCAGCUGAGGCAUGAUUUUUAGUACUCUAAUAAUUGUAAUUCUCAAUGAAACUGAACCUUAGGUGAAUUUGAAUUUAGGAGGUAGAGCAUGUAAUAAAGGAAAAAAAUGGAGGUCGAGGUGCCAAUCUCGCUUGAUUUGAAUAAUCAACUUCAGCCAGAGACCGUAGUUUCAGUUCAAAAUGGGGAUCCUGGUGUUUCCUCUUCUGUUGCAAAUGCUGUUAACCCGCAGCAGCCAGGUCAGUUUUCGAGCUUCAUUCCUAAUUUUUAUUUGGUGUACAGUUAGGCUUUGACACGUGCCAUCGUUGGGAUGAGAAGUCAAAGGUUUAAUUGCUUGAUGUCGUAUAUAGCUACAAAAAAACCGACCAGGCAGUGGGCUGCAUGGACUCGACAAGAGGAGGAAAGUUUCUUCACCGCGUUACGACAAGUUGGGAAGGUACAUUUAUCUUUGGUGUUGUUACCUUUCUGUGUUUGUUUCUUAUGGUAUCAUAAUGAUUUCUGAUCGAAAUAUUCUUGAAUGUAGAAUUUUGAGAAAAUCACUUCCCGUGUACAAAGUAAAAACAAGGAUCAGGUAUCCACUAAAACUUCACGUGGCUUUUUAACCCUUUGCAUUUUCCCAUUCAUCCACACCCCCCCCCCCCCCCAAAAAAAAAUGAUUAUGUUUUAGUUUUAUUGCAAAUAAUAUCAUGUCUUGUUUUAGUUUUCUUACGCACUUUUUUGUGUGGGGGCUGACUUGCAGGUCAGGCAUUAUUACUACCGACUUGUGAGACGGAUGAACAAACUUCUUGGUCCAGGAUUAUGUUUGGAUGCCAAAAACUCUAAAGAUACUAAUGCUGCAAUGCUUCGCUGGUAACAAUUUAUUCAGAGUGGUUGUUAAAAUGGGUUUAUAUACAUGUAGAUGCGCACUUGACUGCAUGUGUGUAAGAUGUAGACUAUCUUUUUGUUCACCAAGUUAAAAGAUGUUAUUUCUAUGAUGGUGCAUUGGUUAACUGAAAUUUAGUCUAUUUUAUUGUAUACGCGUAAGGAAAAUCAUGGAAAGAACAGGUUGAUGAUGGGAGGAAAACAUGUCCUUGUAUAGAAAUGGAUGGAUGCUUCAGAUGUCUAGCCUAGACCAUAAGCGUAAUCAUCUUUGGUAGUAAGAAAACAUUAAGGGCUGAAAUUCCUAACUAAUAUUCUUGAAGUACACAACAUCCCCUGUUUAAAUACCCUUUUUUAAUUUGAGGAUAGACUGGACUGUUUAGUGACUUGGUAAAUGACAUUCGAUUUUGAGACUGAGAUUGACAGUGCAUUUUAUAAUUUUAUCAUAUUAUAGUAAUUUCUUGAAUAAGAAUAGGGGUAUAUUAUGGGAGUUUUUUGCAUUGAAAGUUUCUCACUAGUUUCUCACUUUUACCUGAGACACAGGUGGUCUUUAUUAGAAAAGUAUAGCUGCAAAGCCUCAAAGCUUCACCUGAAGCCCCGGAGAUUUAAAAUUUUUUUAGAAGCCUUGGUUAGUAAAGGCUAUUUACAGUUAUUUGGGAUUUUUUUUAAUAUCUUCUGUAUGUGCUGGAGCUGAUCUACAUUUUUUGUCGCAAAGGAGCACCAAUUAUUGAAGGAUCGGAAGAAGAAUGUGAGGAAGCGACCCUUACAGGGGGGGAAUUGUCUUCCUGCUGCACCUACCGCAGUCUCAAAUCAAAGUAGAGCAUCAGGAAAUGAUGCCCGUGCAGUUAAACUGGUACUUGUUGACAAUCAAAAUAUUUUAAAAUUGGGACCUUCUAAACCAUCAACGAAGCGCACUGUAAACAUGGGUGUUAACCAUAGUAACACCAAGGGAGAUUCAAAUACCAUGAAACCAACAAGGCAACGAAAGAAAUCUGGUGAUCUUUUUCAAUUCCCUUCAAGAUCUCAUUUACCAGUUUUCUGCUUUGAACUAGUUUUUCCUUCAUGAUAAUUGGAUAAUAUAUAUUUAAAAUUUAAAGUAAAUUUGCAUUAGUCAAUUUUUUUUUCUUACUUUACAGUAAUAACUAGGUUCUCUUUAUUUCUCAGGUACGAUUUCAACGGCUGCUUAUAAAAAAUGGGAGAAGGCUGCAAUUGCUGGUGUUUCUUUAGUUGCAGAUGCUGCUGAGCAUUUGGAGCGAGCUGCAACUGUUAAAGAAAUUGAACAAGACCAGGAGAAUCCAGGUAGCUACCACACUUGGAGUUUUAUCCUAUCCUUGCUUCCACGAGGGCUUUCUUGGAUCUUCUGUAACUUCAAUCAAUUUUUCUAUGUUCGUUCCAGGAGAAAGAUGUUCUGAUCCCGCUGAUUAUGUCCUGCCCUCUUUAGCCAAAUGUCCACAAAAGCAAUUUGUUGAUAACAAUGUGAACAAUAUUAUGAAACUUAAGCUCCAGUUAUUUCCAAUUGAUGAACCUACUCGAAGAGCAUUGGAAAUGGUGAGUAUAAAAGAAAACCAACAAGAAUCUUACUUUAGCAAUGUAAAAGUGCUUUUGGAAACUAUCAUAUCUUUUUCUUUUUUUCCCCUCUUAGGAUAAGCAUAAUCCACACCUGGAGCUUACACUUAGUACUCGAAAGAAGAUAUCAUCAAUUUUAGAACAUCUAAACCGUAAAUGGGGUAAUUCAAGCAUAGCAGCUGGAGAAGUAAUGCUUUUUCCUUAUGGUAUUCAAAGGGAAAAUUUAGUUAAUUAUCCGAGAUGGACCCAGGAAUCUACUCUUAGUGCAGCUGAUAUAUAUGCAAUGAUUGGAAGUCCACCCAUCUUCCGUUUAAGGUACCUCUUUUAUCUUGCCAUCUUGGUUUAUUGUUAUAUUUGAAGUAACUAGACAGUGGCAUGUAAGAAAACUAUUCAAUUGUGAUGCUCUUAAUAAUUGCUUAGAUAAAAGAACCUGUGAAAAUUCAUUCACUUCAUCGCUGAUUAAUUGGUUAAUUUAUAAUCAUGCUUUCUGUGAAAUGUUGAAUUGAUGAAUGAUGAGGGAAAAGUAAACAAAAUGAUUUUGAUACUGAGUUAUAAAAAACAGCAAAAUGUUUCAGGGAUUCUAUACACACAAGAAAUGCUUUAAAUGGAAAGCCAUCUGGGCUACUUUACCUUCUUUAUUGUUAUAUUUGAAGUAAUUAGACAGUGACAUGUAAGAAAACUAUUUAAUUGCGAUGUUCUUAAUAAUUGCUUAUAUAAAAGAACAUGAGAAAAUUAAUUCACUUCGUCACUGGUUAAUUUGUUAAUUCAUAAACAUGCUUUCUGUGAAAUGUUGAAUUGAUUAGGGAAAAGUAAACAAAAUGGUUUUGGGAUACUGAGUUAUAUAAACCAGCAAAAUGUUUCAGGGAUUCUAUACAUACAAGAAAUGCUUUAAAUGGAAAGCCAUGUGGGCCGCUUUACCUUCUUUAUUGAAGAUAUUUUUAAGUAUGAGUGUUUGUCCUUAAUUGCCGGUUAUACGAAGUAGUAAAUUAACUCUGAUGGAAUUUGGAGAGCAUACUCAAGAAAAGUAAACAGCAUGAGGGCUUGUGUAUGUAGAGUGAGGUGGUCUAUUUAAUUAAGAGACAAGGGAUAGAUUAGGAAUAAUAAAUAUGGAGUAGAAUUUCAUUUUUACUAUAUGUACUUUGUAAUGAUCAUAUUUGCUGAUCUUUGUGAAGGUAUGGUUGGUUCUCCAAUACUGAGCUUGGGUUAUUAAAUAUGCAAGUGCCUGAAGCAUCUGGCUCCAUGCUCAGACAAUACAAAAGUAGUGUGGACAAUGCUAAGGAUCCGAUUGUGAAUUCAGUUUCAUUUCCUACACCAUUGACUAAUACUCUUUCCAUGGAGCUCUCUGAAGAUUGCAGAACAUCCAUGAACAGAAACCAUACUCUUAUGACUGCUUCAACUGAUUUGUCUAAUGCUAGAGGAAACAAUGUUUACCUGAAUACAAGCACUGUGGAAUCUCGUGAUCCUACAGCCAAUACACCAUGGCAUGGAAAAGAUGUUAGGGAUGGAGCUGUGACUACACAGUUGGAAGACAUGGUAAUUGCCAUCCUCUCUAUUUUUGUUGCUUUUAUUAGCCCUAUAGUGUUACUUUAGGCUUUCAUCUAGUGUCAUAGGAUCUUUAAGUGUUACCUUAUUGUACUUUGUUAGUUCAUGAUAUAAAUUUUCUCGUUCUUGGGAUCUUGAGCAUAUCUUCCCUCCUUUUUUAGAUUGUUAUGUUCCAAAUUCCAAUUACGUACUACAUGGUUUGAGUGGUAUACAUUAACCAGACUUUUUUAUUUGGAUAGUUAAGUUGCAUCUUGUAUCAUUAUCAGCAUCCAUAACUUUUAAGUUCUAUGUAUGUAUUCAGGAUGAGUUGAAAUUAAGCAGUGGAGCAGGACUGUCAGCUGGAGAGUGGGCUGACAGCCUUACCAACAUUAGUGUGGGGGACCUACUUUCAGGAGUGUCCCAGGAUCUUGAUAACUGCAUCAAUCCUCCUAUUGCAGAGAGUUGUUAUGAUGUUCAGCAAAUUCCUUUUAGUAGUGAUUCUUUUGAUGCUGCUAUUGCUGCUCACAUAUCUAGACACCAAGACAGGAUGGGACGAUCCUCUCUGGCAUCCCAUAUGUCUUCCAUCUGGGAUGCUGAAGAAACUUGUGAUGCCUUUUUAUUUAAAAAGGAUCCUAUUCUUCAAGAAUAUCGUCCUUGUUUAUCUCCAGUUGCUUCUUUAGAGUCUGAGAAAAAGGUUACUAAAAGAAGCUUUGACAAAUUGGAUGAGGUAGUAUAUCUUAAUUGUAAUCACUAGGCAUUGCUUGUGAAGUGAAGCAAGGUUUAAUUUUCAGAGUAUUUAUUGCAGCUGUCACCUGAAAGAGAGAGGCUUGUGGAUGAUUGUGCUCAAACAGACCCUAUGCCUAUGGACAGUUCCGAGUCUGAUGCAGAUGUCCAGGAGCAUUUAGGAAAGGAUUUUAGUGCGCUGGCAGAUAUGUAUUGGGUAUUUUUUUUUUCUAUACUCCAAUUUUUCCCAUCAGAGUCCAUGGCUUCUUUAUAGCUGUUUAGGUUCACUUACGGCGAACACAAUUAGUAGGAUGCUUAUUACAAGAAGCCAUUACAAACAUGUUUACAUUCUGUCACUCUGAACUAUCCAACAAAAUAAUAAAUCCGAGCUUCAAAAACAUUUUGAACUGUUGAAUUCAUAAGAUUGAUCUAUUAUUUUUUAUUAUGUAAUAUAUAUACACACACAAUGCAUCUGACUUGAUUUCCUACUGUCUUUCAAUUCUAUCAUGUUGCAGCCUGAUUCCUUGGGACCUUUGGAUUUGGAAAUACCAUCAUCAACUAAAUACCAUAGCGAAGAUCUAAUUUUUAGUGAUAGUCUUAGUGGACUGAAUCGCUUGAUAGCCAGCAGCCUGGAUGCAUUCCAGAAUUGCUCCUUUUUUGGGUUUGACAAGAAGGAAGCACCAUCAACAGUUGAGGCUCGAGAAUCUGCCACUCUUUCAGAUUUUAAAAUUGGAAGUGGCAUCUGAGACUCGUCAUGAUUGGAUCUUGGUAAUGGUUUUCCAUUUCUGGCACGAACACAAUUGGAGUUUGUUAAGAUUUAACAUUUUUUCUUAUACUGACUGGAGGUGUGCAUGCUAAAGAAUUGGAUUGAGCCACUUCCAACUCUUCCUGUAUAUGUUUCUCUAAUCUGCGUCUCUUUCCUUUUGUACAAAAAAAAAUGAUCAUGGAAGGAUCAGUCUCCUGUAGAAAUAUUCCUUUUUUAGGUGAACAUAUAUCUUUUUUAUUCUCUGCUUCUGGAUGUUGUAUUUUAAGAAGACCGUCUUGCAACUCCGUGGCAUGGACUUGUUUUCUAAGCUAAUGGACUCCUCCCCUCUCUUUCUAUUAUGCAAGCUAAAUAUCUAAUGGACAAAAACGCAGUUAUAUGAUUAUCUUUUAUCAUAUUCUUUCUUUUAAAGUGAUAACUUAUAGGAGAGAUAACUUGGUCCAGAUAACCAAUGUUUUUAUCGGAAGCUGAAUCAUUUAGAUAAUACUCGAGUUUGAUUCUUGAUGAAAACAAUUUUUUGUGAGAUUUUCCUUAUUUUCCGGUUAAAUUAUGGAUUAGUGAGGAUCUUUUUCCUUUGAUGAAUGAGGUUUAAGAAAAAAAAAAAAGUAAUACAAAAGCAGUCAAUUCUCUUUUGGAUGAAAUGACCUAACGGGAUGCUGCAUGUUAGGUUCAUAUAAAAGCAGUCAAUUCCCUAUUGGAACACAAAUAUUUUUAUACAUAUGCUAUUUUAGUGCAGUAUUUUGACUUUUACCACUAAUAUGCAAAUGUUUUACUAGGAUUUAUGGAGUCUUAACCUUUUUUUCAGAGGAAUGAAGUGUAACCUGACCAAACACAUUUCUAAUCCUAAUUGCUAGUUAGAAAUUAACACGCUUCAAUGUAAAUUUUCUAUUCACAUGUCAUAUAUUUAUCCAUAUAUAAUUACAUUUUAACAUGAUAUUGCCCGAUUGUAUAAAUAUUAAUAUAUAUUUUUAUGUAAAGAAUGAAAUAGAAAAGAAAAAAGAAGAGGGAUAUUAAAAGGAAAUAAAUUGGAAAGGAUGUUAUUUUGAUGAAUAAAACUAGGAAGAAAAAUACAAAAAAAAAACUUCAUUUGCUUGGAUGAAUGAAAAGAAUAGUAAAAGUAUUAAAAUAAUUUCAAAAAAUCAAAAGAAUAGUAAAGGUAUUUUUAUUUUUUAUAUUACUAAAAUUAUUUUAUUUUUAGAAAAAUAUUUUUAAUAGAAGUCGAAUUAAUUAUGAUAAUAAUUUGUCAUAAUUAAUUUGAUUACAAUUAAAAAGGAUAAAUUGUCAUUAAUUUAAAUUUUAAUUAAAAGUAAUUUAAUAGCAAUUAAUUCGUCAUUAAGAUAAUUUAUAUCAUAAUUAAUUCUAUUACUAUUAAAAAGUUAAUUUGUAUUGAAAUCAGAUGAUUUAAAGUAGAAAAAAAAAGUAUAAUAAAAAAGUGAUUCAUCUGAGUUUUAUUUACAAAUCACUUGUCAAUCUAAAAGUAAAAACAAAAAAUGUUUAUAUGACUUUUUUUUUAUAUGGAAAUCAGGAAAAAAAACCAGUUAUAAAUCAAUGAAGACCCACAUGGGAACUGUACGCUAAUUACAUCCACCAAAAGCGGCAAGGAAAUAAAAUCUGGAACACUAUAAAAAAACCCUAACGCUAUUAUUCAGUUAAACCAAACUUCGACAAAACAUCCGCCACUUGAUUGGCUUCGCGGAGCAUGUGCUUCCAAGCAUAUGUACCACCUUUGAGGGUAAAGGAUAUUAUCCGUUGGAUCGGCGGGGAACAAAUAUGCGUUGCAGGACAUCCUUUGGUAACUAGCAGGUCGAUAGUUGUUGGGAAUCAUAUUAGAGUUAGUUAAAGUAGUUGUAAAAGUAGUUAUUUCAGUUAGUUUGUUAAAAGUGAGUUAAUUUCAAGCUAGAUAGUGGUAUGAUUAUGUUUACUCUAGAAGUCAAUUCUAUUCCUAAUGAUCUAUUUUGCUCUAGAAGUUAAUUCUAUUUCUAAUGGUCUAUUUAUAUCUACUCUACUAAGUUGUAGUUGGAUCAUUGACUCUCAUAUUAGAUGAGAGAAUAGAAAAUGAAUUCAUUAAAAAAUUAGUAAAUGAUUACACAAUGAUUGCUAUAUAUAUAUAUAUCAACUUGGAACUAACUAACUUCUAUCAAACUCUAACUUAACUACUUUUACCAUUACUUUAACUUAGUCUAAUAAAUCAGACUCAAACGGAAGUUAGUAAAGCCUUUUUCCAAGGCUGUCUGAGUGUAUACCAAGGAAAAUGGCCAACAGUUCAGACAUAGUAAUUGAGCAUCUACCAAGAUUAAACCCAUUAGGUGAAGCAUAUCUUUAGGUGCCUCCCUACAUCUUGGGCACGCAUUGUCAACAGACAUACGUCUUUGGCAUCUUUGGACAUUUGUUAGCAAGGCAUUCUUUGCAACUUUCCACAAGUGAACUCCAUUUUCUUCUGGACCUUGCCACUUCCAAAUGUUGGCGAACAAAAUAUUCUUCGACACAAAUCUGUCCAGAGACACACAACAAAGCUAAAUCAUCAUCAUCUGAAAUAUCUGGCGGGACUAAGGCCUUGAUCACAAAACAAACAUCUAGAGGCAAAACCUGAACUAGUUUAGCAUAAUUCCAAUCGCCAUUUGUCCCCAUAAACUCCCGACUUUAGUAUUCAUUGUCAUCCGGAGUUAUUAGUGCUUUGUCAAUAAGCUUCCCUUGAGAGGGACAUCAAACAUCCAAUUCCAACCAGAACUAGGUUGAUUUACCAUUCGCCACACCUUCCAAAAAAGGUGUUGAUCCACCUUAUCCCAACUAUUACAUAUUACCUUCCAAAAGCCUCUUCUUUAGAACCGGAACUGUACUUAGCUCGAACAGUAGAUGCCCAUAACAUGUUUUUCCUAGUGCAAAGUCGUCAACCCAUUUUCAUCAUGAAAGCCCUGUGGCCAAUCCAUUUUCAUCGGUGAUCAAGUGUAAAUUGUGAAGAUUCUUCUUAGAUGCAUGUAAGGAGUGAUCAACCUAGUUUUUAGGGGUUUGGAUUGUGUGGAAGCAUGUUCAUAUCCUACAUCUGAAUUGAAAUUGUGCAAAGAUUUGGUUUUGGCAAGGAAAUCACAUUCUUGCAUUGUAGAGAUUCAUUGUUUAAGUUCUGAGUUUUAGGUUAAAUCACCUAAGGAAUUAGGGAUUGGACUUAGAACUCAAAGAUUAAUCACCUAAGGAAUUACGAAUAAUCAUUUAAGUUGAAUCUCAGUUGCAUUGAACUGAGAGAUUGAUUAAGAUCGAGUUACAUAUGUAGAAUCCUAUAGAUUUCAUCUCAUCAACGUUUUUCCACUUUUGAAUUUGAUUUCGCUCCAAAAAUUCUUUCAAAAAAUUAGAAACAGUUUAUUUUCGCUAUAGCGAAUAUCCUUGUUUUGCUACAGUGAAAUCUUUUCUUAAAAAAAUAAAAUUUUGAGACAUUCGCCACAAUGAAUUGAUGCCUAGCUCGUUGCAUUGAAUGCUUCUAUAAACCUUUCUGUUUUAGAUAACUUUACUGUUGAUUUCCUAGAUGUUGCAUUAAGUCUCUAUGGAUAUGAUAACUCAAUACUCAUUGUUUCUUACAACAAGUAGACUAUGUUCACAUGCUUAUCUCGAGAGUACAACAAACAUAUUGUUAAAGAAAUAUAUUCUUGACUUCUAAAAGUUAAUUUUCUAGUCGGAACUAUCACAAAACAACCUAAGCAUUGAGUUAAUUAUCUCCACUUGUUGAUUGUUGGCUUCUGCAAACAAUAGUAGAUCAUCAGGAAACGCUAAGUAUUUGUCGCAACCUACCCUCAGGUGGGGGUGCGAAAAGGCCUCUCGAAUGGACCAAGGGUGCGUCUUCCAAUGAAGGAAAACGUGUGAAGUCGCCACCAAUGUUUAUUUGAAGAAAACACUAGAAAAACCAAAAAAAGACGAUGGUCUACAUAUUUUGAAAAUGAGGGUUCGAGAGUUGUUUGUGCACGGGAAAGGUAUUAGCACCUCACGCGCUUGUCACAAGGGACGACAGCCUCUAAUCGAGUGUGCAAGACAUGACUUCAAAAUUAUGUAUUUUUCCUUCUUAUGUUUUUUAUGUAUUUCAUCUUUUUAUAUUUUUUUUAUCUUUUUGGGGUCAACACGUAUCCUCGGGUGCGAUGAGGAAAUCAGAUAUAUGUAGUUUUUAAAGUCUGAAAUUUUGUUGGUUAAAUUGUUUUUAUCUUUUUUGAAAGAUUGAUUUUAAUCGAACAAAAGUCGUUUAAGGCAUUGGACCUCGAAACGAUCUUUUAAUUUUUGAAAAGAGAAGAGAGUCAUUAAGGUGUUGGACCUUUGAACGAUCUCUUGAUUUUUUUGAAAGGAGAGAACCGUUAAGGCGUUGGACCUUUGAACGAUCUCUUGAUUUUUUUGAUGAAAUGAAGAAGUUUAUGAGUUGGUUUUAUUUGGUUUUGGCUAAUUAAUCUUCAAUCCUUUUUUAGAGAUAACUUGCGGCGUUAAUGAUCGGUUAAAACUUAUUUUACAUUGAUGAAAAGAGUUUACGACACAAACGAUCGGUUGAAACUUAUUUAAAAAGUGAUUAAGUGAGAUUACAACACAAACGAUCGGUUAAAAUUCAUUUAAACAGUGAUUAAGUGAGAUUGCAACACAAGCGAUCGGUUGAAUUUUAUUUUAACGGUGAUUAAACGAGAUUACGGUAUGAACGACCGGUCGAAACUCGCUUUAAACAAAGAAAAAGAUCACUGAUGAUCGAAGAAGGAGAUGAAGAUGCACAAACAAUAAAGGGGACCCCUAUGGGUCCAUAAAUCAAAUUUAAAUUCUUAAAGCAAGCACUAACCGUAUGAAGAACGAAGAACAAACGAUGAACGAACGAAGAACGACCAAGGAACGAAUGACAAACGAUGUAGGAAUUGACCACGAAUGCAAUUCGAAAGCGUUUCAACCUUGUUUUCUCUUCUUUCUUCUUCUUUCUAGACCUCUGGACUUCAGGGAACUCAGGGACCUUUUCCUCUAGCCUUCCCACACUUAUUUAUAGCAAAACAAGCCACUUGGGAUGAAGGUAGCUUGCCUAGGCAAGUUGAUAACUUCAUCCUGAAGUAACUUGCUCGCCCAGGCCAGCUGAGCUCUCCCAGGCAAGUUGGUUACUUCAUCAUGAAGUUAUCUAGGUGGCUCAGGGGCUGAAAAUUUCCCCAAAAGUGACCCUUUUGCCUUCCUUUUGAUUUUAUUUUGCACAUUUCCUUCCAAAACGUCGAAAAACCUUACAGAAUACGUGACAAUUGGUGUUAACCAGCUCAAUUCGUCUGACAAGAAUCCAAAUGUUUGCAAAUGAUCGUCCUCAGACAAAAUUAGGGUAUGAUAGUAUCAAAUGGGGGUGUUAUCUCUUGAAAUGUUGAUGAGCUUCCAUAACUUUUGAUUGACCGACUCAUUUAUCAUAUAGAAGAGCCUUUCAAUGCAUAAGACAAAUAGUAGCGGCGGGAUGAGAUCCCUUUGCCGAAUCCCUUUUUGAGGUAAGAAACUUUCCAAGGUCUCUCAAUUCCACAACAUCUACAUUUUCGAGGUUGAGAUACAAUACUAGAUAAGUUCCACAAAUAUGUCCGAAUAGCCUACAUCUUGGAGAGUUUCUUUAACAAAUUCCCAUUGGAGGCGAUCAUAAGUAUUUUCUAAGUCAAUCUUUGUUGCCAUCCAAUCCUUAGCUCAUUUUUCACCUCUCAUAGAGUGAAAAAUCUCUUGAUCUAUGACAAUGUUAUUUACGUCACGCCUGUUCGAAAUAAAGUUGCACAGACACGGAUGAAUCGACUUCUUCAUUACCAAUUGAAGUUUAUCAACCAAUAUUUUGGUAACAAUCUUGUAAGAAACAUUGCAUAAACUUAUUAGGUGAAAAUUCUUAAGCUAAACAACAUUAUCUAAUUUGGGGAUAAGUGUAAUUAGCAUAGCAUUUAAUUCAUCCACACAACUUGGCUGCUCAAAAAUAGAGAAAAUAAGAUUGCAUAUAUUUUGUUGCACAAACUCUCACUAUGUUUGAUAGCAAAUGGCUUGUAGGCCAUCUAGGCCUGGAACCCACCCAUAUGCUUAAUGAUGCCGUGUAUCUCCUCUGUUGAAAUCAUCUUCCUUAAGGUGUCCACUUUAAAAGUUUCCAACUUAAAGAAAGCACUAGAAAGGCAUAGAGGGACAUAUGGGGUAUCCAUUAAGAAUAACUUUUUGUAAUAUCCUCUGACAAUGUUCUAGCUUAUCAUAUUGUGAGAUCCACAUGCCAUCCUCAUCUUGCAACAUAUCAACCCUAUUUCUCUUUCAUCGAAAAGCUACAAUGCCAUGGAAGUAACAUUAAUUCCUAUCACCAAAGGUGAUUCAUUUAUAUUGGGACUUUUAGUAGAGAAGGACUUCCUCAUCAACUAAAACCUGUUGGUAUUCAAUCCAUAAAUCCUUAUGAUUUUAAGCCAACAAAGGGGUGUAAUGUGCAACCAAUUAAGCCUUCAUUUGUUGUAACUUCUUCAACAAAUAUUUCUUCAUAUGGAAGAUGUUUCCAAAGACGUGCUUAUUCCAAUACCUCAAAUAAGAAGUAAAGCGUUGGAUACCUUGAGACCACAACAUACUCUUACCCCAAAGAUUGACUCAUAAGAUUAUCAAAAUCACGGAAGGAGAGGCAUGAGGAAAUAAAUCAGAAGUUAUUAUAUUUCUUUUUCGCUGCAAAGGCUUACUAAAGUGAACCAAGAGAGGCCUAUGAUCUGAUUUAAAAGCAAGAAGAUGAGAAGAAAAAUAGUAGCAUUAGGGUAAAAGGUAUGCCAAUGCAUAUUCAUGAGGAGCAUAUCUAACUACUUAACAAUUCCAUCUCGAUUCUAAGUAUUAGGACUACCUAGGGACCCUGCAUCCACCAAUUCACAAGCAUCAACAACAUCCCAAAAGCCCUUAAUACUUUUGCAAGCCCCAUAAGACAAUUCCUUAUCACAUUAAUAGCAUUAAGAUCCUCCAUUAUUGGCUUAUCACAUAUCUUUUUUGUCUUAAUCUUUUAUUUUUGUUAUCUUUUAUUUUUCUUAUCUUAUCUUUUUUAUCUUUAUCAUCUUUUAAUUUAAAUCUUUUAUUUUUAUCUUUAUAUCUUUAUCUUAUCUAAUAUAUUUCUUUAUAUGUUAUUUUAAAAAAAAGUUUAAAGUGAAAAAUAGAAAAUCAAACCUAAUAUAAUUGGAUCAGGAUCACACAAAUUAAACCUAAUGUGGGCUACAGGCAAUCUGCGGGCCAAACUCGCAUAGUCCGCAGGUUAAGCGGGACGGGCCCAAAAAUAUGACAUAACCAUGAACCAUUUAAAAAAAUUGGUCCGUAACCCGCGCGGACCGCGGGCCCCGCGGGUCAGUCCAUGGACCUGGGCCCGUUUACCCACCCCUAAUUAUUGCCCAUGACUCAUGAAUAUCACUUGCUAGCUCCACGAACUCCACAAUUCUUGGCAACGAGCAUAGUGUGGGCUUCUAUAGAUAGUAGUAAGCAUCCAAGGAGGAUUAUUCUUCCUCUGCACACUAAUAAGAAUGAAUUAGUGAUCAUGAGCCCUGGCAUUGACUCUCCAUUCAUCAUCCAUCCAAUCCAGAUUGUCCAACUACGUAUUGAAUAAAGACAUUAUCAAAAUCACAUUGGUUACUAAUUCGGCGAGCCACAUCCUACUAGUAUGAGUCUCCAUGAGAUAGAGAAAAAAGGACUUAAUAGUCAUGCUACAGAUCUUUAAUGAGUUUAGUAAAACCCCUUCUAGUAGUCCCCCUACAAUUCUAACACAAUAAAGUCAUUGGAAAAUAUUUAGAAGGGUGGACCCAUCAUGACCCUUACCAUCCUGAGGCACAACAGAAACUGCCUCUGCUUCCAUGGCGCUAACGUCCAUUGGCUCUACAUGUCCUCCACCAUCGUUGAAACAUGCAUGUCAUCAUUUUUGGCAGGUUCAACGAGUGCACCUUGUAGGCUCAUCGUCCUCAGGAUCUCUUCCUUCGAAAUGGUGAUUGUAGUUCUCUUGACAUUAGCCAAAGGCUAUUCUUGAAGAGUGAUACCCUCUAUAGCAGCAAUGGCCUUACCAAUUUCACCUCCAAAUGGGUCCUAGAUCAUUGGUAUUUCCUAUAUUUAGGGGGGACAAAAGUGAGUUUCCCUUUGGCACUUUGAUUCUUCAUAGGAAACUUAUGAUUGGAAUUUGUUGCAUAAUUUUUUUUGUUAGCCCAUGUUUUUAUGGCUUUUAGGGGAUUUUUUUCUGCUUCUCACGCUACAAGCCUUGAUCCCCGAUGACCUACUAACCUCAGAGCUACUUUUAUUACCCGUACAGAUGACCCUAUCUUUAAAGACACCUUUCUCUUUCCUAAAUAGGAUACGAUCACAUUUUUCUAGAGAACUUUAAAUCUAGACCCCAUACAGGCCCCACUUGUGUCCUUGAUUUUAGGGUCAUUCCCUUUUUGGAAGCGUUAGACCCUUUCUUAGUACCCUUUCUUAAUCCCUUUCCUCUAUGAUUACAUGGAUGAUUCCCUUUUCUAACAAGCAUCUAGGGACUAAACUGAGAAAUGGUCUUUUUAUCCAUUUUGUUUCCUCCCAUAUUGGAUUGCUGGCCCACUAAUGUCACCCUCGUGUUAACCCUAUUCUGUAGAGGGAUGAGAUUGGUUAUGUCAUCAUUGAUUUUUGUUUCCUGAUGAACACAAUCAUUGUCCUCAAAUUAUCCAUUCUCCCCCUGCACCGUUGGGGGUUCCACCCUCUUUUCUGAGCAAAGCACCUCUUGAUGGCCACAUUUCCCACAACACAAGCAAAUUGCAAGAAGCCCAUGGUAUUCCAAAGGGAGCUCUCUACCUCUAGCAAUGAUCUUGGGCACAAAGAGUUUAUCCAGAUCCAAUUCAACAAAAAAAUAUGCGGACUGUCCCCGAGAGUGAAUGGAAGUCACCUUAUCGAUCUUCAACAUAGUGCCUAGAGUGUUCCCAACCCAACGCAAAAACUUUGUUGUAUAGUUCCCUGGUUAAGUGCAACAUCUUGAUCCAUGCUGCAACCUUUCUUUUGAUAUCAAGAUUCGAAUAGAACCCAAUUCUCCACCUCUGAACUAAGCGUUAAUGGUCCACUAUCAUCUAAAGAUCCAAAAAAAGUGUAUGUUUAUAGUCAUCAACAUGUUUAAUUGGAUUAUAAAAAAGUCAUUUGGGAGAUUAAUGAUUUUGAUCCUUCCUUUCACAACCCACUCACGAUUUAGGAGAUUUUCAAUGAUCUUAAAGUUAACCUUCUUUCCUAUCACCUUGACCAAAAACACCCAUUUCCAUGGCAUACACUACUUAACAAACUCCUCAACUAUGACUUGGAUCUUUGGAAACUUCCCCUUAUCCUCUUCUGUAAUGAUAAAUCCAACAACAUUUGCCCCAUUUGCUAGGUCCCUCAACCACCUAGCAUCUUCUUCCACCCCUAAACAAUUAAAACCCCUAUUUUUCACCCUCUGAGGUCAAUAGUUUCUCUUUAUAGGGAGGUUUUGACAAAUAAUCUCCUUCGACAGAUUUCCAAAAAGAGUCACCCAUUUGACAAUCUCCAUUAGCUUUGUGUUUCCCUUUUUUGUGUUUCAGUGCAACAAAUCUGCCUCUUGCUUUGAAACCUCCUCCAAAAUCCUAGGAGAGCUUUCUAGAGACAUACAUACAACUCUUUAGAGUUAUAGGUGCAUCAAAAUUUUCUAUGGCAUUUAGGAAAAUAGAAAAAUAAGUAGAGGACAAGAGUUUCUUUUUGUUUGUAUUUGAAAAAGGAAUGGGAAGAGUAUUGAUGGUAGUAAAAAUACCAAUCCCCUUAUCAAAGUUUGUAAAUGUAGGAUUUUGUAUUGGCAUUAAUAUUUUGAAAAUACAAACCUCACUCAGUGAUCAAAUUUUUUGGUAUAACCUGGAGGUGUAAUCCUCCCCCCACCAGAUCAGUCUAUUUUUGGGGUAAAGUGAUACAUCCAAUUGUUACUCCGUACCCAAAUCGAAGAUCAAACUUCAAACCUUGGUUAAGAAAUAGGCUUAACUAUUUUUGUUAAUUAAUUUAUAUGUUUUAUCUUUUAAAAGUUGUGUAUGUGUGGGUGCACACAAUUUUACCCAAUAAUCCUUGAUUUUUAACCAGUAAACAAGAUUGGGAUUAACCAAAUAAAAAAAAAAAAAAGCCCAAUCCUAUCAUAAAAUCAUGCUAAAGACCGAGUAAAUAUCAUUGGCAGCAACAAAAACUAAAAUUAAACCAACAUAAAAGGUAGUGUGUGGCACAGUAAUAAUGUGACUAUUUUCUUCAUAUGUGGCAUUUACCACCUAUGUCACUUCAUAUGGCUAUUUUCACCUUAAGGUAUUUAAGCUCUUAGCCAAAGAAAAUAUGGGGACAAGGGAACUUAAGUUCACCCUAAGCACAACCCUGAUGGAACACAUCUCAAACCAAACAUAAGGCAGGGACAUGAUGUUAUCCAAUUCGUGAGUCUACCCUUUAAUUAUUCUCCUCUAUGGAGAAACAUGUCUACUAUUUUACGUACAAAAAUGUUAACAACACACUUUUUAACAAAAUUUUCUACUUUCUACUAUUGGUCAAAAUUUGUUAAAAAAACAUAAAAUUAUGUAGAUUCAAUUUAUUUAAUAAACCUCACUCGUGAUUUUAUAGUUCUCGUUCAAUUUUGAUCAAUAAAAGAGUGUGUUGCUAGCACUCUUCUUUUACAUAUGAUAACAGCUGAUUGCGCCAAACUAAAAAUUCACAAUUGUAGCAGGAAGCUACAAGGAUUAUUUGAUAAAAAGGUGGACAGACAAGGGAAUUGGUAAUGCAAAACUGGUAUUUCAGCUCCAUAUUGUUAUUAUGAAAGAAACUUGGAUGAGAACGACAAAUGAAUCAUUCUUUGAUUAUAACAUCAUUCUCCCAUUAUUUAUUCUUGGACUUUGAAGAAGCCCAUUUAAAGUAACCGCAGUUUGCUUCAAGAUUAGAUGCAGGGCCCUGAAAGUGGAAAAACACGUUAAUCUUCUGGAUAGGGAGGUGAUGCACAAAUUUUGAAAUGACAAAGGAAGACAAGAUGUAAAACAGAAUACGAUCCAACCUAUCAGAACUGGUGGCUAUAACCAUAAUAUAACUCAAGCAGACGCAUGACAAGCUCUAGGAUAGCUUGUUAAAACCCAAGAAGAGUGCUAUCAAUACACUCCUUUAAACAUGUUUUUUCUAAUUGGUUAGAAUUGAUUGAUAAAACCAUAAAAUCAGGAAUGAGAAUCAUUAAAUAUAAUGUGAGAUCCACAAAAUUAUCAUUUUAAAUAAAUUUUUGUCAAUCAAAAGAGUGUGUCAGAGAAUGUUUCUAGUAUUUCUCAAAAUGCAAUCCCUCCCUUAAAACAUGUUGCUUAUUACUUUUCUUCUGCGUUAUAAUAGAUGGUGCAAGUUUGCUAGUUCUUACAAGACAAUCCUUAUUUUAGUCCUCAAAAGAAAGACUAUCAAUUUAGCACCUACAACUAAAUUGCCAUAUAGUGGUAGUUUACAAAUCCGAUUUACCAACCCUCAAUGAACAUUCAUAAACUUCCGAGUUUGACAACCUUACAAAACUAGAGAUCAACAUUACUCUAGUUUUAAUAAGCGAUUGAAUUUCUUUGAUGGACAGAUGGAUCGAGUCCUCACAAAACUAUAGUGUGUGUUUGAUUUAAAGCAAAUAAAUAGGGUAAAUAGAAAUAAAAGAGAUAAUUUGAAAAAAAAAAAGUAGAAAUAAAAUGAUAUGUUGUGUUGUUUGGUUUAAGAGAAAUAUGUGGCAAAUAAUUUUUUCUUUCUUUCUAAAAACCAAAGAAAAUCGAUUUUACUGCAAUUGGGAAGAGAGAAAUUUGUAAUUUUACUCUCUCCAAAAGCGCACGAACCAAACGCACCCACCCCAUUUCCGGUAACUUCCUCUCUUUGGAACCAAACACAGCCAUGGUGUAGUGCAGAAGAAUAAUUUUAAAAAGUUACCUAGAAGCACAAGGCCUUUAAAAAGGUAGAACCACAAUGCCCAAAACCACUCAAUGGAAACAGAUUACCUCAGCGUGGGCACAAACAUAGAAUCUGCGGCCAAAAUUAGGUCCUUGUUUCUUCACCACCCGAGCAAUACAAGGUUCCUUAUAGCCCUUGCAAAUAGGUAUACUGUUCUGCAUCAACUGUUGUAUUCGUUGCCACUCUAGUGAAGCCACAUUACUCAUUUCUUCUUUUGUGGAACUACCAUUUGGUCCAGCUAAAUCCUGAUCACAUGUAUCAGUAUCCAACCCAUAUUUCUUGGGACUGCUACUAUGAGCAAAUACUGUUGGAGUUUCCUGUAAACGAGGGCUUGGUUGAGAGGGUUCUGCCUGAUUAUUUGAGUAAUCAGUACAUGAGUCAUUGACUACUUUUACAGAACUACCAUUGUCAAGAUUUGCACUUUUCUGGAAAAAUGACCGAAGUGAGAGCUGGGACCAUUGACUACUUUUAGCUUUUUGUUGGAUUUGUUACAUUGCCUGGUUGUUGAUGUUUCAUUUUCACUUCCUGAUUUAGAAACAGACUCCUGAGAGGAACCUCCAGAAAGUUUGUUGGUUUCAAAAUGCUACUACCUUCAAUCCUGGCUUGGAGGAAAAUGGCAUUCAUUUGGACUUGUGGAUGAACCAGCUCUGUUCACUGGUUCUUUUCUCUCACAAGUACUAUCCAUUGCAAUGUCUUCUUGUGCCAUCUCAAAUGAUUUCAUUUUUUUAGAAACUUGUCUUUUCAUCAACACUGACACUGCAAGAAAAGGUUUAGAAACAAAUACACAUUAACAAUGACAUCAUAUGAACAGAGAAUCUCAUCCAAAGAAGAAACAAUGUUUUGUAGCUAGAGUUUGCUGUAUGCCAUGAACCAUGGGAACAUAUCUAGCAGAUAAGGGAGGAGUACUGUGCAGAGAGACAUCAGGAAUUUCAUGUAAAGACAUAAAAACUGGAGCAUGAUCAGAUCCUUCCAGUUUAACGCUACGCCCUCCCUUCCACCUAUGGGCACUGAGCUGAUCAGGAAUUCAGUUAGAACUUAUAUACUUAACCUCAAGGAAGACAUGCAGCAUUUAACCAUUAGACACAGUAGUGGUGAAGAACCACACUAGGAGUGGAAAAGCAACAAUUUCUGAAAGUAGGGAGACAAUUUUUGCCAAUUUCCUGUGCAAUGCAAAAUGAUAUAAUCCAAAACAUAGAGCAUGUUACAGUAUCACCGAGUAUCUAAAAUUUACAUCUAAAAAUAAAAAAUUAACCGUUUAGUUUCAAAGACAAAAUGGCUUAGGAUUUCACAUGUUUGUAUCUUACCUCAGUGUGCUUUCUGGUUUACACCGUUUAUACUGUGUCAGAAUAUCACAUUCCUUGACAAGGCAUCUUAUAAAACUAUGGCAUUGCAGGUCCAAUUCAUGUUAGCAUGAACCAGAAAACAGAAUAUGAUCAAUUCUACUUCCGAAGUUAAAUACUUCAGCACCUGUAUUUUGUGACCAACUGGUGUAGGCUUCCCUUCUGCAUACAAUCUCAAAAGAGACAAAUACGAUUUAUCAAGAUUAAUACUGAUCAUAUUGAAGGUGUGACCACAAAAUAUGGAAAACACAACGUAAAAUUAGAAGAGACAGGAAGAAGGGAAAAUAUGGAUGAUGCAUAUAUUACUAGCCAGUAGUCACAUGCACAGAGAAAUGUGUCUGGCAUACAAAGAAUAAGAUUUAAAAUUAAAUAUAAAGUUCAUUAUAUUCAAACAAAACAUUUUUAUAAUCUGAAUUUCGAAAAUUGAAAAGGUGACUUCAAUUUGAAAGCAACAUAAUCCUAUAUAAACAAUAAAGAUAAAAGAUAUAUUAUACAUGAAAAAAAAAACAUAAAACAGAUGACAAGAUAAAAAAGAUAAAAAGAUUUAUAAAGAAGAUAGAAUAAAAACAUUCUCCAAUCUCCAUUUUCAGACAUGGCAAUGUUCAUCAGGUAUCAAAAUCAGGAAUUAAAUCUCCAAUUGGAAACUACACAUCAAUAUCUGAUAUUUAACAAAACUGGUAACUCCAAGAUCCAUACCUAUCAGGAUGUUUUGCUCUGAAGACAUCAGAAAAUUGGCCCCAAUUUUCAAUUAACAUUGAUUUGAACCAUUAAACCUACACAUAAAUUCAGGAAAAAAGUUAGGAUAAUUAUCAGCAUAUCAGAUUAGACAUUAAAAAUACCUCAUAGAAUUCUGGCAGUAAGCUCACUCGUUUUUUUCAAAAUCAGGUCCUAUAUCACAUCGAUCAAUUGCAAAUGGCGCAAUAUUGAGAUCAACAACAACAAAUAUUCUCCUUCCUUGAUGCAAGAGGGACCCCCAUCUUUUCUAUUAAAGAGACUAUCAACAUCAAUCAAACAGAAAACAAAAGAAAAACGAAAAAUUUGAGUUCUAUACAAAAACAGUCAGAAAAAAACAAGCACUGCACAUAGACUACGAUAUUCAUGUCCCAUUUUUAAAAAGUAUAGUUUCCUUUUUAGACAGGGUAAUGUUCAUUGAAUCAUACUAAUUUACAGGUAACACAAAAGAAAUAGUAACAAAUACUAAUUUUGAAAACUAGCUCUAGAGUUUCUUAAACUCUACGUAUUCAGAUGGGCAAGCAGUAUUCAGGUCCCAUUUUCUUAGCAAUGAUACAAUUGGAUGAACCAAUUGAAACAUAAUCAACAUUAACAAGUUUGGAGAAUCUCAAACUGUAGCUCCAAAUUAUCAACUCGUCUUAUAAUUAGUAUAAUUAUCCAAUAACACAUAAUUGAAGCAUAAAAUACUACCAAAGUCCACAUAAAAACAAAAUCCACCGUUUGAAAUAUGGAAAAAAUUCUGCAAAGCAAUGACUUUUCGAUUUAGUCAUAUCAUUCACUGAUUCCAUUGACAUAUAAACAUUUCAAAUACCUGUAAUAUCCUGUAAAAAAUUUGCUUAAACUGAAUCCUUUCUGUGUCAUCACCUCCAGCUUGGGACCCAUACACAUUGAAAAGAAUUGAACAAAUUCAAACACAAGUACACAACUACAAAUUUCUUCUUUUUCAAAAAGGAAAAAAAAAAAAACCUAAGGAAGAUGGUUAGAUUAAUGCCUAAAAGAUAAGUACGCCCCUUCACACAACACCUGAAAAAUGGAACUUGGUAAACAAAGGAGCCAACUUUCAAAUUUUUUCCCCUCUUAUACUAUCUACAGAGGAUACUCACCAAAGUGAGUGUGAUCUGUGAUUAUGCAUCGCCCCUCACUAUCAAGACUUAGAAGCUCAUCUUUUGUAAAUUCCUAAAGAUCUCCCAUCAAGAAUGGCAAUUUAUUGUUGCUAGUUUGAAAGUUUCCCAAAAGACCAGUAAACCCUUCCUUUUCUGCCAGCUGCAACACCACUUCAUUACUCAAAAAUGCAGACUUCACACGACAAAAUGUAAUAACACCUGGACACUCAACAGAAUUUAUUGCCUAAGAAGUAUAGUUGAGACACUCUCUAACACAUUUUGUAAACACUUUUUUUAUUAUUGACUAAAUUUAUUAGAAAAGUUUAUAAAGUUUCACUUUUGUGCCUUAAAGUGAUUCUGUUUAGACCAAGUUGAUUCUUCCAUUAGUUUAUCAAACUAAUUUAAUCAGUGACACGUUACGUGCAGCGGCUUGCUGCUGACUUCGAGGGUCAGCACCUCCAGAAACAAAGAGGAAGAAGGAGAAGAUAAACUGGAUUCGAGGCCAGUACCUCCAGAAACAAAGAAAGGCAGGAAACAGAAGCUUUGAUAUUUCACACCUUUGCUUGAAUUACAAUUGCUUUAUUUAUACUAGUUUUCCUACUAACAGCUUUUGUCAUCUUGUGCCAAGGAAUAUCCUGAGGCAAUCAUUGGUGCUCAAAUAUGGUUAUGCUGUCUCCUCAUUACCAACAAUUCCUCCCUAGCAAUACCAGUAUCCAAGCCACGUCAGCUUUCCUCUCAACAAAGCUUCUCUAUACGUGGUCACUAAGGUAAGAGGGCCUUGUGAUGGUCCUCUUUGCCUUUGCUGCUAUCUGCACCCCUUUGUCCUGUGUCUGCACCUUUGUUUCUUUCUCCUUGAAUAUGUCUUCUGCUGCUAUCUUUCAUUCCCUAUCACACGUGGUAAACUUCCGGGGAUGCCUGAAGGAAGAACCAAUUUGGUCUAACAAGUGAAACUUUUUAAACUCAGAGACCAAAGUUAAACUAAAAAUUAAAAUGAGGAAACAAUUUUUUUAAAAACUUUUCCAAAGGUCAGUUAAUUUGUUAAUGGGAAAGAUUCGAAUCCCCCACUUCUCUUUCUCAUCUUUUUCUCUUCGCCAUCAAGGCAACCUUAUGACUCCGAGAAGACAAAAAAAAUAUGUUUGGCUUUUAGCCUAUGAUAUUGAUAAACAACAUUUGACAUCUAAAACACAAACAAUACCGUGUAUUUGUUUACAUUUCCAUUUAGAUGAUGAAAGAGAGGGGUUACCGGAAUAGCCAGUUCGACCCUUCUGGGAGGUGCGGGUGCAGGAAAAGAACGAUUCGUAUCCGCCGGCCAUGACCAAAUCCGCUGUGACUUCCUGCCUCCGCAGUUCCGUCUCCUGAAGGAAGCAGCAUUUGUGAAUAGAAUGAGAGAAAUUUGAGAAUUAAAAAAACGAUGAAUUGGGAAGCACCUGAAAACAAACGAUGUCGGCGUCGAAUGAAUUUAGCAGAUUCCGGAGAGACCCGAACUGCGCUAUGCGCUGCCUCAGACCGUUCACGUUGUAACUCACUAUCUUCAUUCUCUCACGCAUUCUUCGCUCCUUGUAACUUGGAACCCUCCUCUCGUCUCCUUCAAGUUCAACGUGUUCUUGUCAUAGCUUAUAAUUAAGUAUUCCCGCUCCAGUUGAAACAAAUUGCAGAAGCAGUUUAAUUACAAAUAGGCUAAAAGAAAUUUUGGUCCAGUAAAAUUUACAAAGUUUUGCCGGGGUAAUAAAAUCAUAAUUGUAGGUUCGGAAACAACUAAUCUUUUAAAAUUGUGGAGAAUGAAAUUUAAACUUUGUCAAUUUCACGAAAAAAAAAUAUAUUUUAAUCUUUAUAUUUCCUUUUUUAGGAUAGAUAGUUGGAUACUAUGUUCUCUUUGGUAGUCCAUAAGUAAAAGGGAAUUUUUAUAAAUUAAAGUGAUUUUAAUAUAAAUAUAAAUAAUAAUCUUAUUUCUUGAUCUGUAGUAUUUAAAAAGGAUGGAGUGAGUAUUAAUUUUUUUAUAAUGACUGAGGAAAGAAAAUAAAUUAUAAUUAGUUAGUAUAAUAAUUCCAUAAUUUAAAUUAAAAUAAUUGAAGAAAUUAAAACAAGGAUUAUGUUUAAUUGUAAAUAUUUUUUUAAUCUUUGUUAUCAUGUUUUAGUCAAGAAAUAUAUUUUUUAAAAAUGGCUAUAUAUUAACUACAUUAUUAGCAAAGUAAAGCUUGUAAAAUAAAUAUCAAUAAAACCAUACAAAAUAUGUCGUUUGUGAAAAUUUAUGGAACUCUAGAAAUGGUUUAUAAAAAAACGACCAAAAAAAAACAUUUAAAAACAUCUUAAAAAAUCAAACACAACAAUUCUGAAAUUAUUAAGCCACCGCUUACAUUUCCGUUGGGUUUCAUUUUUGGAGAAGAAAAGGAGAAGGAAAUAGAGCAAAAUCACUAUCGAGUAGUUAUCCUCAUUUACAACAUUUUUUAGUGUCUUCCUGAAACAAAGAAAUUUCAAAGGAAUCGAUACAGUAUUUUCAACUCUACAUAUUGUGUUGCAGCACAGGUACGGGGAAGCUCAUUUGCUUGUUUGGAUACUUCUAUUUUGGGCUAAAAAUUGGCUGUGUUGGGAUCGUUAUUGUGUGGAAAAUUAAGAGUUUGAUUCAUUCUUAAGCAACAAAUAUUGUAUGGGAUGUUGCUUGUUUUUUUAUAAAAUGCCUCUAUCAUGCAAACAAUUAUACGUGUGGAAAUAAAUUACGAGAAAUGCUGUUUGUAAGAUAAAAUGUAUAAUAAAUUAUGGCUUCAGAUUCUCUUUGGUGACAUUUUUAUUUCAUGAUAUCUUAGCUAUUAAAAUUAUUUUUAAAAAAUAAAAAUACUAUAAAUUCACUUGCAAACGACUCAAUUGGUCAACUGGAAUCUACACUCACGACACUCAAACCAUAAUCUUCUUCAGGCUCCUUUUAUUUUAUUUUUAAUAUUUCUAGUUAAAAUCAAAUUUUGGUACAUGAAGAGAACAAAAGGAAAAAGAAAAAGAAGCACAGGACUACGAAUGAGUAUCAUUUCACAAUAUGUUGCAAUUUCUAAAGCAAAAUUAUCAAUGUUACAGAUGCUCUCCUGACAACAUAAAAUAAUCGGCCUUUAAUAAUAAAGGCAUCAUAUAAACUCUUGUAGUGCUAGUGCAGUCACAUUAUCUUGACUAGUUAAAAAUAAACACAAGCAGUGGCGGACCCAAAAUCCUAGAUCAGUGAGGCCAAAUUAUAAAAAAUAAAAUCAAUGGAUUCAACUAUAUGUAUAUGAUAUAAAAUAUAAAAAUAUAAGAUUUUAUUUACAAUUUUUAAUUUAAAAGAAAAUUUAUUAGUGAAUUUUAAAAAAUGAAGGGGUGCAAGUACACACCCUCACCAUAGUGUAGGUCCGCCACUGAACACAAGUAUGCAAAGACUCGUCAUGCUGGUUUAUGGGAUCUAUUAAUUAUACUAAAAAACUAAUAAUGUCUUUAUCUUUCUAAUAUGACGAUCCUGUUAUUCAAUUUCGUGAGAAAAUUCAAGUUCGUGACUAACAUAGUUACCUUAAUGCAUAUACUUUUCAGAAAUCAAUUUCCCAUAAUAAGAAAGCCUUGAUGUACUGUAUACGAGGCUAGAACAGAAUAUGAUUCAACAAACGAUGCAUGAAAAAUGCAUCAUUCGUCCUAGCCACUUCUCGCUUCAAUUGCUAUUACAAAUAAAAACCUGUCAUAUCAUUCAUAAUAAUAGAAACACAGCAAGAGCACAUACCCACAAGUGACCUCCAAUGCAAGUCAUCAGAGACAUCAACCACUCCCUUAAGUCAUCAAUCCACAAUCACAUUGUUGCCCCCCCACUAAUUCUUCAGAGAAGAGAACUAUAUAUAAAUAAAUAUAAACAUAAAUACAUUUCAGACUCAAACUAGUACACCAAAUUUAUGCAAUCAUUUCAUUAGUAUCUACUAAGAACAGCAGGAUGUAAUCGCUUUUUCUGCAGAGGAAUAAAAUAAGAAUGAGAUGGAAAAAUAGUGAGAACAGAAUUUGAUCCACGUAUUUCAUUUCAUGUUUAUUUAUAUUUUUUUUUUCAUUUUUGGCUAGAAGAUUUUAUUUGUAGUUACACAUUACUUGCAUGCCACAACCAAGAAAACUCCGACACAUAAAUGAUACUGCUGAAACUGCAAUAUACCUGAAGCCAGUCCAUGAAUCGUCUACAUAAACUCUACCAAACACUUCUUGAUGUAGUCCUCGUGACAUUGUGGACAUAAUCCCCGCGCAGGGGAUUACCACAGUCCAAAACUGGAGUUUUGAGUAUCAUAGAUUGUCAAUCUGCAUGAUAGAAGAUAGUCUUAAGAGACUCAGCACAAUCACACAAUAAGUUACUUAGAGGAACUCCACCACUCGUUUCUCCAAACUUAUCUCAGCCUCUGAAGCACCUCUAAUCUAGAACCUCUGCCGCCGAUGAACAGAUGGGCUUGAAACAUUUUGAGAACCCAUGCUUGCAGUUCUAAGAAGUCUCCGAAACUCUGGUAGGCUUAUUUUUCCAUCUUUGUCAAUAUCAGCUUCCUCUAGCAAAGGAUCAACGGAGCCUCUCAAGCAUGUAUGCUGAAAAGCCAAAAAGGAAUAUUAGCUGCAGCAACUAUGUAUGUAAAUUAUUUUUAACUUUUAUUUUUACAGAUAUGCACGGCUCAAACUAAGCAGAUCUUCUAACUGUUCCCCCAAAUGGUAAACUUAUACGGAUGCUAAUAUAGGUAAGUAAACUACAAGAGAACAAUUUCUAAUCUUUUAGAGAAUUUUUCAUAAUGUGUUUAGAGCUUGACAAAUGAUGUGAGACCAACCAUUCUAAGUUCUUCCGGAGUAAUAUAGCCAUCUUUAUCUAGGUCAAAUUUCUCAAAAGCAGCCUGUGACAGUUGCUGCCACUUGUCAGAGUCUUCCUCCAAUUGAUGCACGUGUAAUGUAGCCGCUACAAACUCCCGGAAAUCCACUAGACCAUCAGUGUUGUUGUCUAUCUGCAAAUAAAUACUCAAGAUUAUUUUUGCAAGCCAAAUAGUAGAACAAAGCAACAUUAGUGGAAAAGAGUGAUUUUGGGAGGCCACAUAAAUUGUCGUAGAAGUGAAAGUAAUAUUAAUCACCAAAUUUCAUGCCUAACAAAUUUUAGACAUGCUGAGAAGCAGCAAACAAAACAAUGUGUGUUUCUUGUAAAAGAUCAAACAUACUAACCGCUUGCAAUAUCUCUAGUACACGUGAUUCUUUCAAUUUCCAAGGAAGAUCUUUGGCAAGAGCCUGCACAAAAUCUUCCCUUUAGACUAAAGUAGGGAAAAGAUAUUUAAGGGAAUAAUUUGCUCGCAAACAAGUUAGUCACAAAGCCAGUAAAUUAAAUGCUACCUGUCUCAUCUCUUCCAGGCUAAUCGAACCAUUUUUGUCUACAUCUAUAGCAUCAAAUUGAUCUUUUAUAUCAGCCAACUCUUCUUCAUUAAGUGUGCUAGCCAAUGCCUGCAGGGUAAUUGUUGACAUUAUAUGUUUGAUAUGUUCAUAAAACUUGUAUUGUAGCAAUAACCUUAAUUACACUAAGAUGAAGAAAUAUGGUAACUAAUCCCAAGAGAUAAAGAAGAAAUAGGGAAAUUAAUUCUAAAGGAUAAUAUAAGGAUAUGGCAAGAUAUUUCCAUAUAUUCCAACAGUAAUCAAUUAUAAAAAAAGCUGGACAUCAAACAGGUUCCAUGCCUUCUGACCUGAAAAGGCUAGAAUUAAUUUCUCUUACCCUCAGUGCAAAUUGUUUGAAUCGACUAUAUUUCACAAACUGCCGCAUGUUGCUCAGGACAGAUAUAUCAAUAGGAAUCUCCAAUGCUUCUCCUCCUUCUCUAACCCAUGGAUGUGCUGAAAUAUUAGGUUUAAUCAAAACACUCAACAUAAUGCAACACAAUUACACAUAAAAGCACUUUUAGUUACAUAUAAAAGAAGACAAUAAGUGUAACUUAAAUUAUUACAAAUAAUUGAGUAAUUACUUGCCAUUAAAAGACAAAUUGAUCUCAGCAAGAAAAGGUUAAAAGCAAAAUUUUAAAUGUAGUCACAUGAUAGAACUGAAAAAUGAGGCUAUAGCAAUGUCUCUGACUUCAAUAUUUGGAAUCAUUAAAACUUUAUAUAAUUGCAUAAAUACAAAGUUAAAAAAUAUUCUUAGUUCUAACAACAAAUUUAGCAUUUAAACUGGGAUGUAUGUCGAAUUCAAUAAAUUCAAUGCCUAAAAUUUAGGUGCCAUAUAGCACAAGCCUAAAUUUGAUUCGAUGACAACAACCUUAAAUUAUUUUAUUAUAAUUACUAUUAUUUAUUAAUAUUAUUAUCAACAUCAUCAUCGUUAUUAUUAUCAUCAUCAUUACUAUUUUUAUUAACAGUCAAAUAUCACUUAAAGGCUCAAAUAACAUAAACGGUUUUUUCAAUGUAAGAAGACAUGAUACAUACAUAAAGCUUGAGCAGCAGUUAAUCUCGCCCGAGGAUCCUUUACUAGUAAUUUUUUCACAAAAUCUUUUGCAGCAUUACUAAUAGUUGGCCAUGGUUUCCGACGAAAAUCGGGCUUCUUACGUAAGACCUGCAUAUAUCAGAUCAGAUCAUUAAUUAUACACAACAACAAAAAACAUUACAAAUUCCUUAGUAAAAACUCAAAAUCAAGUGGACAAUUAAAGUAAAGGUCAUAGACUUAUCAUGUCAUUAAGAUACAAGAAUGGAUAACGAAUACCAUAUAAAUUAGAAAAUCAGAAAAUUACACAAUAAAGUACUGUACCUCCUUGAAGAUACCAUCCUCAGUCUUAUCCCAAAAUGGGCGUCUUCCGCACAACAAUAUGUAUGUAAUAACACCAAUACUCCACACAUCUGAUUGAGGACCAGACUUACGUUUUAACACUUCAGGUGCAACAUAGUAAGCACUGCCAACAAUAUCAUGAAACUUUUUUCCUGCAUUUUUUUUCAAAGAUAGAGAAAAACAAAUCUCAAAUAAAAAUGGCAAGAGCAUGCCUGAUAACUCAACUGAAGAAAUAGGAGAACAAGCCUGAAACAAAAAAUGGAAGAAAAGAAAAAGAAAGAAAUUGACCACAAAAAUCAAGACUUUCCCUCACCAGGUUUUAUGAAAUCUGACAAACCAAAAUCAGUGGCCUUUAAAGGUGAAUCUUCUUUGGUUGAUUUAAAAAGAAAAUUCUGCAAGAAUAGGUAAAAAUAUUAAUAUAUUAUGUAUAGCAUCUAGUAGUAUAGAUCUCAUUUCACACAAAUUUGGCAGAUAUGCAAAUGUGCUUGAUCAUACCUCUGGUUUCAUGUCCCGGUGUACCAAACCAUGUAAAUGACACUCAGCUGCAACCUUGAGCAUCUGCCUUACAACCACCGCUGCGUCUCUUUCAGUAUAACGACUGUCCUUCCUGAUUAAAGCAAAUGAAGAGGAAAUUAGUUCUGGUACACAAAAACAGCUUUCUGCCAAACACAUAAACAUAUAACCAAAAAUCAUUGACCCUGGUUCUGCAAUUUCAACAUAGAAAUUCUGACACAUAACCAUAAUGAGUAAACCUCCACUCUAGUCCUUGAACCCUUUAAGUGUUAGUCACUAUAGUCCCUGACUUUACAAAACUUUCAUUAUUGUCCCCAACUUCAUAAAAUGUUUAAUGCAUUCCACUACAUUUUUUCACUAGUAUUAAUGACUAAACUGAAUAAUAUUUUGUAACAUUAAGGCUUAAGCAAAGUUAGGACUGUAGUAAAAGUUGUAUAACGCAAAGGACUAAAGUAACCAACACUUUCAAUCUCAGGGACUAACAGCCUGUUAGGAUUUCAGUUAGAAACCCUCAAAGGAAUUUCCAACUCAAAAUCCUUCCUCUCACAGAUUUUUCCAAUCAACUAAAUUGUAAUGCGUGCAAACAAUAAACCAAACACACACUUCCAUUCAACUAAAUUGUUGUGAUUUACUCCAAAAAUAGCAAUCACAUCCAAAAUCAAACCAUACUUACUUGGCCAAUAUCCGAUCUAGCAGUUCUCCACCCUCGCACAACCUAGGAAACACAUAUAUACACACACAAACCAAAAUUUGAUAGAAUUGAGCUCCCAAAGAUAAAUCCAAAGCUAAAAAUCAGAGCAACACAAACACAAAACAGAAUCAACUAGCAGAGCAACUUACUCCAUAACUAUGUACACAUAAGAACCAUCUUCAAAAGCAUUAUAGAACUGAACCACAUUCUCAUGGCCAGUAAGUGCUUUCAAUAUCUUGACCUCUCGCUUAACAUCCUCAACGGCAAUAGGCAGAACCAUCUGCCACCAAAUUUAAAGCAUAACUAAUUAAUUCCUAAAAACUACAAACAAAAACACGAUGAAUUGAAUUAUAAGAUUUAGGAGCAAAACGACGAUGGCAUUAACGGAAAUACCUUACUCUUCUCAAGCCUCUUAACGGCGACGCGAUCGCCAUUGGCUUUGUCGAUUCCAACGUAAGUGUAACCAAAUUGGCCGUGCCCGAGCAAUUUUCCGAGCGAGUAACGCUGAUCGAAAUCCUUCUCGUAACCGAAAUCGGUGCGCUUCCCGCACGGCACGUGGCGCGAACUUGCCUUGUGCCGUAGGGGAUUCGCCGUUGCCGUCUCUGAUUUCGGCUUCGCGGCCCCCUUGCGGUUCUUGUUGACGGUGACGGCGUUGCCGUGGGAGCCGCUGACUUUGGUGGCGGAAAAGCAGGUUCCCAUGGUCGGAGAGGGUCGAAAACGCUUAAAAGAUGGAAAAGAAAAACACGAGGAGCAUCAAAUCAUCAAACUUGGAAUAAUAAUAUUACUAUGUAGUUGGAGUUGUUGUCAUUCAAUUGGGAAAAGAAAGAGAGAAAAAGGUUGGAAAUUGAAUAAAAGUAGGAAGGAAGAAGGGAAGAAAAAAGACCUUUGAAUGAGACAGUGAGAACGGGACGGGGUUCGGAUGAUACCCCUCCCUCUCCAAUCAAUCCCUUCUUCGAUGUGAACUCAAUUAAUUAAGCUUUUAAAUUCUGUCACAGGCCAGGCUGAACCAUUGAAUUAAGUGGUCCAUUCUAAAUCAUCUUUUAACGUCCGUCCGAUUUAUUCGUAUAAUAUUGAAUGAUCAAGAUUUAUUUCCUGCUACAAUUUGUAACCGUUUAAAGUAAAUUCUUUUUAGAUGGCAUCGAUUGAUAUUACUCCUUUGCCCUUUAGUAAAAGUUGACAUUGUUGAUACUAUUACUCCUUUACACACACCGACAUGGAGCGUUCAAAACAAGUCCAUGAUGAUUUGUUGAAUCCUAAGCCAAAUCAAAACUGAAAAUGGGAUUUUUCGUACUGUCGUUUCUGUUUUCUCCGCCGUUGCGGCGUCAAGUUCGGGGCAUAACCAGGUUUUUUGAUUAAGCGGUAGUAGGAUCAGUAGGGGGUGGUGAUGAAACCGGAGGUGCUAAAAGGAAGCAAAAACAAAAGUAGCAGGCGACGCGACCAGAACCCGAGGUCAUGGUUCUUGAAGACAUUGUCGAUCAAACUUGGCACGGUUAACCGUGAGGAAGUUCCAUCUUCAGAAAUCGAUUGCGAAAAAGUGCAUAUUAUUGUCAUUUGUUGUUGUUGCAUUGGUUGCAGGUUUUGCUUCGAUCAUUGCAUAGAGAGAUAUGCUGUGUGUUGGGAGAUCCAUGUUGGUGCCUUAGCGGCGGUGCCGUGGAGGUGGUUUCGUGAGGCACACACUCUCCCGAUCAAACCUUUCCCUUUUUAUUCCUACCUUACUGUUUAGCUUUUAUUAACGAAGGAUAAAAGAUCAUUUCCCACUUAUUAAAAUAUUCAUUUUAUCUAUAAUAUUUUCUAUUGUUAUACACAUUUACCGCAUUACCUCUAAAUUAUACUUCUCCCUUUGAAUUGCAUUAUAUUUGUUCUUAUUUAUAAGAGUUAAUUAUUUAAUUCAUUAAAUUUAAAAAAAAUAAUUAAUUUAAUUGAUAGUGAUAAAUUUUUGUCAUAAAUUUAUAUUUUUUAAAAGUAUCAUUGUAACAAAUAUUUUUCUCUCUUCUCAAUGUAUAUUAAUAUAAUUUCUCUCUUAUUUAAUUAGGGAUACUUUUAGUAUAAAAAUAAUUAAAACAUGAGACAAUAUGAAUUAGAUCUUAUAUAAAGGAACAAACAAUUUUAAAAAGUUGAGUCUUAUAAAUAAGAUGUUGUAACUAGAAUAUAUUUGUCAAUUAAAGGAUAAAAUGGUAACUGCAUGCUUUCUAUUUUGGUAUAGACUUUGCCCUUCAUUUUUUAUAGUAACUAUGUAGUGUUCAUAUUGUAUGUGUAGUUUAUUUUAAAUUUUAAAUAAAUUCAUUAUAUUUUGAAAAUGCUCUAAUAGUAAUUGAACACUAUGAAACGUUCUUAAACCAUUCAAUGCUUUUCACUCUUAGGUUUUAUUUUUAGCUUUCUCUCUCUUUCAAAUUCUCCAUUACCGGGUUUUUCUUUUCUCUCUUGCCCCUAUUCCAUUUAGUGUUGGAUUUGAUGAGUGAGUAUUCACACGAGAGUGUUUCCUAGAUUGUUAUCCUUCCAUGGAUUAACAAAAUUAUCCAUCCUUAAUUUCUUGAAGGUUCCUUUAAAUUCCAUAUGACAAACUCAUUCUUUGUUAUUUACUUUUUACCAUUAAUCAAACAUCAUGCAUAUUUUCAUCUUGCAAAUCAUCCAAUGUUAUGUUUUUUCAACAUUUGCAACUAACAAAAAUGGAAAAUCCCUUAAAGUUAUGAUCCUCUUACUCAAGUCAAGAAGUAUAGCCAAUGGAAAUUUUUCAUACCCCGAAAAAAGUUAUUACUUAUUAUUGUGGGAUGAUCAAAAGAUAAGACAAGAAAAUUUGAUAGAGUAGUAUGCGGCCAAAAUUGCAAAAAAGAAACUGGUGGUGAUGGUUGGGUCUAGUGGAAACAUCCCUACCACUUACCAAUUCUUGGAAGCAAGAAUUGGGAUAGAUGAAACGCCUAGAUGAAGGUGAUGUUUGGUUUUCAAGAUGCUUUAAAGUUGACAAAUGGGUAUACGGUACCAAGUGAAGAUGUUAGUAAAGCCAAGAGAGCAGCAUAUAAAGAAUCACAAAAAAAAAAAGAUUGAAAGGCCAUGUUUCUUCUACAUCAAAGUGUUUAUGAUGCCCACUUUGAAAAGAUCUUUGUAGUAACCACAACCAAGGAGGUUUGGGACAUACUGCAAAAAUGUCACGCUGGUAAUGGGAAAGUCAAGAAAGUGCAACUUCAAUCUUUACGUAGGCAAUAUAAGAUACUAAAAAUGAAGGAUCUUGAAAAGGUAGCAGACUAUUUUACAAGAGUCAUAACUAUCACAAUCAAAUGAAAGCAUAUGGAGAAAAUAUGACCAAUGAAAUGAUUCUUGACAAGAUUCUUUGUAAAAUGAUCCCCAGAUUUGAUCACAUAGUAGUCGCAAUUAAGGAGUCCAAAAAUGUUGAGUCCAUGAAGAUUGAGGAGCUACAUGGAUCUCUUGAAGCUCAUGAAAUGAGACUGGAGGAAAGGAGUAGUGAAAAAAGUGUUGAUCAAUCAUUGUGAUCUCAGGCAACAAAGAAAGAGAGUGGACAUAAAAGAAAAUGGAAGAAAGGAAAAAGGCAAAUUCAGCAAUGGAAGUUGAUCCUCUAAUCUAGAACAUUCGAAGGCUGAUGGUGACAAACUUGAAUCUUCAAAUAAAAGAGGAAGGUCAGCAAAAGGCAAAAGAGGAUAGAAAUUUGAUAAAAGAAAUUUUAGUGAUUCAAGUUUGCUAAUGACUAUUGGUCUGGAAAAGGCAAGCAGAAAAGAACAAGUGAUAAUGAAGCACAUGUGUCCAAGAAGAUUCAGACUCAAAUCCUAUUCUAUUGAUGACAACCAAUAAUGAUGAUGUUGUACAAAAUGAGUAAUGGUAUCUUGAUUCAGGUUGCUCGAAUCACAUUACCAGUCAUAAGGAGUUGUUGAGUGAUCUUGAUAGAUCCAAAAAGAGCAAGGUUUGAUUUGCUUAUGACAAAACCUUGAAUGUUGAUGGUGUUGGCAACAUUGUAAUUGAGAAAAGAGAUGGAAAACCUGCAAUUGUGGAGAACAUACUAUAUGUACUUGGGAUGAAGUGCAAUAUGUUAAGCAUUGAGUAACUAAGUCAAAGAGGAUUCUUAGUCACCAUGGAGCAAGAUUUUCUUGAGCUAUUUUAAUCUAGUAGAGGUUGAUUUUGCAAGCCUCUCUCUCAAGGAACAGAACCUUUCAAAUAAACUUACACACUAGUAUAGUUCAAUGCUUAAAGGCCACUAAAUUUGAGGAGGAGUUUUGGCUUUAGCACUCAAGGUAUGAUCACUUCAAUUUCACGAGCUUACACCAGCUUGGAACUAAACAAUUGGUUGAUGAAAUUCCUUCAAUCACAAUACUAGAGAAGGUGUGUAAGGUAUGUCUAAUUGUUAAGCAAUCAAGGAACUCUUUUAAAUCAAGUCUUCCUAUGAGAGACACAUGCUUGUUAGAUGUAGUGUAUUAUGAUAUAUGUGGGCAAUUUGAAGUACCUUCAGUGGAAGGUAACAAGUAUUUCAUUUCAUUUGUUAAUGAGUUUAGUAUAAUGAUGUCGAUAUACUUAAUCAAGGCUAAGUAUGAAGCCUUUGAUAUAUUUCAAAGGUUUAAAGUAAUAGCUAAGAAGCAAUGUGGAAAAUCCAUCAAAGUAUUAUGAACUAAUAGAGGAAGAGAAUAUAAAUCUAAGGAGUUUGAUGAAUUAUGCACAAGGAAUGGAAUUCAGGUAACAACUCCCUACACACCCCAACACAAUGGACUUGCAAAAAGAAGAAAUAGAAAAAUGUUGAAUGUGGUAAGAAGUAUGUUGAAGGAGAAAGCCUUACCAUAAUCAUUGUGGGGUGAAUAUGUCUCAAUAGCUGCCUACUUGUUGAACAAGUGCCCAACUAAGAAAUUGAAGGAGAAAGUUCCUGAGGAAAUCUAGACUGGAAGAAAGCCAACUAUGAGCCAUCUUAGAAUAUUUGGCUCAUUUUGCUUCAAGCAUGUCCCUGAUGAAAAAAAAAAGUUGGAAGACAAGAGUCAACAUAUGUUCCUAGUAAGCAUUGGGCUUUGAAUGAGUCCUCGGGGCUUGAAUUUCAACCCAAACUUAGAUAGUUCUACUGACCACGCGCCCAUUCUUCCAACGAGUUCUAGCUUUCAGAGGACCUGUCUAAUGGGAUGAUCAGUCUUGACUUUGAUUUGAUGGCUUUAGAAAUACAGGCACAAACUCCUUGUUGAGUUUACUAGUGAUAAUGCUAGUUUUCUUUAUCAUCUAGUAUCUCUGUUUAGCCCCAUGUAAAACUCUACUAGUGAAAUAGAUCAACAAUUUUAUUUUGUCGUCUCCCUGCAUCAAUAUUGAACUAAUAGUUGUAUUAGAAACAAAUAAGUAAAAUAGGAGUUCAACACCUAAUGUAUGUCGAGUUAGAAUUGAAGGAGCCGCUAAGAAAUUCUUGAGUUUUGCAAACAUUUUCUCACACUUUUCAUCUCAAACACAAUCAUUAUGUGAUUUCUUCAACAACUUGAAGAAUGGUAUUUCCUUCUUUGCCAUCUUGGGCAAGAAUUGAGAUAGAGAGGCUAGCUUUCUUGUUAGUUUUUGGACUUUAUUUACAUUUUUUGGACUCCUAAUUGUUAUGACAGCUUCACACUUGUUUAGAUUUGCUUAUAUUCCCCUUUAGGUUAACAUAAAACCUAAAAAUUUACCUUCACCAACCCCAAAAAGUGCACUUUUCAGGGUUUAGUCUCAUGUUGUGUUUUAUGAGUUGUGCAAAGAUUUUAGUCAAAUCACGAGCGUGCUGAUCAGGAGAUAAUGACUUCCCUACCAUGUCAUCUACGUACACUUCAAAGUUCUUUUUUAUCAGCUCCUUAGAAACUUUGUCCAUAAGCCUUUGAUACAUGGCACUUGCAUUUUUUAGGCCAAAGGGCAUUACUUUGUAGCAGAAAUUGGCUCCAUUAGCGAUCAAGUUUGUCUUUUCUUGGUCAAGUGGAUACAUCUUGAUCUGAUUAUAGCUCGAGUAAGCAUCCAAGAAGCUAAGCAAUUUGAACACAUAUGCCCCAUUGACUAGUCUGUCAAUGUUAGGCAAAAGGGAAGCAUUUUUGGGACAUGCCUUAUUGAGGUUGGUAUAAUCCAUACACAUGCUUCAUUUUCCAGUUGCUUUCUUCACCAUAACCAUGUUGGCUAACCAAGUGGUCUAAUUUACUUCAUAGACGUAGUCAACCCUCAAUAAUUUGUCAAUUUAUGCUUCUACAACUAUUCUCUUUUCUUCUCUGAGCUUGCAUUUUCUUUGAGCUAUGGGUUUGGCUUUGGGAAAAAUAGAAAGUUUGUGGAAAAUAAAAUUUGGAUCAAUCCCUGGCCUAUCGGACGCGCUCCAAGCAAACAAGUCAGCAUUGCCAAAGAGCAAUUGUUCUACUUCAUUUUGUACUAAAUCCUCCAUUCGCUUGUCGAUUUUAGUUCACAUAUGUGACUCCCUGCAAAUUUGGAAAGUCUCAAUGUCUUCAUUUAGGUUUGGUCUUCAAUCUUCGAAAUCUGAUCGAGGAUAAAGAUCCUCCAAUGUCGUGACGACAACUUUGAUAAUGGAGAUUGGUGCCUUGUUUUUUUUCUCUUCCACCAUAUUGUAAGGUUCAAUCUUGCAACUUUUUAUAUAACAUUCACGAGCAUCCAUUUAAUCAACUUUGAUAGUGACAAUUUCCCAUUUGGAUUAGGGAAAUUUCAUUGCCAAAUGAGGUGUAAAAACAAUGGCUCCAAUCUUGUUCAAAGUAGGUAUGUUGAGCAGGACAUUGUAUAAGGUGUCUGCAUCCACCAAAACAUAUGGAACUAUUAAUGAUUAAGAAAGUUUGCCUAAGCCAAAAGUAGUCAACAUAUCCACUUUUCCUCUAGCAUGCACUUGUUUUCCUACAAAACCUAUUACAUGUUUCUCAUGAGGUUAUAUAAGAUCAUGAGAAACAUCUAAUUUUUCAUAGAUAGACCAGUAUAAAAUGUUAGCAAAACUUCCCUGACCAAUUAGAGUUUUUCGAAUUGCCUAACCGACUAUUACAAUUGUAACCACCAUAGGGUCAUCUUGUGUUGGAUCAUUUUUUAUGAAGUCAACAUCUAUGAAUGUAAUUGCUAGUAGAGAUUGGCGUGGAGUUUCAUUUGUUCUUGCUACAUUAACACUUUUUAGAGCUUGGAGAUGUCAUUUUCUGGUGGAGUUUGUGCAACCUCCUUUAGCAAACCACCAACAAGAUUGUUGAUUACACCUCAGACGAUGCCUUGAGGAAUUUCUUGUUGCCUUUGUUCUCCUUUGUUGAUUGUUGUUGCCUUAUCCACCAAUAUAUCUUCCUUUAAAAUCGUCUCUAUGGCCACCUCUUCCUUCUCCUCUAUAACUGCCAUAAUUAUAAUUAUUUCCUCUAACAAAAUCAUUCAAACAUCCUUUUGAAAAAAUUCUCUCAGGAUUAUGCAUUCCUCUCUAGAAUGGUCGUAGUUUCAAUGAUAUCUACAUUGCUUGGUGCGGUAGGCUUAGCUAUGGAAACCUGUUGGCAGAGGUAAUGCAAGUAUUUUCGAGUUGAAUGCCUUCUCCAAGAUACAUGCUUGACUUUCAGUAAGAGGGAUAUAUGUUGCAUACUUUGGCUGUCAUGGUUGCCUUUUGAAAUCUUUCUCUUUGACAGGCUUUAGUUUUUCUUUAUGAGAAUCAAGCUUCUUCUGGUCUCCUUUAACUUUGUCAUAGAACUCAGACAACUCUUCCAUUUGGAUAAAACUGACCGCAUGACGUCUCAAUUCAUCCAUGUUAGCCGACCUCUUUUUACACAGACUAUCUGUGAACGCUUCUGGCUUGUGUGUUCCUAUCAUGGCAUGAAGGGCUACUCUGAGUUCGAGAUCUCAGAUUCUGAUUGCAAUUUAUGAAAAUCAGCCCAUGAAAUCAUGUAGUGACUCAUUAUUGGUUGCCACAUAUUGGUCAUUGCUACCAACAUUGUAUGGUGAGGUCGACAUGUGGCAUAUUAAGCAUCAAAACAUUUAAUAAGCAUGUCAAACAAGUUGAUCUUCCGAGGAAAGAGUUGAUGGCACCAUGUCAGGGCAAGUUCUUUCAAAGAACUUGGAAUAACCCUGCAUAAAAUAACAUUGUUGUUAGUGUAUAAGUUUACAUGUGUAAUGUACUUUAAGGUGUUCAUUUGGGUCCAUAGUUUUGUCAUAUCGAUCUAUACUUAAAGGCUUCCAUCUUAGAGGAAGGGGACCAUAAAAAAUAUCAUUGACAAAGGGAUGUCGACGACAUAACUCAACUGGUUGACUUUAAGAUCUUUGAUGUGAUCGUCCAAUUGUGUUUGUUUGACAGUUAGUGUCAUGUGAAGAGUGUUCUCCCUUUGUUGCUACAUGAUGGGUUAGAACUCUAUGUUGCGUGUUUUCCUGUGAUUGUUGUAAGUGUGCUCGGAUAGCUUUGUUUUCCUAGCACAGUUCUUGUAGGUCUGGUUCUUGCUUUUGUUGUAAUACAAUCAUCUCUUCCGCGUUCUUCUUUUGUAGAGCCUCCCACUGCUCUCUAAAUCCUUGAGUCACUGAACUCUCUUCCAUGGCAAUUGACCAUAACAUUGAAAUCCUAGUCAUUACCAUAUAAUAUUAUGAUCAAAGGUAAUUUCACUUUGACCCCAUAGUGGUCGCCAAAUGGUCUUACCAGGUUCUUCUUAUACCAAUCUGUGAAACUGCUUUUUUCUCCGAUGAGCUGUAUCUGGUGAGUAGAAUGUACCUAACAUGUUCAUAUGUUGUUUAUUGUCUUAUAGAGGAUGACAACGACUGAGUUGGUAACUACCCAUGAUGCCCACUAAGAUAUCGUGUGUGGAGUGGUAGUCAGUUGGUUGGUGCCAACUACCCAUAAGCCUCGUACAAUACAAAAGUGUUGUUCCAAUUCAAUCAAGCUAUAAUUGCUGUGAAAUUUUAUUUAUUUUAAAGAAAAAGUCAUACUCACAUAAUAGAGCCAUGAGCUUUAUUGCUUGGACAACGAGCAAAUUAAAUUUCAAUUUUACUUAGAGAGUGUUUAUUUCAACAUUUUAAACUCUUGAUAAACUAGAAGGAUAAUCCUUCUAGGACCUUUCAUUUCAGGUUGGUCUUCCCUCUCACUUUCAAGUUUCUUUUGAAGUUGGAAAAUACAAGACCAGUAGUGAAGCUGUGCAUAACUUCUAUUUUCAUUCUUGUUCUUCUUUAUGAACCUUUUGCCUUCAGCUCACCAUUCUUACUCCUUUUUGUUGCAAAUUCUUGGCUCACAUUCUUCUUAUUCUCAGCAAAAACUUUUGAGAUUUUUCUUAUGAAAACAUUGUCUUUUCACAAAACCAAUCAAACCACUCAAAUUGUCAGGUUGCAUUAGUUCACCACCGAUUAUAAGGAACAUCCAGAUUGGUUCUCAGUUGAAUCGACUAGUCCGAUCCAGUUUUGAAAACCUUAAUAGUAAGUAUACAAGGGUAGGAUUAUGGAGGGGGUAGGGCGGCUGAGGACCACACUCGCCCCCCCUUACCAUCCAAAAUUAGACAAAAAAUAUUGAUGAGUUGCGAUUGAUAGUAUAUGUGAUCUUUUAAAAAAUAAUAGUAUAUGUGACAAUCUUAUUUACAUAUAAAAUUAAUAAUUUUUGAAAAUAAAGAAUACAUUUUUCUUUAAUGCAUUUUAAAAAAUAAAAAAACAAUUAUUUGAAAAUUUUAUUUGAAAUAAAUAAUUUUUAAAAUGCAAUGAAGUAAAUUUUAUAUUUUAUUUUUAAUAUUAUUGAUUUCUCAUUUAAAUAUGUUUGUUACAAAUGUUAUCAAGCACGACUAUGUCAUUAUUUAUGGUUUAAUUUUGGAUAAAUCCAUUUUAUUCUAAAAAUACUCUUAUAGUAACUACACACUAUGAAACUGGGGGCAUUGCUUCACUCGUUAUCUCCCUUUACGUAUUAUUCUCCUCUACCACAAUCAUGCUUAGGAUAAGUUUGGCAAAAGUAAUUGUAAAAUUAGUCAGAAGUUAAAAACUUAAUUGAUGGUUGAAAAUUGGAUAAAUAUCUUAUUAAAUUAUAAGUAUUUGACAAAAUUAUUGGCUAAAAUAAUUAAAAAUAUAAAAUUAUAUAAAUGGACAUAUUUAUGUAAUAUUUGUAUACAAAUUUUAAUAUGAUUUUCUUGAUAAAAAUAUAUUUUGUAAUAUUUAUAAUUUUAGUAUUAAAUUAAUUUUUUUUGUUACAAGUAUUAAAUUAAAUUUUAAACACUUGUAAAUUUUUAUUUAUAAAAUAUAAAAAAUACAUAAACUUAUUAUAUAUCAUUAUCAAUAUCAUAUAUAAUAAAAAGAUAAAAAUGAGAAAAUCCUAUCAUAUAUAAAAAAAGAUUUUAAGCAAUGUCUACAAAAUGUUAAAAAUUAUUAAAAAAAAAACUUAUUUAUUUAACAAUUAAAAAAGUUUUUUAAAUAAUAGUUAAAAUAUCUUAUCAAACACACUUAAUCAUCCAAUAUCUCUCCACUCUUUGUCCCAAAAUUUAAUCAUAAUAAAAUAAUAUUUAUAAAAAUAGUAAUAAUAAUAAAUUAUUUUUAUUCAAUAUCAAUAUCUAUUAUUUUAUUUUUAUUCAUUAAAUAAAUUUAAUUUAUUUAAUUCAAAUAUUUCUAUUUUAUUUCUCUUUUUACAAAAACAACUUUUACUUCUUAUAUCUAUUUUUUCACUUACCUACUUUCUUUUCGAAAUACCAAAGAGGAGAGAUGAAGAGCACGGAAAUGUUGAUUCCCAAGGAAGGAUUAAAACUUCGCCUCAAAGAAGGAAGGAUUAGCGUGGAAAUGAGGUGUUGCUGCCUUGAUAAGUGGGGCAAUUUCAUAGUUCCCUUCAUACGUGGGCCCUGAUUCCUCCUAAAUAAUAAUAAGAAUAUUAAAAAUGAUAUUAAUAAUAAAAAAAAUAAUAAUUAGUAAUAAUAAAUAUAAUUAUUAUUAUAUUAAUAAUAAAAAUAAUACUUUUAUGAUUAUAAUAAGAAUAACAAAAAAAUAUGCUUACAUUUAAGGAUAAAAUGGUACUUCUAGCAACAAUUCAAUUAUUUUUUUACUUAUUAAAUAACUAUAAUUUAAUUUUUUUAUUUCUGACACUCUAUUUUUAUAAAUAAUUUUUAUUUUUAUUUUAUUUUUCAUCUAUUUCUCGUCUUUUUUUUUUCUCAUCUUACUUUUUCGUUUUUAAGCUUGUGAACAUGUUACACCCGCGGUUGGCGCAAUACUCCUUCCUCCCAACUCUCCUUCGCUUAUAAAAACACAUGCAUGCUCCUUCACUUGCAAGAAACACCCCCCUCUUCCAAUAGCUUCCUUCUUCCCAAUCAGUAUUUUGUUGCUCCCUUCUCUCCCAACUUGCUCUCUCUCUCUUCUCGUUUGCUCUCUCUCUCAUAAUAUUUUUAUUUCAUGUUCUUUAUUGUUGCUAAUUACAUUAAAUGACACUUACAUGUUUUAAAAUAUGUGAUAUUGUGUUUAUAUUUAAAAUAUUUAAUGAGUACAUUUAAUGACAUUAAAUGACACUUACAUGUUUUAAAAUAAUUAUGAUUUUGGUUUAGAAUUUUUUUUGGAAUAUUAGCUUUUUACAAUUUUUUGUAAUAUAUGAUAUUGUGAUUUUUUAAACCUGUCAUGUAACUUAAUUAUUACAUGUGAGAUUGUAAAUUGAAUUUUUAAAAUGUUUGUGAUAUAUGUUGUUAUUAAUAUGGUUUUAAAUAAAUUUAACUAUGUUUGUAAUAUGCAGUAUAUUUGAUAUGGCAAGUUCAUCAUCCUCCUCAUCCAGUUUUGAUGUGGUAUCUCGACCACGUGAAAAUGAUGUGUUGUGGAUGCAAAAUCAACAUGUGUCCCAACAUAUUUGGAACGGGGAUACAGAUAGAAAAUUAAGAAUGAGACGAGCGAUUCCAACUUAUUAAGGUAUAGAAUAACCACCGGCAUAAAUUAUUCCUCUGUUACAGCAGUUUGGAUUAUACACAACAAUAAAAUUGUGUAGAAUCAAAAUCAAUGGAGGUAUUGUAAAUGCUUUUGUUGAAAGGUGAAGGCCAGAGACACACACAUUUCAUUUGACAUGUGGGGAGGCCACCAUCACAUUACAAGAUGUGUCUGUGUUGCUAGGUCUUCCUGAGGAUGGCAAUCCUUUAAAUCUACCUUCUCUUGGUUGCAUGAUCGUAAGGGGUUGGAUCAUGCGGGUAGCUUCUUCAUCUCUGUGUUACAUAUAUCAUCGAUAUCUUCCUCCACAUCCAACGAGUCCUCAACAUAUGAAUUAGAUAUCAUAUAAUCAUCAUCGUCAGAAUCUUCAUCUAAAUUUGUUGCAAAUCUUAGAACUUUUUAUUCAUUAGCAACUACAUUAUUCCCACAUGAUAAUAGCGAAUUUGUCACAUUCAACGCAAAAGCACCGACAACAUCUACUUCAACACACAAUUUAAUGACACUCAUUUCUUGUUGUUGUUGAAAACUUUCAAUCAUUGUUUCAACAUUUUCAUCGUCACAAAUUUGCAAUGCAAUAUAUUUACCUGCAACUAAAAAUCGGCAAGUCAUAGUAGAUAUAAUUUCAUUUUUAUCUAAUUUUACCUUAUCACGAAUUCUUUUUUUUAACCCAUCAAAAGUUACACCACGUUAAUUUGAAUAGCCUUUUUAGGGCCUUCAAAAGUGAUGUCGUCGUCACUUUGAAAUAUUCUUCCAUUCAAAUAAACCAGAACAAUAAUCAAAGAAUUUAUUUUUAUAAUAAAACCUACAACAUAAAACAAUAAUGUCAUCAAUUUUCAUUAAUAAUAAUAACAUCAAAAAAUAAUACAAAUUAAUAAAUAUAAAUUAAUAAAAAUAAAUUAAUAAAUAUAUUACUGAUUUUCAUCCCACAAAAGAAAUAUCAACAAAGUUGUCACAAUGUAAUAUAGAGAGAAAGAAAUUUGGAGAGAUGCGGAAACAAUGUACCAGAAAGUUUGUGUGGAUGGAAGGGGGAUGGGGGGUUUAUAUAGGCAUGUAUUGUGCGGUAGUAAUGACACAAUAUGUUAUACCUAGGGCAUUUGAGCAAAGGGUUGCUCCAAUUGACAUGACACAAUACAUUUCCAGCUGGUCAACACUGCACACGCUGUCAAAAGCCUGUCCAAAAGUGGUUGCGCCACUUACAUUAGAACAACCCAUUGCGCAAUUCUGUUGGUGCAACAACUCAAUGCCACAUGUCAGCUCCCUGAUGUAUUGUGCCCCUGCCUUUAGCACAAUGCAAAUAAAAACAGACCCCCUCGAAAAAAUGUUUGAAAAUAGACCCCUAUUGGUAAAUUGUUUGCACAAGGAGCCUAAACUGGUACUUUUGCCCAGAUUCAAGUGCGGCAGAAUAGUAACGAUAAAAAGAUGAAGAAAUUCAAGAAAACAUCAAAUCAAGCUCGACAAACGAAUGUUGGUUUUGGUCUUUUCAUACGUGUCAAUUCAAAUAUAGCUUCUUGUCCUUUCUCUUCUAGGAUUUGAGAGCUGCAUUGCAUUAAUUAGAGCUUUCCUGAUAAAUCUCUAACAAGAUCUUAGACUUUUUUUUAAUCUUAUAUUAUCACGUAGGAUUGAAGAUUUUUGUCAUUUUUUUCUUUUCUUUAUCGGUAGAUUUCAUCUUUAAAUCUUAAAUAAUUUAUUAAAUUAAAUAUUUAUUAAAAAAAUAAAUAAUUUUUUCUCCUCUUCCUUUCCUUUCAUGUUGCAUCUUCUUUUCUUUUUCCUCUUCCCUCUCUUCUCAUUUGCUUCUUUCUUCUUCCUUCACUGUGGCCUCCUUUCCCACCAUUAUGGCAUGUUUCUUCUUCCUUCCCCUUAGCCACGACAUUGACCUCCUUCCCCCUCCCUCUUCACCACGACCUCCUGCCCCUACACUAGUAUGUGUAUUUUGUUUUUAUGUUUUGUUGUUACUGGUUUCUUCUUCUUCAUCAUUUCAUAUCCUCUACUGUUAGUCUCUCUUGCAUGUUUUGAUGUUGCUGUUAGGGAGAGAGUAAAAAAAAAUUGUUUUUUUAAAGAUUAUGCGGAUCUUAAGGGUUCUUGUGUAAAAAUUCAUUCUCCAUGCUCAAGAUUUGUCCAACUUCUUUAUUGGGAGAUAUAGUGAAGAUCAAAUCUUAUGUUUAGAAUCCUUGUUCAAGAUCUGACACUAAAGUUGUUCUUAAAACACGAUGGGAGAGCUAGGUAUAGUGAACAGUUAAGAUUAGACUAAUAUAGACAUGUAUAAUUUCCCUUAUAUAUUUUUCUAAGAAUUACAUAUUUUUUAAAUUAACAUUUUCAUUAGUAAUAAAAUUCAUAGUGCAUUUUUACACUAAAAAUGAAUUGGUCUCUCUCUUUCCAUUAAAAAUAAUUAUCGUCCUAAAUCAUUUUACACAAAUAAUAAUAAUAAAUAAAUGAAAAAUAAUAAUUUUAUAAAAUUAAUAUUAUACAAUCAUUAAUUCAUUUAUAAAUUUAAUAGUUUAUCAUUAUAAGAGAUAUCAAUAAAAAAUAAUAAUUAAUAUUCUAUUAAAAAACUAAAAUAAUAAUAAUUUUAAAAUAAUUUAUACAACAAUUAUAAUGGGAUGGAAUAACUACAUCAUAAGUUUACUGGCGAGUUUGAAAAACUAGUAAUUGGCAUCUGCCAGAAUAAUCAAAUAUCAAAUAAAACUGUUUUAAAGAUCAUGGUACUGUAUUUUUUUUUUUUUAAAAAAAAGCAUGGUACUAAUUUACCAAAUGGUGAAUGUCUCCAUGCAGAUGAUAAUAUUUUCUUUUCGUUAUAUUUCUUGUUUAAGUGAGACUAUUUCUAGUUACAAUAAUAUUGAUUCCCUGACUGAACUGUAGUGAUAUCCCAGACCUUUUAAGCCAUGACCUAAUAGGCAUAGAAAUUAUUUUAAGUAAAAUAAGUAAACAUUUAACUCAAAGUUAAUAUUAACUUGAAAUCAGUACAUUUAAAAACAAUAUAAAAAUUAUUUUAAGGACAUUAUAGGAGUUUAAUACUUAAUUUAAAAAAAAAAUUCUCUCUCCACUUUUUAUGACAAUUUUUGUUGGGAUAUGAUAAUUGGUUGUUACCCGACCGCGAUAAGAGAAAUUAGUGUAAAAAAUAAAUCUGAAAUGAGAAAAAAUGAGUAAUAUUAAGUUGUGAUAAGAGAAAAAAAUGAUUUAUUUUUCAAUAAAUAUUAAUUAAUUAAAAUACUCUUAUAAUAAAUAAACAAAAACAAAAGACAUGAGUGAUAUUUUUGUUUAAAUAUUUUGGUGUUGGGUGUGAAUGCACUCCCAUAUAUAUAUAUAUAUAUAUAUAUAUAUAUAUAUAUAUAUAUAUAUAUAUAUAUAUCAGCAAUGCUCACGAAAUGCAACUAGCUAGGAAGAAACACACAAAAGCAUUUUUAAAAAUAAAUAUUAAUUAAAAGUCUAAAAAAUAUAUCAAAUAUCUUCUAACAGAAUACACUGCUUCGUGUGCGUAUUUGACAAAAUAUAGUUUUCGUACCAAAUAUCAUUUUCCUAUAUAUAUAUAGAGGCAUAGAAAUUAUUUUAAGUACAUUUAAGUCAAAUUUAAUGUUAACUUAGAAUUAGUACAUUUAAAAAUAAUAUUAAAAUCAUAAAAUAUAACUUACAGAAUAGUAGGUAAAGUAGUACGUAUACACAAACAUUAAUAAUGAUAUUUUCAGACUAUAUAUAUAUAUAUAUAUAUAUAUAUAUAUAUAUAUAUAUAUAUAUAUAUAUAUAUAUAUGGUCUGGUUUGUUUGGGAGGAAGAAAAGAGAAUGAAUAGGUGAAAAAAGAAGAAGGGAAAUAGGUAAAAUAAAAAUUGAAAAUAUAUGCUAAAGAAAACUUAACUAACAAUGUCGUUUAUCACAAAAGUUAGGUGCAAAUAUAAGAAAUCGUAUUUUUUGAAAUCCUUUAAACGUAAGCACUUUUGAUCGUAAUGGUAGGACCAUGCAUGCAGCCAAUAAGCCAGUCCCACUUAUUUUCAUUUAUAUGUAUAUAGAGGCAAAUAUAAGGUAUACAUAGAUCAGGUUGAAUCCUAAGACAUAGGCAUGAACACAACACAUGAUAUCCCCACAGAGUAAGAUUAUUAUUAAUUCGUGGCCCUUCAAAAAUACUAAAAACACCAAGGGAGCAAUACUGAUAUUAUUAGGCAAGAAUCUCCUUCAAAGGCUUGGCCUCAACUUUUGCCUUCUCAAGUUCUUGGAAAUGCUUUUCAUUCUCAAAGUCCUUUUUCUUAGCCAGCUUCUUCAUCCCUGCAAUCUCAAGGUCCUUGCUCAUCUUCCUCCUGUACAUUUCAGCAAAAGUGAUUGGUUCCUCCAUCACAGGCUUCUCUCCCUCUCUAACCUUGAGAGGGUACACAGUUGCAUUUGGUACAGGGUUUUGAAACGUGGCUAUGGACAAACGGCUAUGGUUUGAGUUCACCACCGCUUGAUGAUCAGCACUCUUGAACCUUCCAUUGCUCAGAUACUGCAUGGAUGCACCCACACCCAAAAUUUGAAUAAAUUAUUAUGGAAAACAAAGUACACGGUCAAAAGCCCUUGCUUGAUAAAAAUAAAAUAAAAUUAAUCAAUCACUAAUUAAGCUAGUCUUUCUAAAAGCUUCUUGAACUUCCUUCACAUCUCAAUAUUUUUAUUUUAAUUAACUAAUAAAAGCAUAUCAUUAGCUGAUACUAUAUAGUUACUAUUUGUUUUCUUCUUAAAUAGUUUGUAUUAAAAAUAUGUAAAUGAAAUUAAUAUAAAAAUAAUGUAAGGAUUUUGAUUAAGCUGUUCACAUGCAUAUAUAAUAAAAUGACUCCCGGUUAAAUAUAUAAAUACUGAUAACUUUAAUCUUUAAUUCAAAUUAAAAAUAUUGAAAUAUAACUAUAUUAAGAAAAAUCAUCUAAUUUUAGCACAGUUUUUGUGCAUUCUAAUUUAUCACUUUAAACAUAUAUCUUAUAUCUAGUUACUCUUUUAAAAAAAAUUAACGACUAAAUUAAUUCUUUAUUUAUAAAUUUUAAAAAUUAUUGUUAUAUACAUCAACGCUUUAAAAAUUCAAUUUAAUAUUAUAAAAUAAGAUUUUUAAAACCAAAGAUCAUGAAUAAUCUAAUAUAUAUAUAUAUAUAUAUAUAUAUAUAUAUAUAUAUAAAAGAAAAUUUGAUCCUAUAAUAUAAUAUCACCUGUUAAUUUCAUAUUUAUUAUUUAUUUCUUUGAAAAGUAUUAAAUAAUAUUAUUAAUUCAAUUAUUAAUUCAAUUUAAUAUUAUUUUAUUAUGUAAAUAGAUUCUAUUUGAGACUUAAAUAUAUUUUUAUUCUUUGUAAUUUUUUUUAUUUUUUAUUCCUAUAAUACAUAAUAUAUUUUUUUACUGUUUAAAACGUAUCUUACAUGUUUUAAAGACGAAUAACAGUAUAAUCCUAUGAUUAAAUGAAAGAGAGAAAGAGAGAAGUAAUUGACAACGUGUUGAUUUAAUGUGAAAACGCAUUGAUUUUAGCCAGUUGGUUUUCGUUGUCAAUAAUAGUCAUUAAUCUUGUAUAAUUUACACCCUUUGGCUAUCUAAAUUACUUCUAGUUUUGGAUAACUAUUUUGGGAACCAAAGCCCAUAUAAUCAUUGCAGAGUAUACUCACAUGACAAUGGUCUCCAAGAUUGACAACGAAGGCACCCUCCACAGGCUGAACGGUGAUCCACGUUUUCCCAUUGUCCCUGGUGGCUUGGAGUCCACCCACUUGGUCCUGAAGCAGCAAUGUGAUGGUGCCAGGAUCAGUGUGGCGCUUGAGGCCAAGAGUGAGGUCAGGUUGUGGGCACUUAGGGUAGUAAUUCACCACAAUCUUCUGGUCCAUGUCAACACAUGCUUUGGUUAAAGCCUCUUUCUCCAACCCCAUUGCCUCUGACAACACCUCCAAGAGAUUGCAAGCUAGAGCCAUUAGCUUCUCGCUGUAUGAUUCGGUCACUGAUCUCCACCCUUUUGGAGUGUCUGGCCACCUUGUAUAGUCCCUCUCUCUCAUUGGGUAGGAAAAGUAUAUCACUAUCUCUCUCCAGUCCUGCACGGACUCACCCUGUCAUGUCCCAAAAAUCAUCCACGGAGUUAGUUACUUGAAUGAUAAAUCCAAAUCGAUUCAACAUAAAAAUUGAAAACUGCUAAAAAAAUAUGUGAAAUUUUGCAAAGAAAAAUAAACAUGUGAUGAAAAAUAUUUACUCGGAGAUGACUAGAGACGUUGAAUCCUCCCCUUUUGCCACCGGACAUAUCAAAGCGAAUCUUUUCGUCCAGUGGCAAGAUAAAGAACUCUUUGGCAAGACGGGUCAUCUCGGCCAUGAGUUGUUGAUCCACACCGUGAUCAACAACUUGGAAGAUACCCCAAUUCUUGCAAGCCUCCACAAUCUUCUUGCAAAUCUCUUCUCUACGACCACCCACCUCGUGGAUUCCGGCCAGAGAAAUCACCGGGACCUCAUUGCUGAAUUCAUUGUACGCAACCUUUGGACGCUCGUCUUCAUCCCGAACGAAGCUCAAUUCCAGGGUCUUCUCCUGAGCCAGGUAAGCCAGAUCAGUCUUGGCCGUUGGUGCCAUUCUUGUCUUUGGGUUAACUUGCUUACGGUGUGGGGAUUGAGGAGAGUGUGCGUGUGUGUAGUGGAAUUAAACAGUAGUAUGCAAUGUUUGAUUUUUUGAAGUUUGAAGGAUGGUAAGAGAAUGCAAGAUUGGUUGGUGUUUUAUAGCGUGGCAUGGAGUGGUAGGAGCUCCUACUUACUAACCACGUGUUCCCAAGCAUUCCUCUCAACUCUACAUACAUGUUCCUUUCACGUUGGUACCUAACUUUAUUCAAUUCGUCUCUUUUUUUUCUCCCUACAAGUCAUUAAAUAAACAAAAUUAAAUAUGUUUUAUAUUUUAUGAUAUUAAUUAUUUAUAUUGUUUUUUUAGAAUUUAACUAAAAUGCACUAAAAGUGUAAUCAAAUUUACUUCUCCAAACAAUCGUGGAAUAUUAAAUAAUGAAUUAUCACAAUACGAUUAUUAAAUUUCAUAAUAACGUAUUUUAAAAACUAUGAAGCCGUUUAUUUAAGCCUUUUCACCACACAAUUACUUCUUCAUAAAAGAUAAUCACUUUUUUUAAUAUUUUAUGUACUUGUUAGGGCUUCUUAAAAUAACAAGAAUCAAGGUUAUCAAACUCAGUUUACGCAAACUCACGAGAGUUUCAUAGAUUCAACUUGUAGAUUCGUAAAAGUCCAUUUCAUAUAAAAAUAAUAACAAAAUAUCUAUAAAUAACAUACUAAUUAAACAUUUUAACGAUAUAAUAAAGCAAAAUAAUAAAUCAUAAAGUUCAGAAUAUUUAAUUAACCAAGUCUAGUAAUAAUACAUCACUACUAAAUAAUAACUUACAGAUUAUAGUAGUGGUAGAUCAUUCUCAUCAAGGGUUAAAUAUUAUUAGAGAACAAAUGUUUGAUAUUAUUAAAGGUAAAAAUUUUGUAUUUGAGAAUAACACACUAAAUCAAAGUAUGUUGAAUGUUAUACAAAGAGAAAACAAUAAAAAAAAUGACUUACAUUUUGGUCUAAUUUUUUUAACUUAACUCGUUGACUUGAUGGUAAGCUCGAGAGUCUACCGAGUUUACUUAGAGUUUGACUAGAGUUUACUAAAAAAAAGAGUUUACUCAAAAGUUAACUCUCGCAGAGAGUCCAAAUAGACUCGUAAACCCGUAAGAGUUAACAAGUUAAUUCGAGAGUUUGAUAACCAUAACAAGAAUCACAAUUAAUUAUUAUUAUUUUGAAAUGAUUUUUCUAAUUGUAAACAAACAUGAAUUCACUUCUUCCUUUUUUUAAAAUAAAAACUUCUGAAAAGUAGUCACUAAAUUAUUUUAUACCAAAAUCACUUUUUUUUUAAUCUUGAACAAACUGCUCUGUAUCUAAAUUGAUAUCCAAAUAGUUAAAGGAAUGUGUCAUAGUUAAAAUCAUUUUUGAAUGUCAAUUUUUUUUAAAAAAAUAUUAUUUUUUAUCUAGAGAUUUAAAAGCUCAAGAUAUAAUAUUAAAUUUUACUAUAUUAAUUCGCAAUAUUUAAUUAUGUUGCAUAUUUACUAUUAAAUUGAAGAGAAAGAAAUAAUAAUUAUAAAAUACAGAAUAUUAGCAAUAAAAUAUAAUAAUAAAAAGUAAUGCUAAUUUUAUAUUCAUUUUAGCUUUGAGAAUUAAUUAUUUGUCUGAAUCUAACUAUAUAUAUCCCAACAAUGUUAAUAAUCCAGUUGCAAAGACCGUGGAUGCCAAACUGUACGGUUGCGUAACACAAAAUUAUGCAGUCCAGUAGUUUAGUUUUAAGAUCUAUUCUUUUAUGUUGUUAAAUCACCAGCGUGCUCUACAAUUUGCAUGUUUUCUUGUUCAAAACUUUCUACCAUGUUAGAUUUUUCUUAUUUUACUCCACUCCAUACAAAAAUCUUCAUCUUUAGUCGGCUAAAUAUGACGUACGUAGCAAAUGCUAUCUCCGGUACGUAGAACUUGUGCAUGCCCACCCCUACGGGAGAACAAGGGUUUGUUUGGUUUAAAAGAAUAAAAGUGAUAUGAAAGUGAAUUGAAGUAAAAAUAGAUGAAAUAUUUAAAUUAAAUUAAAAUAUAAAGGUGUGAGACUCACAACAAUUUUUAAAUUUUUUUUAUCUCAAAUACAACCAAAUAUAAUUAAGCCAAACAAUACCCAGGCAAACUAUUAUAAGUCGAUUUAUAAGUUUGGCAAAUUUAAGUUGAAAAAAUUGGACUAUAGGUAGGCCAAGAACCUACUGGUUAGUUUCACUUUCACAAUUUCACUACAAAGGUGAAUGAUGAUGAAGAAAAUUUCUUAUUAUUUUGUUAUAACUAUCUUCAAUGAUUUUCAUAUAAACAACUAAAUUUAUGUCAAAUCAAUCUUAAUCAAUUUAAUUAAUUUUUUCUUCAACGAGAAAUGAUAUUAAUAAGUUUUUUUACUCAUAAAUAUUUUAUCUCUCUUCAAUGUUUAAUACAAAGUUAUGCAACUCAUAAACAAUUGUUGUUUAUCCAAACAAUUCUUUUUAAUUUUAAAUAACUCAAAAUUACAUACCAGGCAUCAAAAUAUUUUUUUUAUAAUUGGUCUAUGUGUACGCGUUUAUAUUUAUUUUGAAAACAUUUUCUCUCAUCUCGAUUAUAAAAAAAAAUUAUUUCAUACUCUCUCUUUACAAGAUCGUUCUUUUGAAUGAAUUUUAUAAGAAUAAAAUUAACAGAUGCGUUAACAAUUCAGUAGUAGGAGAAUUUAUUUUUUCAAGAAAUUUAAAAUUAUUCAUGAUAAAAUAAUUUUAUUUGGAUAGAAUAUUUGAAAAGAAAUUUAAUUUUUGUUAUUUUUAUUAAUAAUUUUGAUUAACUAAAACAGUGAGAUUUCAAAUUCUCUAAAAAAUUAAUUAUAGAAUUUGAAUUUUUUUUUCGGAGAUGCUCAAUCUAAUUCACGAUGUUCUUGCUCACGACUUAUUCUCGGUCAGCACUCGCAGCUAUGGGUGACCAAAGUUUUUAAGACCGACAUCGACAUAAGUUAUUUUUCACUGAUGUUGGUUGAGGUUUUUUCGGUCAAAUUUUUUUUGUAUGAUGUCAACCAAAGCUAUUUUUUGCUGAUAUCAGCUAAAUUUUUUUUAGAUGAUGUUGGUUAGGGUUGUUUUCUCGCUAACGUUAGUCAUGAGAAUUUUUUGCUGACGUCGGUUAAGAACUUUUUUUCCAGUAGAAUGUUGACCAAUGAUUUUUUGGGUCGACGUUGACUAGAUUUUUUUACUGACAUCGGUCAUGACUACUUUCAAUCGACGCAGCUAGGUUUUUCAGUCACAUCAGUCAAAGCUAUUUUUUAACCAAUAUCAGCCAUGAUGUUUUCAACCGAUGUAGCUAGGGUGAUUUGGUUGAUGCCAACUAGAUUUUCUUAGUCAACAUUGUUUAGGAUUUUUUUUGCCGAGAUCGACUAGGAUUUUCUGGCUGACAUCCGCCAAAGUUAUUUCCUGAUUAUAUUAGCUAGGUUUUUUUGGUUGAUGUUGACUAGGAUAUUUUCUGCUAACACCAGCUAGAUAUUUUUUAUAGACAUUGGACAUGACUAAUUUUAGUCGACAUCGACAAGGUUUUUACAGUCGACAUCCACUGGAAUUUUUUCAGUCGACAUCAGUCAGAGCUAUUUUUUAGCCAACAUCGGCCAAGACUAUUUUAUAGACGAUGUUGGGUAGAUUUUUUGUCCGACAUUGGUCAAGACUAUUUUUUAGCCUACUUCGACUAGGGAUUUUUCAGUCAAUGUUGACCAAUGAUGUUUUUCGGCUGACAUCGAGUAGGUUCUAUAGGCCGGCAUCAACCAAGCUAUUUUUAAGUCGAUAUUGGGUAAAUUUUUUUGUCAACGCCUACUAGAAUUUUUUAGACCGACGUUGGCUAAAAACAACCUUGGUCAAUGUCGUUCGAAAAGACCCUAACCGGUGUCAGUUAAACAAACCCUAGCCGACGUUGGUAAGAAAACCUAGUCAACAUCGGCUGAAAAAUAGACUCAACCAAUGUUAGUUGAAAAAUAGUAUCGGCUGAUGUCAGCUGACAAAUAUUUUCGGCAUACUUUGACAAAAAAACUCUACCGAAAAAUAGCCUUUGUUGAUGUCGGUUUUAAAACAUUAGUGGUUGUGGUAAGACAAAAUAACCCUAGUUAAAAUUAUCAAUAUUUAGUAUUUUUAAAUUAUUAAAAAUUGAAAAAUAUUUUUUAAUUAAUAUUUCAAAAUUAGAUUGUGUUUGUUUUCUAUAAAGUUUAAUAUUAAAAUUUCAUCUAUUUAAAAUAUAAAAUUGAAAAUUUGCAUAUGGAGAAAAUUGAAUUGCCUUAUCCAAACAAAGAAUUUAAAAUUGAUGAAAUUUGAAUUGAUUUAUCCAAACAAAGCAUUUGAAAAAUGAAAGAAAUUAAAAUCAAAACAAUUUAAAUUCUAGGCAUUUUAAAUUCCCUUAAAUUUUAAAAUUUCUAAUCCAAACACAAGAUAAGGGUACAAUCAUCAUUUACAAGAUAAGCUUUUUACCAAUUAAUUCCUAGAAAUUGAAAAUUUCAAAUAAUUUAGUUUUAUAUUGGAUCUUUUGUAUUCUCUCUUGUUUGGAUGAGAGAAAAUGAAUAGCAAUUAGGUAAGAAACACUUAAGUAGAGAGAGAGAUAUGAUUAAUUUCAAAAAUAUUAAGAUAUUUUUGAAAGAAUAUUAUAAAUUAUUGAUAAAUUUAAUAAUAUUAACUAAAUUUAUUAAUUUUUUAAAAGAUAUAAAUCAGUUGAAAGAAUCUUAUAAAAAGUGAUGAAAGGGGUAUUAAUUAAAAAAUUAGUUAAACUAAUUUAAUUUUGUUCCACUUAGAAAAUAAGUUUCCUUAAAUUAUUCUUCAUUUAAAUUUGAUAUCAAAUAUAAAAGAAAUUAUUGGAAAUAAAAUUUUCAUUAAAUAAAAAAUAUUUUGGAGAUGAUCCGAUUAAAUAUAGGAAAAUUAGAUUUAAGAUCAAAAUAUAUGAAUUUUUUAUUGCAUAAAAUGUUUAAAGUAUACGAUUUGCUUAAAAAAUUUCUUUAAUAUACAUUAACAAAUCUUAAUAAUAUACUAUUAUUUAUUAUUUUAUAUAUUAAAAAUAUAAUAAAAGGAAUAGCAUUACUGUUAUUACAGAGACACAUAGCAACACGUCCUUAACUCUUUGUGAUAGUUUUGAAAGUGAUCAACUUUGUACUCUUUCUCUUUGCAUACUUGUAGGGAAACAAACCAAUAUCGGAUCAUCUUUCUCUUUUUUUUUUCAACCUCAAAUGUCCCUUUUUCUUAGUUCCUCGUGUUUGACUGCUCCUUAUUUCUUCUGAAACGACGUGUUAGUCUUAUCAAUAAUUUAAUGCCAACUAACUUUAUGUGCAAUAGGUCAGCACCAAUCUGUCCCACCGAAUAAAUUUCUGCCCAGCGGUACUAUUUAUUUUGUCACUGCUUUGUGUGUUUGUUGCCUCGUGGUAAAGAAAAGGUAAAAUUACAUUUUUUUUUUGUCUUUCUAAUUAUUUUAAAUUUUUUUAUGAAAUUAAUUUUUUAAUUAUAUUCAAUCUCAAAAAUAUAAUUUCCAAGUUUAGAUUUAUACGUUGACUAUUACAUUAAAAUAUUGACUAUCACGUUUUACGUUAGACGAUAAUUGUCACGUGUUAGUGUGUUACAUUCUCAUUAGACGAUAACGUUACGUGUCACAUUUUAAUUGGAUGUUGACUUUACAAACGAUGAAAAUAUAUUAUUGUUGUUAUCGUCCAAUCAAAAUGUUACAUACAUGUUAUCGUCUAAUCAAAACUUGACACGACAGUUAAUGUUUUCUUUAUAACCAUCUUAAGGAUCAUCUUUAUAGAAUUGAACAUAAUUGAAUGAUUAAAUUUAUGAAUAAAUUUAAAAAAAGAUUAAAAUCAAAAUUAAAAAUAACUAAAAGUUCCAAAAAUAUAAUUUUAUCUAAAGAAAAUGGAAGAUUUUAUUAGCAGCAAAGUCAAUUAUAAAACCUGGAUUUUAUUUAUGAAUUAAAUUUGACGAAUUUCAGGUGGAAAAAUUAGACUUAUUUCGCACAGUAGGCAAAGUCAACUAUAAACGUGAUUGGUUUUACAAGAAGUAGGCUAUGUAUGAAAAGCUUUUUUUUUUUUUGUUUAUUUUGGAAACAAUAAUAAUAAUACUUGUCUUUAUUUAAUACAAGUUAAAAAAAGAGACACUUGAUAUCUCUAUCAUUAUUUUAAAAAAAAGUAAUUAAAUAAAAUAAUAAUAAUAAUAAUUUCUUUUAAGAAAAACGAUAGCAAGUUACAUUUCGAAGGUUUAUAAAAAAUAUAUAUAUCAAAAGAGAUAAUUGUCUUUAUUAAUAGUUAUAAAUUAACAAAAUUAUAUAUAUUAAAAGAUAAUUUAAAAAUAAAAAAUAUAUAUAUCAAAAGAGAUAAUUAUCUUUAUUAAUAGUUAUAGAUUAACAAAAUUAUUAUAAAUAAAUUACUCAAGAAUAACGGAAGAAACUAUUUUCGAGGAUUCCAUCAUGUAUUUAGAAUUUAAGAACCGGUGUUAGAUGCAUAUGCAGGAGAUAGAGACGGUUGGUGAAUCAGGUUUAUCUCUGUUGGUCAACCUUCUGUUUUUCCUCAUGACCUCAAUUGCACGAUUAAUUAGCAGUAUAGUUUAACAUAACUGAUAAGUAAUUAAAUCUUUCAAAUAUAUAUAGUACUAUUGAUUAGUAUUUAAUUCAUAAGCGUGUAUAUAAAAGUAAAUUAUGUUUUGGUAAUCUAUAUGCAUUAAUUGAAUUAGCGUGCAAUUGUACUAAUCAAUACUAAAUACAAAACUUGUUCAUAAAGAAAACUUCUUUUAAUUAUUAAGUAAAUUAGAUUAAGACAUUCAUCCGGUUUAUAAUUAUUAUAAACAGAAUUAACUAUAUUAUUUAUAAUUAUUAUUAAGAGUGUUAUUUUAUUUGGUCUCCACAUUUAUUAUUUAGAUAUUUUUGUCUCUUAACUAAUUCUAUGAAUUACCCCCAUCACAUUCAAUUUUAACUUUUCACAUCAAUCAUACUUCUAUUUAUUCUCUAUAUUUCUGUCUUAUUUUAUUUUAAAAAUAUAGUUACUUUCUGUAUAGAAGAAAUUGUUUUGUUAAUGUUGUUAUUUGAAUUUUGACUCUAAUGUGUAAACAAAUAAAAAUAUCAUUUGAGAAUAGUUGAAAAAAUAAAUUAAAUUAGUUGAAAAAAUAAAAAUAAAAAUUAAUUAUCAUUAAUUAAAGAUAAUCACUUCACAUAUACACAUUAUAGUUAUUUAUUAAAGAUCAUAAUUUUAUAUUAAUAUCACUACUAGAAAAAAAUACUUUUCACGUCCAUUUUAUUUUAUAAUAUAUUUUAGGAUGGUUCGAAAUUUGUUUUUGAAGUCGUUAUCGUCAAAAAAUCAUGAUUUUUAAAUCAUCUUAGAUUCAUUCUUUCUAUAUCGGGUUAUUCACAAAACCGUCUUAAAAUUUACUUUUUUUCAAAAAAAUUAUUAGAAAAUUAAUAUUUUUAAAACGAUUUUUCCUUUUUAACAAAACUGUCUUAAAAAAAACAUUUUUUUCACCAUACCGCUCCCUCUCAACCCGGUUUGCACUGAAAGGUUCAAUCCAACUGUACCUUAAGGAUCUUAAUAAUAGCAUUAAUGAAAUUUGCAAUUCAAAUCAUAAAUCCUUAGUCUAUUUACAAGUUCUUUUUCCCAUAGUAUUGUCAGUAAGCAUUGGUUUUGAAAGCUGAUUAUAUAUAAAAUCCUAAAACUCUUGUAUACAUUAAUUUCUCCACAUAAUACAUAGAUCUCAUUCAACAUAAUUCAAUGUGAAAAAUAGAGAACCUUGUACAUAAACCAGAUCUAGAAUGAUGAUCAAUUAAUUACCUGUAAGCAAAAAGGGAAAAAAGGAAACCAUUUUUAUAAAUAUAAGGAUUGCAGUCUGGUGGCAUUAAACAAUGAGCAACAUCGACCGCCAUAAAAUAAAGAGCGCUCCAGUUUCACUUGCAAGAAUUCACUCUCCCAGUUGGGUUUGGAAGUAAGGAGGCCCAAUGGAGAUAAGAGGUUAUUUACUUUGACUCUUGAAACAGAUUUUUUAAAUUGUUGCUAGUUUUUGUAGGAUAUGCUGUUAUGUUGCGAUAUGUUGUUAGGCUCUUAUGCUGUUUUUAAAUUUAUCUUCUAUUUUUUAGGCAAUAACCCAUAGGAGUUUUAUCUAUAUAUUUUAGCAUCUCUUUGUAAAAGGCACUUUGCUUUUCAGAUCAAUAAAACAACCUUCUUCUGCAGUAAUAUCCUGAGUUUCUUUAUCUUUUAAUCCUUCGUAUCUUUCUAAAAAUAACAAAUUGGUAUCCUGAGCCUUAUUCUGAGGGAUCUGAGAGAUUGAGAGAACCCAUACACAUUCAAAACACAAACACAUAUAACCUGGUCAGAAUGAAUCCAGAAGGUUCAUCCAUUCCACUUACACUUCCAUUGUUUGAUGGUAAAAGUUAUCAUCUAUGGGCUUUUAGAAUGGAAGCCUAUCUCGAAGCAGGUGAUUUGUGGGAAGCUGUUGAUGAUGUGUACGAAGUCGAACCCUUGCCGGACAAUCCAACGGUUGCUCAAAUAAAAAAUCACAAAGAAAGGAAGCAGAGAAAGUCAAAAGCAAAAGCAACUUUGCUUGCAGCAGUUUCAUCCACCAUUCUAGCCAGAAUAAUGACACUUAAAACAGCCAAUCAGAUUUGGGACUUUUUGAAACAAGAGUAUGAAGGAAAUGAAAAGGUUAAAGGCAUGCAGGUGCUGAAUUUUAUCCGAGAAUUUGAGAUGCAGAGAAUGAAGGAAUCAGAAACGAUUAAGGAAUACUCUAAUAGGCUUCUUGGCAUAGUCUAUAAUGUAAGGCUCCUAGGUACUGAAUUUUCAAACGCUAGAAUUGUUCAAAAAAUUCUAGUCACAAUACCUGAAAAGUUUGAAGCCACAAUUGCAUCUCUGGAGAAUUCAAGGAAUUUGUCAAGCAUUACAUUGGCAGAAUUGUUGAAUGCACUACAAGCACAAGAACAAAGGAGGCUUAUUGAGGGUGUUUUUCAGGCCAGAUCACAGAAUUACAAAGGAGGCAAAAAUAACAAGAAGAAGCAGAGCAACAACAAAAAUGGCCAAAGCAGCAAGACACGUGUCUUUUCACCUUGUCCUUAUUGCAAAAAAAAUAAUCACCCACACAACAAGUGUUGGUGGAGACCAGACAUAAAAUGCCACAAGUGUGGUCAAUUAGGACAUGUGGAAAGAAUAUGCAAGACUCAACAACAACAACAAGGAGAAGCCAAGGUUGCUGAAGAUCAGCCUAUGGAGGAGCAGUUGUUUGUAGCAUCAUGCUUUGCAACCAACACCACUAUGGAGAACUGGCUUAUAGACAGUGGUUGCACAAACCACAUGACUUAUGAUCGUGAACUUUUCAAAGAAUUGGACGAGACAACUAUUUCUAAAGUCAGAAUUGGAAAUGGAGCACUCAUUGUAGUAAAAGGCAAGGGAACAGUUGCAAUUGAAGGCCACUCAGGUUUGAAAUUAAUUUCUGAUGUAUUAUAUGUCCCUGAAAUUAAUCAAAACCUUUUAAGUGUUACUCAACUGCUGGAGAAAGGAUAUAAGGUGUUGUUUGAGGACAAAAACUGUGAGAUUAAAGAUGCAAGCAACAUAGAAAUGAUCAAAGUUCAAAUGAAAGGCAAGAGUUUUGUCUUGGACUUGAUGAAUGAGGAGCAGCAAGCAACUGUACACAAAGAGGAUGAUAAUACAAUGCUUUGGCAUAAGAGAUUGGGGCACUUUCAUUAUGCUGCACUACUUUUCAUGAAAAAGAACAACAUAGUGAAAGAUAUGCCAAAAUUAGACGAUUUACCUCCAAAAUGUGUUGCUUGCCAAUAUGGAAAGCAAACCAGACUUCCUUUUCAACAAAACAAGACUUGGAGGGCUUCACAAAAGUUGCAGUUAGUACACACAGAUGUGGGAGGACCCAUGAAAACACCAUCAUUGAAUGGCAGUAAGUAUUAUAUUGCAUUCAUUGAUGAUUAUUCAAGAAUGUGUUGGAUUUAUUCUAUGAAGUUUAAAUCUGAUGUUGCUGACAUCUUUGUGAAGUUUAAAGCUUGGGUUAAAACUCAAAGUGGAUGCAAGAUGCAGGUGAUCAGGUCCGAUAAUGGAAUUGAAUAUACCUCUGAAAAAUUUAACAAGUUUUGUGUAGAUGCAAGCAUUGAACAUCAAUUGACAGCACCAUACACUCCGCAACAGAAUGGUGUUGUCGAGAGGAAAAACCGAACAAUUAUGGAGAUGACAAGGUGCUUACUUCAUGACAAAGGGCUACCAAAGGAAUUUUGGGCAGAGGCUGCACACACAACAGUUUUUUUGCUGAAUAGGUUACCAACAAAAGCUUUGCAGAAAAAGACUCCAUUUGAAGCAUGGCAUGACUACAAACCAAAGCUAACAAAUCUGAAGACAUUUGGCUGCCUAUGUUUCUCUUACAUACCUCAAGUAAAGAGAGACAAGCUUGAAAAGAAAGCAGAACCUGGAAUUUUUGUAGGUUAUAGCUCAACUUCAAAGGCCUACAGAAUCUACCUACCAUAGAGCAACAAAGUAAUCGUCAGCAGGGAUGUCAAAUUUCUGGAGUCAGAUAGUUGGGACUGGAAAAAUGAUAAGAGGUCUGAGUUUCAGGAGGAGAAUGAAGAUGUUGAUGAAGAACCCAUCAGAGGAACCAGAUCACUUUCAGACAUCUACCAAAGGUGUAAUGUUGCUGUGAUGGAGCCUGAGGGAUAUCAAGAAGCUACAGCUGAUCAGAAAUGGAGAAAUGCAAUGAAAAAGGAGCUUAUAAUGAUUGAAAAAAAUAAAACAUGGGAGCUGGUGGACAGACCUAACCACAAGAAAGCGAUUGGUGUCAAGUGGGUUUAUAGAACCAAGCUUAAUUCAGAUGGUUCUGUAAACAAAUACAAGGCAAGACUUAUUGUUAAAGGAUAUGCUCAAGUGUUUGGUGUUGAUUUUUCAAAGACUUUUGCCCCAGUUGCCAGACUUGAAACCAUAAGAAUGUUGAUGUCUCUUGCUGCACAAAAAGGUUGGGUUAUACAUCAAAUGGAUGUGAAAUCAACCUUCUUAAGUGGAUACUUGGAGGAAGAAAUUAUUGUUGAGCAACCUGAAGGGUUCGUUGUUCAAGGACAGGAGGAGAAAGUAUAUCGAUUAAGGAAAGCUUUGUAUGGUUUAAAGCAGGCACCGCGGUCAUGGUAUAGCAGAAUUGAUGCACACUUGGUGAACUUAGGCUUCAAAAAAAGUUUAAGUGAAUCUACUUUAUAUGUGAAGAAGAUUGAUGGUGAAAUGCUUGUAGUAUCUCUAUAUGUUGAUGAUCUACUGGUUUCGAGAAGUAGCGGGGAGCAUAUUGACAAGUUCAAGGAAGAAAUGAAAGAUGCUUUUGAAACGAUAGACCUUGGAAGGAUGACAUUCUUUCUCGGUAUGCAGGUGUAUCAAAAACAGAAUGAAAUAUUUCUUUGCUAGGAAAAAUAUGCAAAUGAAAUUCUCAAGAAGUUCAACAUGGAAAGGUGCAAACCAACUGCAACUCCAAUGAAUCAAAAGGAGAAGUUUUGCAAAGAAGAUGGAGCUGAAAAAGUGGAUGAAAAGUUGUAUAGGAGCCUUAUAGGCUGCCUAAUGUAUUUAAGUGCAUCAAGGCCUGACAUCUUGCAUGCAGUAAGCUUGUUAUCAAGGUACAUGAACUGUGCUAGUAGAAUUCAUUUUCAGGCAGCAAAAAGAGUUCUUAGAUAUGUUAAAGGCACAAUUGAUUUUGGAAUAAGAUACCAUUAUGUUAAAAACUUCAGACUUCAUGGUUAUUCUGAUAGUGAUUGGGCUGGAUGUGCUGAUGAUAUGAGAAGUACUUCAGGUUAUCUUUUUAGCUUUGGUUCUAGAAUUUUCUCAUGGUAUUCAAAGAAACAGGAAGUAAUAGCUCAAUCCACAGUAGAAGCAAAAUAUGUUGCUGCAACUGCUGCUGUAAAUCAAGCUCUUUGGAUCAGAAAGCUUAUGACAGAUUUGCAUAUGGAACAACAGGACAGUACGCAAAUAUUUGUGGAUAAUCAAGCUGCAAUUUCAAUUUUAAAUAAUCCAGUGUUUCAUGGAAAAACAAAACACUUCAAGAUAAAGUUUUAUUUUUUCAAGGAGGCACAAAAGGAAGGAGAAGUGAAAUUAAUUUACUGCACAACAAAGGAACAAAGUGCUAAUAUCCUAACAAAGGCGCUUCCUAAAGCUAGAUAUGAAUUCUUGAGGCAGAGGCUUGGUGUAUGCUGUUCCAGAGUCAAGGAGGAGUGUUAACUGUUUGACUCUUGAAACAUAUUUUUUAAAUUGUUGCUAGUUUUUUUAGGAUAUGCUGUUAUGCUGCAGAUAUGUUGUUAGGCUGUUAUGUUGUUAUGUUGUUUUUAAAUUUAUCUUCUAUUUUUUAGGCAACAACCCAUAGGAGUUUUAUCUAUAUAUUUUAACAUCUCUUUGUAAAAGGCACCCUGCUUUCUAGAUCAAUAAAACAACCUUCUUCUGCAGUAAUAUCCUGAGUUUCUUUAUCUUUUAAUCAUUCGUAUCUUUCUAAAAACAACAUUUACAUAUAAACCAUUUUUAACAGGUUCUUUCUAUUAUUCUUGGUCUUCCUCUACCUGAUUCAUCUGAAUAUGCAUAAAAUUAAACCCUGACCUAAAAAGAAUAGAUUAUUAUGUAUGGAUUGAAUCAAUCAGAUUCCAUAAUUGAAUCAAUUACAUACUGGAUUCAAACUAAAGGAAUGUUAUGGUAAAACUUCGUUUGAAACGAUGUGGUAAAAAGUAAUGUUCGACUUGAAAGACAUGAUUAGAUUAGUUGUGGAUUCUUACAUCCGCCAUUUUUUCUUGUAUAUAGAAAAGAACAUGCUCUUGACUCGACAUCGUUUGUUCUGUUCCACUAGAACUUAUUGUUUUGGGAACGGAAAAGCAGUUGAUGAUGUAAAUAUUACUGAAUAGUUCCAAGCGAGUAAACACAUUUGGAAGGAUCUCUAUGGAAGCUACAUUAUUUAUAUAGGAAGAGAGGGAAUUAUCAUACCUGGAAUGAAUUACCAAGUGACUUGUAUCUGUCAGUCCUACUUAUUCCACCUCCUCUGGUGUGGUUCCUUGGGAAGCCCAACAAUGUUUCUACUUCAUCAGGCUCGAAUGGAGCAACCUUAUUCCUUCCCACCCAAACCAAAUUCCAUUUCCUACACCGAUGAAGAACAUACUUCUAUACACUUUCAGGUGGAUCUUCAUCAUAGAUUUCUACAACUUUCCUAAUUCUUUGGAUUAGUUUUGAACUGCCAAUACAUGUUUGCAUACAACUAAGCUUGGUCCUAGUAUCCUAUGAGGGCCACCACUUCUUUGUUAGGGGAAAACCCUCAUGUAUUGUGCGCGGUGGAAGUGAUAGAAGUGAGAACCUAUUUUGGAUGGGGGAGAUUAUGAAUAUAUCCCUUUUUCCUGGUUGCAGCAUAGAAAAACUUCGAAUCUACAAACCAGGGUUCAACAUCAUACAAGAAUCUUGAAAUUGUUUUCCAAACACCUUUAGCAUAGUCAUUGUAUUGUAACAUUAAGAAAAAACAUUAAAAUAACUUAAACAUGUGAUAGAUAAAGGAAAGGGGGGAGGGGGAACAACAAAUGGAUUAUACUAGAUAAUUUGAAGGAAAAAUUUACAGAAAAUUAAAUGCAAUAAAUUUCUAUUUUGUUCAUCCAAAGAUUACUAAUAUGGUUACAUUGCUACCUUUUCUUCAGGAGGCAGAAGAGCAUCUUCAGCCUUUGCCAUUUGAGCAACACCUAUAAAAUCUACCAAUUCUUCAAGUGAGGCGUUUGGGCCUGCAGUGUUUCAUUAGAACAAUGAGCCAAGAAAAUAGAGUAAAAAGCUCAUAAACAACACUAUGUAAACUUGUGAACACAAACAAACAAGAGGCCGUGUGAGGUUAUUAUUGCAGUUGACCAUGCUAAUUUGAUUAAAAUGAUAUUAGGAAAAGCACCACAAUUUAGGACCUAUUAAUUUAUUAUACAAGCUUGACAAAUGUGUUAAACAAUAUCAUUCUUUAGAGAUAAUUAUAUAAUACAUGAUCUGAUCUAUAGCCAUUAUAUCUGCAUGUAACCCUGAUUAUAGUGUUAGCAAUUAAAUCAUUAUUCGCUAGAAGUAAUUACAGUAUAUUCAUAAGGUGAUUGUGUAUUAGAAGUUUUUCAUCAUCUAUUAUCCACAAUAGUGGUGGUUCCAAACUGAAAUGAAUUUGUCUCUUCUCUGGACAUUAUUGAAGCAGGUAAUCUUCUCUUCAGGCAAGGGAAAAAACUAAUAGGCAUAUAUGCUUUGUCCAUUAUCUUGAGUAUACAAUAGUAUAACAUGCAAAUUCAUAUGCAUUCUGCAGGUAGGAAUCAACCGAGACAUUCAAAAAGUUAGUACUGUGGCAGAGUUGAAUCAUGUCGUAGUAGUAUGCAUGAUGUUAAUGGAUCAUACAAAAAAUUGACUAACGAGUGAGGUUUUAUUCAAUUAGUUGAGUGCGUGCUUAAGUUAGUAAUCUAGUUCGAUUCUUAGUGAUAAAAAACUUGAGCAGCUAAUUAAUCAGAUUGUUAAAUUAAAUUGCCUAGAGAAAAGGGUACCACAGUCGCAUUUAUACUCUCUUGUGCCACAGAUUUUGGAGUGGGCUUUCCAAUCUUAUUGAACCACAUAGCAUUUGGAGCACUUGUCACACUUCCAUUUCUUCUCUUCGUGUUUCUUGAAGAAGUGUUUCUUGAUUCCAGUGAGGUCCCCAAGUGCUCUUGAAGGGUCAUGGUGAUCGCAUGUUGCCUCUGGGCACACAUACACUUUCUUUCUCAUGUCUUUGCUGCUCUUUUUCUUUAGCUUCCAUGACAAAUUGUGCCUUCUUCUGUGAAGCUGCAAAUUCUGGCCUCUUUGGAACCCUUUCUGGCAAAUCUCUAAAAAGAACCUGUUUGUUGCCAAAAGGGUCUGCGGAGUCAAUGCUAUCACUUCUACCUCAGGGUCUGAAGUACAUACCAAAUUAAACUAGCAAUUAAUUAGUGAAUAAAAUUAAGACUGACACAGUUAUGAGGUUCGAAUCUAUAACAUCAUGCAUACUACUACAACAUGAUUCAAUUCUAAAAAUCAAUUGAAGAUAAUGAAUCAUAGUAUCAUACAACAAUCAACAAUAAUAGAAUAAAUUUCUAUCAUUUUUGUAAAAAUAACGAGCUAACAACUCAAGCCAUACAUAUGAAUGGGUCAUACAAAACACAGCUAAUCUUUGUACAACAAUUAAAGCCUCCACCUGCUUGUAUCCCAUUUUCACCAAAGACUGUAAGGUAUCAUCAUUCUCAGACAUAGUUUUUGAAAUUUCCUACAAAAAAUAUCAAAUAACAUAAGCAAGUUGUUUCUUAUAAUACAUAGGAAUUGAAGUCCUUUUCUUCCGCACCUCGCUCCAGAAGGUAUUAUGUAGCAGGACUAUCCUUGUUAAUGUUUCCAACAGGAGAAAUGUGAUCGGUUGUUAUACUAACACCAAAAUUCAGUAGACAAUAGGCAUCUUUCACACCAUGAGCUCCAGGAGGAUCCAUGAUCAUGCCAUUGAAGUAUGAAGGUUCAUGAAUAUAUGUUGACUUGGGGUCCCAUGAGUACACGGUCUGAGCAAGUACUUGUAGUCAGUUCCACAUAGUGUUACCUUUGCUAAUAGCUUCAUAUGUACUUCAGAACAUGUCAGGCAACACACUGGAUUGGACAACCUAUGAAUCAAGUAAACCUAAGUUAAUCUUGUUGUACACACUGUCAAAUUUGUAGAGUAAUUUCACAUACAUUAUUUGCCUCUACAAUUUCUUGAGUGGAUGGCCAGAUAUCUCUUACGUAAACAUUAUUUCCAUCUUUCCCUAUUCCUAUUGGUUCCUUUUCAAAGUCAAUGUCAACCUGGAAAUUGAACCAAAAGGUAAGGGAUGAAGGUUAAUGUUUGUAGUAGAAAAAAAAUGAUGUAUUCUAAACUCUAAGGACAUGUUUGGCUUGAUAGGAAAAACAAAUAAACAAAGAAUACAAAUUCCAGGGAGGAAUGUUUGUAUGUUAUCUGAGAGGGACUUCUAUUAUACAUUAGCUCAUACAAUGAGUAUGACAAAUUUAGCUCAAGUGAAAAAUGCUUAUGAUCAAACUUCAUUACAACAAUGAUCAUAUGAAAAAAAUAAAAAACUUACAACAGAAGUUCAGGUAAAAAAGUUGUUUGCUUAUGUACCUGAUAUUUUGGGGUUAGAAUACCAUCUCCAAUAACCAUGGAAGCUCCCAGAAUAACCAACUCCAAUAAUAGGUUCCUCAAAAACGAUGUCCUUUCCAAAGUGUCCUUUAUUUUUAAAGCCCUUUCCAUUUCUGGAGUAGGCAGUUUGACCUUAAAACUAGAGAUAUGUUCAUCAGCUUGUUGAAGAUUUGGAAGCAGACCCACAUUUGCAUACCUGCAAAUCAGCGAGUAUAGUGCAAACAUUCCUCCUACAGUUGAGCCAUUAAUGUAUGGAAAUGAACCAAAGCAAAAUAAUUCUGAGGGGGAAAGUGAAUCUCUUACCUUCUCCACUGUCAUUUGCUUUGAGGACUAUAAAAACAUAUUUUGCUAAUGGAAUAAGUGCUAUUGUAUACAUUACUAAUGAU
rnacentral:lncRNA from 1 species